GUAGGAGAGAAUACCACGACGAGAUCUAACAGUCAUGGUUAUACGCGUAGCAUGGAAAUUGAUUCUACCUCUCGUACUGAGAGGCAUGCUGCCAGGUCAGAUUCUGUUCUAGUGGCACAGCACCGAGACUGCAUACAAAUUUACCCUGAGUGGCUGGAGAAAAUUGAUUCAGGCAAAAAGAUGUGGACAGCUCUCAAACAAUUUCGAGCAAAUGGGAAGCAUGAAGAGGUUAGUAUAUACACAUGUUCUGGUGUGCUCUCUCAUCAAAUAAUUUUUAUUGUGGUUUAAUCAUCUCAUAACAUAAGGAGUGUUUGCUUGAUGGGCAUUCAGACCAAAUAAUGAACGAAUUAGAUCCUAGGCUCUCCAAAAGAUGACAUUGUGUUUUGUUUCAGUUACCUCAUAGAUUUUCAGCCUUUGCCUCAAAAUGAUUUUAUGCAUUUGUUUUCGCACUAACUUGUAUUUUUUUAAGCACAACCAUCCAUAUAUGUGAAGAAACUCAUGGCCACUUGUGUGGUUGAUAGAAAUCAGUUAACAUCUCAAUUUCCUCAUGUGCUAUUGUAUGACUACGCUGGUUUUUCUAACAUGCUCCUUCUUACCUCCCCUUUUCACAUGAGACGUAAGAGUAUAAAGUAAAUCUGAGUCAUUGACUGCAUUAAGUAGUGGACUUGACUAAAUCUUACCUUCUUAACUCCCAUAUGAAAAGAUGGGGUAAGAGGAAUCAUGUUAAAAUGGCUCAUGAAUGUGGUGCUGCCACCAGUGGCGGAGCUUGAGCAUAAUCCAAGAGGGCCAUUACUUGAAGGGGAGAAAAUUAGAAGGGAAUGAGGGGCAAAUAUCUAGUUUAAACACUAGUUAGGCUUAAAAUAUAUUAUAUUCAUUGAUGGGUGCAAAAAUUAAGGGGGGCCACGGCCCCUGUUGGUCUACACGAAGCUCCGCCACUUGCUGCUGCACAUUCUACAGUGUUGUUAUAGACACUGACUGACUCUUGUUUUUGCACUAUAUCCAAAUGUACUAGCAGUCAUAAGACACCAAUCUAUCAGGAUCUCGACUUUUGGCCUUCUGCUAGGAUGCAGUAAAGAUAUUGAUAAGUCUCGCCAUUCCUGGAUUUGGGAAGGUUACCUGACUGGAACAAAUUGUUCCGGAGAAGGAUAUGGAGGCGCGGCGAACCUAAAGCAGCGAUGAUGCAACAAAUGGAAUGUGAUCGAGAAUGGUAUUCUCUCCAGGUGCACACUAGCGAGCAUACAAAUUAGGGUCUGCAUGGAUGACCAAAACACAUGGUAUUUUUUUAUCAACUAGCCCAUCCUUUUUCCUUUGAUCUACUAACAUUGGUUGCCAUUUCGGGCUUUUGGGCCGAGCUUUGGGCGAGAAAUUGAGCCCAGGCCUACCCCAGAUGUCGGGCUUUGAGUCAGGCCUCUAGGUCGGGUAGUCCAUGAACAGGUUUAAUUUUAUCUAUUCACUCACAUUUUGAUCAUCGUUCAUUAUAGCAUUUAACCAUAAUUCAUAUGAACAUGCACCUUGAGAAUAUAAUAAAGGAAAUGCUUGGGUCAAUUUGUAGUACACAACGCCUUAUUGUGCGAUAUCACAAGAACAUUUUUCACCUUGAUUACAGUAGUAACUACUGUGCAAUCUUAUAUAUCAAAUCAUAUAUUAUAUGACAUAUUAAGUAUAUUGUUUUGCUUAUUUCAGUAUUACCUUCAUAAGGAAUAUAGUCACAAAUUUUGCUCCAAACGCAACGUUAUUGAGUUCAUACGAAAUGGAACUGUGAAAGGGAAGCCGGUUCAGAAGGUGCCUAAAUACUUGACUUUCAAACAUGUAGUAAUUAUGUGAUGAUGUAUAUGUUUUUGUAUUAACUUUAAAGUAUUAAUUUGACACGGUAUCCUAUUUUUGCACAGAGAUCAUCUGAUACUUCUACGAACAAUCUUCAUGGUAUGUCAAGUUGGCCCCAUGCAUUUGGAUAUUAUUUUGUCUACUAUUAUUACUAUAGAGAUAAAUCUAACUGAAACUGAAAUAUAAUAAAUAUUCAUGGAGACAAAAAUAGACAUUAAUGUCCACAUACACAACAAAAUUAACCAGUAUUGUCCUAGUUUACAUGAAUUAAUAUUUGCAAUGACAAUUAGGUUACUCAUGACAUGAUAAAGAAAAAGUUUUUUUGUGAGGUAAGAUAAGGUUUUAUAUAACUGUUCAUGGGGACCUCCUCAUGGUUGCAGAUACAUAGUUUUACAGUGCUUCAUGAAAUAGUUGCAUAUCACCAUGUCUAAAAGAAGAAUCAUGACAGACACAACUUCAAGAAAUUCUUCUUGUCAAAUAACAUGAUUUGUAUAUACCUCAUAGAGGAUGUAACUUGUUGGUAGAAUUUAAUAUUGUGACACACUUGCCAUCUUUUGUGCCAGCAUUAUUUGGGUGAUGAUUUAAUAUCCAAAAGCAUACAUCAAGGUAGUUAUGUGCAAUGAUAUUCUUGUGAAAAUAACUUCCAUAGUGUAUACUUGCAUAUAUGUAUUGCUCUAUUGUAUUCUCACAGUUAGUCCUUUUUCUUAAUUUUUGUUUGUUUAUUUAUGUUUAGAGCAAGAUUAUAAAUUAAGCUGAGCAUAAUUUCUGCAGAUUAUAGAUGGCCCACUAAAAGACAAAGGGCGAAGGUGCAAACUUCAAGUAAUUCUUCUUGCCACAUAGGUUUUUCUAAUUGUGCGAGGAUACCACUUGUAACUGCCUUCAGUCAUCUAUGUCAGUAGUAUUUUGAGAAGAAUUUCAUUACAAAAUGCAACGACUCAAACAAUCAGAUUGUUCAUGAUGAUUCCUAAUUGUAUAACCAAUAAGCUUAACACACCUUCCUAUUUUAGAGUUGUUAUCUUAAUAAGUAUAUACUAUGUGUUAUUAAUGUUGUUGUUGGGUGAAGAACAUUUGUUGCUCAUGGUUAGAAUGCAGAAUUUUCUUAACACAACAGCCUAGAGCGAAUGUGGAGGCCAAUAUAGAUUGAAACCAUUAAUUCAUAUUAAAAUGGUCAUGACUUCUUAUUUUUAUUUGACAUAAAUGUUUGUGACUUGUUUAAAUUAAUGUGUUCUGGAAUUAUAUGAUACUUCCAUAUUCAUACUAUUUUUGUGAAAUGUGCAGCUAGUUUGUCGACAGGAGCACGAACAACCACAACUUCUACAAAGCUUCCACAUGGUUUCAUUUAGUAUCAUGCAAAAGACAUUGAGACAAUCAAGAUUACUUGAGCAACCUGAAUUAUGUUAGUUGUUACCUGCUUUCAAACGAAUGCGUCCUCUCAUAGUAUGCAUGUACUUCUGUUGUUGAGGAAUUUAUAUCAUUAGACAGUUCUGUUUUUCAUAAUUAUUGAUUAAUGGGUACAUACCUUCAAUCCUGGACGAUUAUCAGAUAGCCAGUCAAGGAAGCGAUUUGUUUAUUGAAUUGGGCAUAAUAGGAACAUUUUUACAUUCAAAGGAACAUCAUAGGAAUAAUUUGGUAUUUCGAGAAGAUUUUCCAGUCCCCUGCCCCAACCUACUGGAAACAGUAUGAGUGGUGACAGACACAUUUGUAACGUACGAGCAAGCUAGUGCAGCAGCUUCAGUCACAUGCUCUGGAAGCCCAUUUUGGGUCUUCCUUCAGAAGGCUCAACAAGGCCAUCAUCACACCAUUCUAGUUAGUUACUUCUGCAAUGAUAUAUGUCCGUAAGAAAAUAAGAAGCUAGGGUUCUAGUAGACUUAUAAUGCUCUAACAGCACCACGUUGGAUAUGCCCGCACAAAUAAAAUAACAUGAAUAGAGUCUAUAUGUAAGAAUAUAUCUUGUCACCAGUCAACUACUAGUACAGUAAGAGCAUCAAAGAGGAAUUCAUUUCAUAUAGAAUAGUUGCAAUCAUAUACUUUUGUUCUGCACAUACUGCUCAUUAUCAUGGACAAUGAUGUAGCUAGCUAAAAGGGAGCAUGUGGCUAUAAUGUAAGCAGGGAGGCUCCAGGGACGAGCUCAACAGACAGAACUAACCUGCUCUUGCAAGGAACUAGUAAGCCUUGCUACAUUGUCACCUGCAUGCUGCAUGGCAUCGCGUCCACCAGCUAUUGUGGUAUGUCGCAACUCUUUCCUCACAUCUUUUCACUGAAGCGAUCGUUGGCGAAUUCUAAUCUUUCUGGAACAACAUUCCUAAUUCCCUGCACUAGAAGGUCAUCAUGAUGCAUCGGUAGAUCGGAAUUCCGGACACAUUAACAAAAUCUUUGCCCAAACCAAAUUAAGGGAGAAAUGAGAAAUGAAGGAGAGAACCAAAUAGUAAGUUAGGUUAUAUAUGUGUAUGUAUGUAUAUAUAUAUGUAUGUAUGUAUGUAUAUAUAUAUAUAUGUAUAUAUAUAUAUAUAUAUAUAUAUCGUUCAUAGUAAAAACAACCGGAAGUGUAUCCAUGUUGUUUGCUUAGGUGGCUGAAAUCAAGGUCCUAUUCACUGGGAUGAUAAACCUACUAAAUGUAACAUCCCAAUUUUUAUUAAAUUCGGAUGUUAAUAGAAUCAUUCAAUGCAUAUCAUAUUUCUUUGCAUUUUGNNNNNNNNNNNNNNNNNNNNNNNNNNNNNNNNNNNNNNNNNNNNNNNNNNNNNNNNNNNNNNNNNNNNNNNNNNNNNNNNNNNNNNNNNNNNNNNNNNNNNNNNNNNNNNNNNNNNNNNNNNNNNNNNNNNNNNNNNNNNNNNNNNNNNNNNNNNNNNNNNNNNNNNNNNNNNNNNNNNNNNNNNNNNNNNNNNNNNNNNNNNNNNNNNNNNNNNNNNNNNNNNNNNNNNNNNNNNNNNNNNNNNNNNNNNNNNNNNNNNNNNNNNNNNNNNNNNNNNNNNNNNNNNNNNNNNNNNNNNNNNNNNNNNNNNNNNNNNNNNNNNNNNNNNNNNNNNNNNNNNNNNNNNNNNNNNNNNNNNNNNNNNNNNNNNNNNNNNNNNNNNNNNNNNNNNNNNNNNNNNNNNNNNNNNNNNNNNNNNNNNNNNNNNNNNNNNNNNNNNNNNNNNNNNNNNNNNNNNNNNNNNNNNNNNNNNNNNNNNNNNNNNNNNNNNNNNNNNNNNNNNNNNNNNNNNNNNNNNNNNNNNNNNNNNNNNNNNNNNNNNNNNNNNNNNNNNNNNNNNNNNNNNNNNNNNNNNNNNNNNNNNNNNNNNNNNNNNNNNNNNNNNNNNNNNNNNNNNNNNNNNNNNNNNNNNNNNNNNNNNNNNNNNNNNNNNNNNNNNNNNNNNNNNNNNNNNNNNNNNNNNNNNNNNNNNNNNNNNNNNNNNNNNNNNNNNNNNNNNNNNNNNNNNNNNNNNNNNNNNNNNNNNNNNNNNNNNNNNNNNNNNNNNNNNNNNNNNNNNNNNNNNNNNNNNNNNNNNNNNNNNNNNNNNNNNNNNNNNNNNNNNNNNNNNNNNNNNNNNNNNNNNNNNNNNNNNNNNNNNNNNNNNNNNNNNNNNNNNNNNNNNNNNNNNNNNNNNNNNNNNNNNNNNNNNNNNNNNNNNNNNNNNNNNNNNNNNNNNNNNNNNNNNNNNNNNNNNNNNNNNNNNNNNNNNNNNNNNNNNNNNNNNNNNNNNNNNNNNNNNNNNNNNNNNNNNNNNNNNNNNNNNNNNNNNNNNNNNNNNNNNNNNNNNNNNNNNNNNNNNNNNNNNNNNNNNNNNNNNNNNNNNNNNNNNNNNNNNNNNNNNNNNNNNNNNNNNNNNNNNNNNNNNNNNNNNNNNNNNNNNNNNNNNNNNNNNNNNNNNNNNNNNNNNNNNNNNNNNNNNNNNNNNNNNNNNNNNNNNNNNNNNNNNNNNNNNNNNNNNNNNNNNNNNNNNNNNNNNNNNNNNNNNNNNNNNNNNNNNNNNNNNNNNNNNNNNNNNNNNNNNNNNNNNNNNNNNNNNNNNNNNNNNNNNNNNNNNNNNNNNNNNNNNNNNNNNNNNNNNNNNNNNNNNNNNNNNNNNNNNNNNNNNNNNNNNNNNNNNNNNNNNNNNNNNNNNNNNNNNNNNNNNNNNNNNNNNNNNNNNNNNNNNNNNNNNNNNNNNNNNNNNNNNNNNNNNNNNNNNNNNNNNNNNNNNNNNNNNNNNNNNNNNNNNNNNNNNNNNNNNNNNNNNNNNNNNNNNNNNNNNNNNNNNNNNNNNNNNNNNNNNNNNNNNNNNNNNNNNNNNNNNNNNNNNNNNNNNNNNNNNNNNNNNNNNNNNNNNNNNNNNNNNNNNNNNNNNNNNNNNNNNNNNNNNNNNNNNNNNNNNNNNNNNNNNNNNNNNNNNNNNNNNNNNNNNNNNNNNNNNNNNNNNNNNNNNNNNNNNNNNNNNNNNNNNNNNNNNNNNNNNNNNNNNNNNNNNNNNNNNNNNNNNNNNNNNNNNNNNNNUUUGGUUUUUCCGAGACUUUUGCUUUGCAUGUUCUUCUUGGUUCUCUUGAAUGUUUGUUUAUGUUUGUUUAUCUCCUUUGCGAUAGAUUGCCCGGAGUGCGAAGCAGAAUAUUUUCAGUCUUUAGAGUUCAACCAGCAGUACCAAGGCAAGUUGCAUCUUGAUCAUGUUUCGUUACCUAUGUUUUUAUUAUGCACUUAGUUCUUUGCGGUAGGACUGCAUGGUAGGAAUUGUUGCCGCAUGACUAUGCUUUUCACCCAGUAGUUCAUUGAGGUAGGUCUGAACCAUAUGACAUUGUCGCCAUCGUUUUACAUUAUGUUGCUUCGCUAAAUAGACGUGGAUUGGGGAGUGAACAUUGUAGAGCAUGAGUAACAAUGUAGUAAGUAGGACCUAAGAUAAUUAAUGAACUACCUGGGCGGAAACUUGAUGGAAUGGUGGCGAAGUACAGUGGGGCACGCAUGGGAAAUCCAUGGUGGUGCACCACUAGUGGACCGUCCGCUCAGGCUCAAAGAGAUCAAUCGUAUUCUCAUGUCUAGAAGCUUACGUGUGCAGCCACAAGCCAAUAUGGGCUCUGGCUUAGUUGAGUAGUUAGUGUGACCCCUUCCGGGAUGGGCUAGCAGAUGUAGAAGGAUGUAGGUGUACCGGCCUAUCCGUGGGUUAAGGGGGAGCAUUUUCGAAAGACUAUGUCUCGAUCUUCCGAUCAUGGAGGUGGUCGAGUCUUGUGGGGAAAAGUGCGCAACCUCUGCAGAGUGUCAACCUAAUCGAUUAGCCGUGUCCCCGGUUACGGACAUCUUGAGCAUCUAGUAGUGAAAAUGCUGGGAGAUCUCCUCACCUUUAAUUAAACAGUUGGGAUUUAAAUGAAACUUGGGAACGGAUGGAGUUGGGUUUGCCAACUCAUCCUAUGCAAAUGUGUAGUAGUAGAAUAACAUCUUUUCUAAUAGGGAAAAACUAGCUUUAUGCAAAAUUUGAACUUAGAGCUUUCCACCAGCCAAAUUGCAUGUACAAGUAGGUUCAUUACACUUAUGAUGUGACUUGCCAGUACAUUCAAUGUACUGACCUAUAUGGCUGCAACUUAUCACGUUGCAGAUAUAUCCGACGAGGAUUAAGGUGCGAUAGGUCGAUGUUCUACACUCAACCUUGCUCAUGGAGUUGGACUCAUUUACUACUUUGCUUCCGCAGUAUUUGUUUAUUGGCUCUAUGCCCUAUUUGGUAAUAAAUGUAUUGCUCCUGGACUAUCGAUGUAAUAAAGAGAUGUGUGUUAUUUCUGUUAUUUCAUCGAGUACUGUGUGUGCUAGCAAGUCGAUCCAGGGACUAGCACGGUAAGCACAGAGACUUCGACUCUUACCGAGUCGGGUCGCUACAAGAUGGUAUCAGAGCACACGUUGACUGUAGGACGCGACCCCUAGAAAAUGGAAAAGCCAUAGGAUAAAACUUUAUUUUUCACUUUCCCUAUAUAUCCUUUGGCCUCGUACCUUCUUUACUUCUGUACUAAUUUCUUCCCUCUUUCAAAAUUUAGAUGUCGUCCGCCAUUGUCGAGUUUGAGCAGCCCGAUGAGACCAUGCCUUUUGGACGGCAGCUGGUGAAGAUCGUGAAGCACCUGAAGAUUGGGCUUCCCACAUUCACUGGAACCUUCACCGCCACCCUGCCCGAGGAGACAUGUUGGAGGAUCGAUGCCCAUAUCCCUGGACGCAUCCUCGGAAACCGCACCAAGCCCAUUGAUUUCCAUGUGGAUACUGCAACAUGGGGCUUGGGCAGGGGCAUCGCUGCUCACAUUGCUCUCGGACGCAUUCGGGAGGAGUAUGACGAAGACCUCAAGAGGACCUCCUUCGUGAUGUACGGACGCCGUGACGUAAAAGGAGAUGUGGUGCGUACCCUGGAGGACGAGACGAUAGCAUCCCAUAUCCAGGACAUGGAGGAUCACAUUCGUAUGAUGGAGCUGGAGCUGUCUGACAACAUGAUCGUCAUCAAGAACCUCAUGACUCGCAAGGCCGAUCUCGAGGAGGAACUCCAAGACGCUCGCAUCGAGCAUGAGGGAGAGCUGGACGCACUACAGGAGAAGAUCGACGAUCUGAAGCUUGAGCUUGAGGAGGCCGAGGAGAAGCUGGAUGAGGGAGAAAACAUUCAGGAGGAUCACUCGUAUGGUGCCUAUGUCAGCCAGGACAAGGACCAGGGUGAUGAGCUUGGAGAUGAUGACACCGACAGUGAUGCAAGAACACCUGAUGUCAACAUGGUUGACUGGUCUUCAUCCGACGAGAGUUAGAUUUUAUACCCCCAUGAGAGUUGGAAAUUUGGUUUCGUUAUCCGAUUAGUUUUAUUUCAUUUGUGAGACCUUGUCAAAUCUUGUGACAUGGCUUACCUUAGGUUUGAUUGUUCGUGUGAACCCCUUUGAGUGAAAUUGAAUUGGAGUGAUUUGAAGUUUUAUUGCUAUCAUGUGCAUAUGGGUAGUAUGAUUUUACUCCCUAGGCCUUAUUCUAUUCUGACUUCUCAUCCACUCUAAACCCAUCAGAUGCCUUCAAGACGUGACCCCGAAUUCAACUUUCCGCCGGGGCUCACACAAUUGAUCCAGCAGCAGAAUGCUCUUAUGCAGAUGCUCAUUCAGAACCAGAACCAGAACAACAACAACCCACCGCCGCCACCCCCAGUUGACAGUCUUACCCGUUUUCUGAGGCUGAAACCACCCGUGUUCUCCAGCAGCACGGAACCAAUCGUCGCAGAUGACUGGCUCCGCAAGAUAGGAAGGGAGCUAGCCACGGCAGGAUGCAAUGAUGCUGAGAAGGUGAAGUUUGCCGCCCAUCAGCUGGAUGGCCCGGCCGCUGCUUGGUGGGAGAACUACACCACCACAUACCCCUUGGAGAAUGUGACUUGGACUCAGUUCCAGCAGGCAUUCCGCACUGCUCAUGUCUCAGCUGGAGCCAUGAGUCUGAAGAAGAAGGAGUUCCGCAGCUUGCGCCAGGGAGGACGCACGGUAUCCCAGUAUGCUGAGGAGUUCAGUAAGUUGGCCCGUUAUGCACCAGGGGACGUGGCCACUGAUGCAGCCAAGCAGGAGAAGUUUCUGGAGGGACUAAACGAUAAGUUGGGAGUUCAGUUGGCUGUGGUGACCUUUGCGAACUAUCAGGAGUUGGUUGAUAAGGCUACCAUUCUCGAGGGCAAGCACCAGCAGAUGGAGAAUUGUAAGAGAAAGUACGGUCAUGGGAAGUAUAACUCUGGAGUUCAACAAAAACCCCGCUAUAGCCCGUACUCAGGAAGUUCUGGAUCAGGAACUAGCAAGUUUGGAGGGAAUCAUCAUAACCAUGGAGGCCACAUUCAGCAUGGAGGAAAUGGACACAACCACCAUGGUCACAAGCAUGGAAAUGGCAAUGGAGGGAAUGGCAACCAGCCGCAUUUCAACUCUUCUACACCAAUGAAGAAAGAUCUGAGUCACAUCACUUGCUUCAAAUGCAAGAAGACAGGGCACUACUCCAAUGAGUGUCCUGAGGCGCAGAAUGGAAAUGGAAAUGGCAAUGGGAAUUCUGGAGGCAAGAAGCCUAAUCCUUUCACUAAGGGGCAUGUGAAUCAUGUCAAUGUGGAAGAGGUCUAUGAACAGCCUGACGCAGUGAUUGGUAAGUUCUUGGUUAAUUUAUUUCCAGCACUCAUUCUUUUUGACACUGGUGCAUCGCAUUCAUUCAUAUCGAGGGGAUUCGUGGAUAGACAUAAGUUGCCUACCGUAGCUCUUAAGGCACCAAUUCUAGUGAGUUCCCCAGGAGCCGAGUCUAUGGCUAGUCAGGGAUGUUUCCAGUUGCCUUUGAACAUAGGGGGACAUGUUUUCCCUACGGAUAUGAUCAUACUAGAGUCACAAGGGUUGGAUGUAAUCCUAGGGAUGGAUUGGAUGUCCAAGUAUGAGGGGACCAUCGAUUGUGCUAGUAGAUCGAUUUUUCUCACCACCCCAGAGAAGAAGAGGAUCAAGUAUGUAUCCAGGCUUAAGCCUAAGAGGACUCAGGUGAACUCUCUUACGGGAGUUGUCCAGGAAGAAGUACCAGUGGUGAAGGAUUAUCCCGAUGUAUUUCCGGAGGAGUUACCAGGUAUGCCGCCAGAUCGGGAGAUUGAGUUUUUGAUUGAGUUACUGCCAGGUACAGGACCUAUCUCCAAGAGGCCGUAUCGGAUGCCCGCUAAUGAUUUGGAGGAAGUCAAGAAACAGAUUAAGGAGUUGCUAGAGAAAGGGUAUAUUCGCCCGAGUUCAUCACCUUGGGGAGCCCCAGUACUCUUAGUAGAGAAGAAGGAUGGAACCUUGAGGAUGUGUGUGGAUUAUCGCUCUUUGAACGAGGUGACCAUCAAGAACAAGUAUCCCCUACCGAUGAUCAAUGACUUGUUUGACCAGCUAGAAGGAGCUAGUGUUUUCUCCAAGAUCGAUCUUCGAUCGGGUUAUCACCAAUUGAAGAUCCGUGAGAAGGAUAUACCCAAGACAGCUUUUACUACAAGGUAUGGGCUUUAUGAGUAUACAGUCAUGUCCUUUGGUUUGACUAAUGCCCCUGCCUAUUUUAUGAGCAUGAUGAACAAGGUGUUCAUGGAGUUCUUGGAUAAGUUCGUUGUGGUAUUCAUUGAUGACAUAUUGGUUUUCUCCAAGAAUGAGGAGGAACACGCUGAACAUCUGCGCUUGGUUCUGGAGAAGCUCAGAGAACAUCAACUUUAUGCCAAGUUCAGCAAGUGUGAGUUUUGGCUCAAGGAAGUCGGAUUCCUUGGACAUGUUGUGUCAGGUGAAGGGAUUGCAGUGGACCCUACCAAGGUAGAGUCAGUCACAGAAUGGAAUGCACCCACCACAGUUGGCGAGAUUCGCAGUUUCCUUGGACUUGCAGGAUAUUACCGGAGAUUUAUUGAAAAUUUCUCUAAGAUUGCAAGGCCCAUGACAACGUUGUUGAAGAAGGACACCAAGUUCGUUUGGACUGAAGAGUGUGAAGCCAGCUUUCAAGAGUUGAAGAAGCGUUUGGUUACAGCCCCAGUGCUAAUCCUACCUGACAUACACAAGGACUUUCAGGUGUAUUGUGAUGCUUCACGUCAGGGACUUGGAGGUGUUCUUAUGCAGGAGGGAAAAGUUGUAGCUUAUGCUUCACGACAGCUUCGACCUCAUGAGUUGAACUAUGCCACGCAUGACUUGGAGUUAGCAGCCGUUGUGCAUGCACUCAAGACAUGGAGACACUAUCUUAUUGGGAAUCGUUGUGAUGUUUACACGGAUCACAAGAGUUUGAAGUACAUUUUCACGCAGAAGGAGUUGAAUCUCAGGCAAAGGAGAUGGUUGGAACUUAUAAAGGAUUAUGACAUGAGUCUGCAUUAUCACCCAGGAAAAGCCAAUGUUGUGGAGGAUGCUUUGAGCCGUAAGAGUUACGUUAACACCCUUACAGCAGGAGAUUUACCUCCGGAGUUAUGUGAUGAGCUUAGAGACCUUCAGUUAGAAAUAGUUCCAAGAGGUUAUGUUGCCGCACUCGAGGUACAGUCCACCUUGUUGGGAAGAAUCAGAGAAGCCCAGAAGUUGGACCAAGGUAUUGCUGAGAUAAAGGAAAUGAUGGGAAAAGGGAAAGCAAAAGGAUUCCGUGAGGAUGAAAAUGGAACCAUAUGGUUUGAGCAACGGAUUUGUGUACCCAAUGAUCCAGAGAUCAGGAAGUUGAUUCUUCAGGAGGCUCAUGACUCACCAUAUUCGAUACACCCAGGCAACACCAAGAUGUAUUUGGACUUGAAGGAAAGUUUUUGGUGGGCCGGUAUGAAGAGAGAGAUUGCCGAGUAUGUGGCAAUAUGUGAUGUAUGUCAGAGAGUAAAGGCAGAGCAUCAGAAACCAGCAGGUUUACUUCAGCCGUUGCCAAUACCUGAUUGGAAAUGGGAUAAACUUGGUAUGGACUUUAUCACGGGGUUACCCAGGACCCGUUCAGGUUAUGAUUCCAUUUGGGUGAUAGUGGAUCGUUUGACCAAGGUUGCUCACUUCAUUCCAGUGAAGACCACCUAUACAAGUGCUAAGCUGGCAAAGAUAUAUAUGACCAGGAUUGUAUGUCUGCAUGGAGUUCUGAGGAGCAUCGUAUCAGAUAGAGGAACAUAGUUUACCUCAAAGUUUUGGAAUCAGUUGCAUGAAACUUUGGGUACCAGGCUAGAGUUUAGUACAGCCUUCCAUCCACAGACUGAUGGGCAGACAGAGAGAGUCAAUCAGAUUCUGGAGGACAUGCUGAGAGCUUGUGCGCUAGACUAUGGGUCUAGUUGGGAUGAUAACUUACCCUACGCAGAGUUCUCGUAUAACAACAGCUACCAAGCCAGUUUGCAGAUGGCCCCUUUCGAGGCAUUGUAUGGCAGGAAAUGCAGGACACCUUUGAUGUGGAAUGGAGUUGGAGAUCGCAAAUUAUUUGGACCUGAUUUGAUCAGGGAUUCAGAGGAGAAGGUCAAGUUGAUUCGUGACAGACUUAAGAUAGCCCAGUCAAGGCAGAAAAGCUAUGCUGAUGCUAAACGCAAGGAAGUGAUCUAUGAAGUGGGAGAUAGAGCAUACCUUCGAGUGUCUCCACUUCGAGGUAUUAAGAGAUUUGGAGUCAAAGGAAAGUUAGCACCACGAUUUGUGGGACCAUAUAGAGUUCUGGAACACAGAGGAGAGGUUGCAUACCAGUUGGAACUACCAGAGGCUUUGACAGGAGUUCAUGAUGUGUUCCAUGUUUCCCAGCUGAAGAAGUGUCAUGCAGAGAUGGCGGAUAUUCCUUUGAGGGAUACAGUGCCACUCGAGGCAAUUCAGUUAGAGAGCGAUCUGACUUAUGAGGAGAAGCCUAUUAAGAUUCUUGAGACUGCAGAGAGGAUCACUCGAACCAAGAUCCUCAGGUUCUGCAAAGUUCAGUGGAGUCACCACACCGAGGAGGAAGCUACCUGGGAAAGAGAAGAAGAUCUCAGGCAGGACCAUCCACACCUUUUUGCUGGCCAACCCGAAUCUCGAGGACGAGAUUCAUCUUAAGGGGGGUAGGUUUGUAACAUCCCAAUUUUUAUUAAAUUCGGAUGUUAAUAGAAUCAUUCAAUGCAUAUCAUAUUUCUUUGCAUUUUGGAGUUUUAAAAAAAAAUAUAUUCAAAUAAUAUUUUCCACUCGAGAAAAAAAAACAAAUGAGAGGGGAUAAGAUGACUUCCUCAAAAUAUAAAAGAGUGGGAAAUUUUAUUUUGAAUAUUAUUUGAAGUUUCGGAGUUUAUUUGGUAUUUAUUUUAUCUGCAAAAAGUGCAUUAAUUGCAUUAGGAAAAUAUUUUCAAAAUGUUCUGUGCUUAAGUUAAUGUUCACUAGGCUCUAUUUAUUGCAUAGUUAAUUUAUAAAUUAUUGUGGUGUUUUUAUUAAUUCUUUUGAAUUAAUUAUGACCACUUUAGUGUUCUGUUUAAAAAAAACACACGCACGCACUCACCGCAGCCUGGACCGAAACUGGGUUCGGCCCAGGAGUGCCCCAACCGGCCCACUGGCCAUUCGGCCCAAGGCCAGCCCCAGAGCCGCGCGCCAGAAACCCCCCCGCACCGGUCGACCGCUCCGCGCCGCCCUCGCUCGCCUCCUCUCACUGCCGCUGCCAGGCGGGCCCCGCUCGUCAGCUCGUUCCCCAACCUCCCGCUUCUCCCGCUCGGAUGAGCCCGCCGCCGCACUCCCGAACCCGCCGGCCGAAGCUCUCGGGAUAGAGCUUAUCCCGCUGCUCCCCGACGCCCUCCCCUCGCCUAUAUAAAGGCCAAGGCCCCCUCUUCCAUCCUCGCCGACCCGCACCUUCCCACGCCGCCCCUACCGCUCGUCGUCGCCGUUCGCAUCUCGCCGGAGCUCCGAGCCCCGCCGUCCUCGCCCCGCCCCGACCGGACGUCGCCGACGCACGCCGCCACCACCUUCGCGACGCCCUCGACGCGCCGCACCUCCCCGUCUUCUUCCCCGACGCCGAGGACCGCCGUAGCCGCCGUCCCCUCCGCCACCGACGCCGCGCCGCCGUCUUCGUCGUCGCCGGCCACCACCUCCAGCCCACUGUAAGCCGCCGCCCCACCCUCGCCCGUUAGAUCGGACCCCAACGGUCUAGAUUAGAUUAGGUUCGGUUUUUUUUAUUUUGCGAAGAGGUACGCGGUUAACCGCGGUUCCCUUAGACCGGCCGGUUUUAUUUAAACCGAGCGUCGGUUUUUCUUUAGCUAGCCGCCGCCACUGUUUUUCUUAUUUAGCGGCCGUUCGCCGUAUAGCCUCCGCAGCGGACGCUGCUCGGCCAGCCACGAGCCACCACGUGGCCAGGGACUUGUUUGCGAUAGUUUUCUUCUCUGUUUAGUCCCUGUAAUUAGCAGAUUAGUCCCUAAACUUCGCAUAGCCACAACUUUUUAACCGUAGAUCCAAACUCGAUGAAACCAGCGGCAAAUUCUUCGUAUUGUUUAGCUCUAUCCAGUGGUAUCCUUUUUGCAAACUUUUGACAGAUUCAAAUUUGAAUAUAUUCAGAUUUGAAUUCGAACUUCAAAUGGCCAUAUCUCCCAAACCGUAGCUUCGAUUAAGUUGAUUCUUUUUGCACUUUGUCACCGUAGCCAAACCCUAUCACCUGGAUCUUUGUCACAAUACUUUUCACACACUAGAGUCUGCCCAUUAAUAUUUUACUAGUAUGCAUAGUACGCACUAUAGUUCACAUCACUCUUUGAACCAUAGGCCUAUGUUGUUUUGCAUCUAGAAAUAUUUUUCAUGCUAGUUAAGUGUGAUGUUUGUUCUUUUGGUUUUUCCGAGACUUUUGCUUUGCAUGUUCUUCUUGGUUCUCUUGAAUGUUUGUUUAUGUUUGUUUAUCUCCUUUGCGAUAGAUUGCCCGAAGUGCGAAGCAGAAUAUUUUCAGUCUUUAGAGUUCAACCAGCAGUACCAAGGCAAGUUGAAUCUUGAUCAUGUUUCGUUACCUAUGUUUUUAUUAUGCACUUAGUUCUUUGCGGUAGGACUGCAUGGUAGGAAUUGUUGCCGCAUGACUAUGCUUUUCACCCAGUAGUUCAUUGAGGUAGGUCUGAACCAUAUGACAUUGUCGCCAUCGUUUUACAUUAUGUUGCUUCGCUAAAUAGACGUGGAUUGGGGAGUGAACAUUGUAGAGCAUGAGUAACAAUGUAGUAAGUAGGACCUAAGAUAAUUAAUGAACUACCUGGGCGGAAACUUGAUGGAAUGGUGGCGAAGUACAGUGGGGCACGCAUGGGAAAUCCAUGGUGGUGCACCACUAGUGGACCGUCCGCUCAGGCUCAAAGAGAUCAAUCGUAUUCUCAUGUCUAGAAGCUUACGUGUGCAGCCACAAGCCAAUAUGGGCUCUGGCUUAGUUGAGUAGUUAGUGUGACCCCUUCCGGGAUGGGCUAGCAGAUGUAGAAGGAUGUAGGUGUACCGGCCUAUCCGUGGGUUAAGGGGGAGCAUUUUCGAAAGACUAUGUCUCGAUCUUCCGAUCAUGGAGGUGGUCGAGUCUUGUGGGGAAAAGUGCGCAACCUCUGCAGAGUGUCAACCUAAUCGAUUAGCCGUGUCCCCGGUUACGGACAUCUUGAGCAUCUAGUAGUGAAAAUGCUGGGAGAUCUCCUCACCUUUAAUUAAACAGUUGGGAUUUAAAUGAAACUUGGGAACGAAUGGAGUUGGGUUUGCCAACUCAUCCUAAGCAAAUGUGUAGUAGUAGAAUAACAUCUUUUCUAAUAGGGAAAAACUAGCUUUAUGCAAAAGUUAAACUUAGAGCUUUCCACCAGCCAAAUUGCAUGUACAAGUAGGUUCAUUACACUUAUGAUGUGACUUGCCAGUACAUUCAAUGUACUGACCUAUAUGGCUGCAACUUAUCACGUUGCAGAUAUAUCCGACGAGGAUUAAGGUGCGAUAGGUCGAUGUUCUACACUCAACCUUGCUCGUGGAGUUGGACUCAUUUACUACUUAGCUUCCGCAGUAUUUGUUUAUUGGCUCUAUGCCCUAUUUGGUAAUAAAUGUAUUGCUCCUGGACUAUCGAUGUAAUAAAGAGAUGUGUGUUAUUUCUGUUAUUUCAUCGAGUACUGUGUGUGCUAGCAAGUCGAUCCAGGGACUAGCACGGUAAGCACAGAGACUUCGACUCUUACCGAGUCGGGUCGCUACACUAAAUAAAAGGGUUCUCAAAGUCCCCUCAGAACUAGAGUCGAGUAACACAGUCAUGGUCCCAUGGGGUUUCAGGAUAACGACAUGCAAAUGUGGUUAACACAAUCAGCUCUCUCAUUAAGAUUUGUCUUAUUUUUUAUCACUACGGGAAAAUUCAUGUUUGCCGAGUGUUAGUGUCUGUGUUGAGUGCAUUAUGUUGGGCACUCGGCAAACAUAUCUUUGCCGAGUGUAAUCCUGAAACAUGGUAAACAUGUGCUUUGCCCACUGUCGUGGAAAAAAACUCUGGCAAAAAAGUUAUAGUUACUAAAAGGUGCUUUGUUGAGUGUCUUGGAAAUAACUCUUGGCAAAAUAGUGGAACUUGGGCAAAGAUGUGCUUUCCCGAGUGCUACACUCGGCAAAAGGGGGCAUGCACUGUGCUCACUGUUUUGGCUGUCGAGAUUGCAUACAACCUUGGAUGAAGAUGAUCCAAAAAUCAAAGUUUUUCAUUUCGACAAGAUGAAUAGUUUUCAUGUUGAGGACCUUUUUAGUUUAGGCCAUAUUAUUUACACUUUUUGCCAUGCCAAAAUAUGGUCCCAAAUGAAUAAGGAGGUGUUCAUAUUUAUUGUAUAGUUUAUGACUAUGGGCCUAACCUUGGCAUUUAUGUGCAUCUUGCCAUUACAAACAAUUUUGCCAAAUAGAGUUUCCAACAUUUUGUACAAAAAUAAUUUUUUUAUUUUUGAAGCGUAAAAAAUUGAUACUUUUGUGAAGCUGGUAAAAAUAGACCAUGUUUUUUUAGAAAAUUCCCAUUUCUUGUGGAUUUUCUAGAUUUCUAGCUACUUUCACACAUUUAUAUGACUUUAUUAUGAUUCCACAAAAUUAAUUCAAUUUGAACUGUAAUUGUGUGAUAGCUCUGUCCUAGAAAUUUGCAAAAAAUACUUUUAGGUACAUAAGUAGUCAUUACCUGGAAAACCCACUUAGAGUUUGAGAGAUUCAACCCCUUACAUGAAUAGCCAUGCCGGCCACUUUCACCCCGUUUGGAAAAAAUGAAACAAAAAGCAUACAAGUUCAAAAAAUGCAAUCCUUUCAUAUGGACUCCCUUUAUGUGUACUAGUCUGGAUGAAAAUACCAAACUUUCAAUAUGACAGUUUUCAAAGAAAAAUAUCCUUCACAAAUGGGCUAUCCUCUAUGAACAUUCAUGGCUUUCAAGUCAAUGACCAAGGUGAUGACCAUAUUCAUUGCAUAGUUUAUUAUAAUGUGCCUAAAUUAGACAUAUAGGUGAACCUUGCCAUUACAAAUAAUGUUGCAAAAUAGAGUUUCCAACUUUUUUGUUCAAAAAAAUCAUUUUCCAUUUCAGUGUAAAAAAUGGGUGUCUUUUGUGAAGUAGGUACCAAAAACAGGGUACAAAAUGGCACCACUCCAAUUUUCACAAAAAGUAGACCGUAUUUUAUGGACAAUUCCCAAAGUGUGUAGAUUUAUCUCUUAAAAUUUGACAAUUGGUGUAUUUUUUAAUAUUUAAUGAAAAUAAAAUAUGUAUUUUUAAUAGGAAGGGCGGAUAUUUAAAGGAUAGCAUAUACAUCUGAGGGUGUACGUUAAAGCGUUGGUACCUUUAUGUGCCAGUUUACGCCAUGCUCAACCGGCAAUGUGGUAGUAUUAAUCAGUAUAUACUUUUGAUUGUAAAAGAAAUCAAUAUAUAACUUGUUUGGAUUAUUUUAGUUUGCAGGGCAAACUUAAAAUGGAUUUAUUUAGCCUAUUUUUGUGAAAUCACUAAUUAGGAGGUACCUUUUGCAAAGGUCACACCACACUGUCAUUAGUGCUGACAAGUGGAACAUGGCAUGUGUGUUCCUUGUCGCAACAUGGGAAUUUCCCCCUUUUUGUAGAUUCAUUUUUUUAAAUCUUUUAUCUCUUGAACCGCGCAUUCAAAUCACGACCCAUUUUUAUCGUUGGAUUUCUCGUGCCGAGAUCGUUGAAACUAGUCGCAUGUUAAUAAGUUCCGAUGAACUUUUUCUUCACGAAAAUCAAAAAUCAAAAAAAUAUGAAAACAAAAAAUACAGAAAGCAAAAAAAGAAAAAAACCUAAAAUCACGAUUGUGCUUUUUUACGUUUUUGGGAAGAAAAAUUGUGUUUUCCCCUUUUUGGGAAACACGGUUUUGCUUCUUGUGCAAGCAUAGGUUGUGCUUUUCCCUUUUCAAGAAGCAUAGGCCAUGCUUCUCUUGUUCUCCGGGAAGCACAUAUGUGCCUUCCCUUUCGGGGAGCACAGUUUUCUCUUUCGGAAAAGCAUAGAUGUGUUUUUCGCUUUUCAGAGAAGCACUACCUAUGCAUCUCACCGAAGAACAUGCCAUGCUUUUCCUUUUUUGAGGAAGUAUAGUUGUGCUUUCCCUUUUUUACAGGGAAACAAAAAUUGUGCUUUCUUCCUUCUUGGGAAGCUAUGCUUCCCGCGGAAAAGCACCGCCUCAUGAAAAAACAUAAAAAUGAUUUUUUUCAUCAAAACCUAGCGAAAACCAAGAAAAAAAGAAAACAUAUGUAAAAAAAUCUAAGGGUGUACCCAGUGCACAACACGUGGCGGCAAUUGGACGCAUCACUUCAUGCGCUCUCAGGUCCGAAAAGUAGCCUCUGUGGAAUCCCCCAAUGAGAUACCCGUUAGAUAGUUGGAGACCUCCUUGCAUCAAAUAGGAGGGUGGCCACAAAGGGGGCGCAUCCUGAUGGGCCGGCCCAGCAGCGUGCUACACUCUAGCGCAAAUUGGUCAAAAUCUAAAAAGUGAUGUGUGACCAAAGCGUGCAUGGCUAGACACUCAAGCUAAUGAAACUCUGCUAACUACUAGGCCGUGUUGAACUUUAAAAUGUACUAUAUGAUACCCCGCUUGUUGUUGCGGGAACUCUUAGUACUUUACAUGAAGAAGCUUGUGGAGUGAAAAUAAUUAAAUGAUGAAAAUAUACACUUUUUAAAACUUUUGGUGGUACUUGUAGGAACAAUAUGGACUGAAAAUAAGUUAAUAAUUAAUAUAUUUUUGAACCUUUGAUGGUAUUUUGAGAAUCAUGAGAGAAAUGGUAUAUUAGGGUAUCUCUGUAUUUAUGUAGUUAGAACGCGUCACCCUUUAGCGGGGAAUUAAAUGCAUCACUAACAUUAAAAAAUAGAGCAUAUAGUUUGAUGGGAAUUUCACUGAAAACAUGGCCAGCCAAGUCUAAAGCUGAAUAUUACACUGAACAGAGAGCCCAAUCAUUGCCUAACAUAAAAGCACUAAUGCUUGUUGAGUUAUUUGUAAUAUAGGAGCAGAAUCCCUUCGAAAGAGAAAUUCCAAAAUAUUAAAAAGAUCCAACAGUAAGACAUCCAUACACCUUACAGUUUAUACAUGGCGACAAGCUACAUACCAAUCGCUAAAAAAGGUGAAUAUAGAGUCAUGCACAUCAGGCCCUCAUGGCAUAGAUGCAUUUCUUCCACUAAAACGACAUGCCUUAAGGGGAUUAGUGUAGGUGUGAAGAUCUAUACAUAUAAAUGGCAAGAAUGACUUCAUCUUCCUACCCCUUCUGUGGAAACAGAGGCUGGACUUCAAUUGGGAUCCGUCUGACAUGUUGCUCCCUCUUCAUAAAAUGGAGCUGAUUGUUAUCUAAAAGCAAGCUACGUAGAUUUGGCAUGGCCAGCAGUAGUACUUGCUACUGUGCCAGUUGUGAUGCAUCAUAUGAGAAGGCAAGGAAGGUUGCGUGCUGCCAUGGUCGCACCCUUUGGGGUGCCAAAUGGUGUUCAAAUUUAUAGUAGGUUCCAUUUUUGGUGGGAAUCCAAGGAAAAGAAGGCAAUGGAGUAAGAUGACAACCCAUUCCCAGACUGCCACUCAAAAUCAAAAUGAAGAGGGUAAAUAAAUGUACUUACUAAGAACACACGGAUAACAUACAGCUGGCUACAGAAACAGCCAAACUUUGUAAGUCCACGGAAAUUGAGGAAAUUGUCAAAACUAUUUCUGUGAGUAGAAGGAAUGAAGUCCAGUUACCUUUCAUGGUAAUGCUUCUCUUGAGCCGAUUCUCAGGAUCCCUGAAGAAUGUCUUCUGUUUUCCCGAAGCAGGAUUCCUUGCUAGAGCAGUACCUUUUGUUCUCUUGAGUUAAGGCAGAGUGGGAAAUACAUCACUAUCAGCUCUAGUUCAAUUGCUUGUAUUUUACAAAAACAUACAAUUGAAACAAUUAUCAGGAAAAGUUAUUACCUUAAUCGCAGCAACUCUUUGAGCAUGCAAUUUGGCGUCUUGGUGUAUAAUCUUCAUGUGUAAACAAUUUGUUUUAGCAUCUAGACUCUAUAAUUAAAAUUAAUAAGCUCUUUAAAAGCCGAAGGCAACUAUAUAGACCAAUACAAUUAAACAAAGGCAGCGGGUAGGUUUCAAAUUUGAAGUAGCAGUGCUCCAUAGUUAACUCUCCAUCAUGCAGGCAUUUAGUGUAGUAGAUACAAGACAUACGUGUGACUGAUUGCAUAUGAACAACAUUUAUUAGUAGGAAAAUUGUACUACCGUAUAUUGCACUAACACUAACUAUAUGAAGAAGCCAAUAGCAUGUAAUUUCAGCUUGCAAGAAAGCGCCACUUACUCUUAUAGAUCGCCUAAUCUACAUGGCAACUUCCGGGGAUGGUGAUGGAUAAGUACAGUUGGAUCGUUUUUAGGUGUUAAUAUAUUAUUAUAAAAAUCAUCUUCCUUUACUUUCAAGGGAGAACUGUAGAGGGGAAAGAACAACAUUUUUUAAUCUAAUGAUCCAUCACUUAUUCACAACUAUUGCAAUAACCAAGUAUGUUGGAUGCAAGGAGGAGGUGAGAGUGCAGGCAACAUGUAUGUCACAUCAUGCGAACAGGUGGGGAUCAUGUUAAGUCAAUGCAUAAGGAUGCGUUGUGUGUCCGCGCACCGUCAACACCGCCGAGUAAACAGUAAACUAAACCUGGGGACCAGCGCUCUUGACCUUCCCAGCUACUUCUGGCAUAGGGGGAAUAUUUGAGGAUUUAUAGUGCUGAGAUUAGGGUUAGGNNNNNNNNNNNNNNNNNNNNNNNNNNNNNNNNNNNNNNNNNNNNNNNNNNNNNNNNNNNNNNNNNNNNNNNNNNNNNNNNNNNNNNNNNNNNNNNNNNNNNNNNNNNNNNNNNNNNNNNNNNNNNNNNNNNNNNNNNNNNNNNNNNNNNNNNNNNNNNNNNNNNNNNNNNNNNNNNNNNNNNNNNNNNNNNNNNNNNNNNNNNNNNNNNNNNNNNNNNNNNNNNNNNNNNNNNNNNNNNNNNNNNNNNNNNNNNNNNNNNNNNNNNNNGGGGCGCGUCCCUAAGUCUUAUGGCCACCUCGUGUGUCUUCUAGCCUCCUCCCGAAGCUUCCUAGGUUUUUCUGGUCCAAGAAAAAUCAUCGUAAAGUUUUAUUCGUUUGGACUCUGUUUGAUAUCCCUUUUCUGUAAAAUUCAAAAACAAGAAAUAAAACAGAAACUGACACUGGGCUCUGGGUUAAUAAGCUGGUCCCAAAAAUAAUAUAAAAUAACAUAUUAAUCCAUAUAAAUCAUCCAAAAUAGAUAAUAUAAUAGCAUUGAACAACCAAAAAUUAUAGAUACGUUGGAGACGUAUCAGGAUCAUGUUAAGUCGAUGCGAAAGGAUGCAUUGUGUGUCUGCGCCCUGGAUACUUGCAUUUAUAUGGCUCUAUCAGCGUCGCCGAAUAAACUAAAUCUGGGGACCGGUGCUCUUGACCUUCCCAACUACUUCGACUGGAAAUCAGAUCCUCCAUGCCAAAUAAGAAAGACCGUUCAGGUCGUGCUGAUAGAUAGGAAAGAGACCACUCACCUCCGACAAUGGCACGUGUGGCUCGCCUGAAGGACGUUGGGUUGAAUCCACGGUGUUGGGCUAGCGUAGCACCCAUUAGCGGCAAUCAUGGGGCUCCAAGAUGGCAUCAUCGUGUAGAUGUCUGGUGUUGUUGGCCAUAGACGGUUUUGUCAAAGGCGACGCAUUAUGGAAAGAUGGAGACAUAAAAGAGGGGAGGAGAAGAACCAGGAAGACAAUAGAGAUUUAUUGGUGAAGGGGAGAUGAACGGAAUCAUCGGGCGAAGAGGUGAUGGCUCGUGUCCGCAUUAGUAUUUUCCCCGAAGAGGAAGGGAUGAUGCAACACAGCUACGGUAGGUAUUUCCCUCAGUGAUGAGACCAAGGUUAUCGAACCAGUAGGAGAACCACGCAACACUAUGUAAACGGACACACAAAGAACAAAUACUUGCAACCCGACGUGUAAGAGGGUUGUCAAUCCCUCCCGGGUAAAAGAUAGAUUGGUUUCUAGUAGAUUGGAUAAAUAGAUCUCGCGGAAACGCAGAAUAAAAUAAAUAACAAAAAAUUGCAUCAAGGUAUUUUUUGGUUUUUAGAAUAAUAGAUAUCUAUACCUACUAAUAAAAGAAAUAGGUAUUCUUCGUCCGUCAUGCUAUUUUGUAGAAAACCCCAUGAUGUUUCUGACAUUAAACCCGCAGUACAUAUCAAGUGCUUUUUAAAAUACUCAUAAUUUUAAACCAUAACUCCAAAUUUAACAUAUUAUAUAUGGAAUUUAAUUAGAAAAUUAUGUAGAAUCUAAAUAUGAUGUUAUUUUACCAGUUAACAAUUUUUAAAAUAAACUAUCUAGGCUGCAAUGUUAAUCAACAAUGCAUUAUCCGUCUUUUUUUCAUACCGGUAUUGAUUUAGAUUGGGGAUGAAAACCUCAGCAAAAUCAGGAUUGGACAUCAGAUUGAAGAUAAAUUUGUUAGGGACACCGAAUAAAUAAGGACAUGCAUGACAAGAAAUAAAAAGAUCCAAUAAAGAUGGGAUGUCCGCUAUAAAAAUAAAUAAAAGAGAAAAUGCAGAGGAGAUCCGAUAAAGAUGAGAUGUUGCGCUAUUCUCCUAUAUAUAAGAAGAGUAAAAGGAGGACAUGCAUGCAAAAAGGUCAAAAGGAGGCAUGCAUGAAAAAAAUACAAGUUUUAUAAAAAAUAAGUAGUGAUGAAACAGGGACCAAUACCUAUGACAUGUAUGGCAAGAAAUAGUGAUGAAAUAGGGGCACAAGUACCUGAGUCGACAGGAGACCAUAAACAAUGUUCUUUUCCAGACAAAAAAAAACCUAUUUUAUGAUUAAAAAUCUUGUACCUUUUUGACAACCUUUUUAACUCUUCAUGUAUUUAAGAAAUAGCUACAAAUUCUCGAAUUAUAAAACAUUUUUUGUAAAUUAAGAGCGUGUGGUACUUUUUUCCCGUUGCAACGCACGGGCCUUUUUGCUAGUGAAAAUAAAAGAGGCAUAUAAUAGAUCGGAAAGAAAAUAUGAUAAAGAAUAGACCCGGUGGCCGUAGAUUUUCACUAGUGGCUUCUCUCCAGAAAAAUAGCAUACAGUGGGUAAACAAAUUACUGUUGGGAAAUUGAUAGAACUUCAAAUAAUUAUGACGAUAUCUGGGCAAUGAUCAUUGUAUAGACAUCAUGUCCUAGAUUAGUAGACCUGCUCCUUCCUGCAUCUACUACUAUUACUCCACACAUCGACCGCUAUCCAGCAUGCAUCUAGUGUAUUAAGUUCAUGGAAAAAUGGAGUAAUGCAAUAAGAAUGAUGACAUGAUGUAAACAAGAUCUAUUCAUGUAGGAAUAGACCUUAUCUUGUUAUCCUUAAUGCAACGAUCAAUAUGUGUCUUGCUGCCCCUUCUGUCACUGGGAAAGAACAACGCACGACCGAUCCCAUCACAAAGCACCUCUUCCCAUGGCAAGAAAAAUCGAUCUAGUCAACCUAACUAAACCAAAGAUUCGAAGAAGAAUACGAGGCUAUAAGUAAUCAUGUGUCUAAGAGAUCAAAACUCAAAUAACUUUCAUGUAUAAAAUAGAUCUGAUGAUAAACACAAAGUUCAUCGGAUCCCAACAAACACUCCGCAAAAAGAGUUACAUCAAAUAGAUCUCCAAGAGACCAUUGUAUUGAGAAUCAAAAGAGAGAGAGGAAGCCAUCAGGCUACUGCCUACGGACCCGUAGUUCUACAAUGAACUACUCACGCAUCAUCGCAGAGGCACCAAUGAGGAUGAUGAACCCCUCUGUGAUGGUGUCUAGAUUGGAUCUCAUGGUUCCGGAACUUGCGGCAGCUCGAAUUGUGUUUCGUUGACUCCCCUAUGGUUUUUGGAUUUUCCGGGUAUUUAUAGAGCAAAAAGGUUGUGCGGGAGGCACCGAGGUGGGCACAACCCACCAGGGCACGCCUGGGCCCCCAGGCGCGCCCAGGUGGGUUGUGUCCCCUGGGGGCACCCCUCUGGUACUUCUUUGGCCCAAGUUGUUCCUUCUGGUCUAGAAAAAUUCUCCAAAAAGUUUCGCUGCGUUUGGACUCCGUUUGGUAUUGAUUUUCUGCGAAGUAAAUAACAAGCAAAAAAUAACAACUGGCACUGGGCACUAUGUCAAUAGGUUAAUAAAAUGAUAUAAAGUUGCUAUAAAAUGAUUGUAAAAUAUCCAAGAAUGAUAAUAUAACAGCAUGGAACAAGCAAAAAUUAUAGAUACGUUGGAGACGUAUCAAGAGGCAAUAAGAGGAAGGCGCAGCAAUCAGUUCGACGGUAGUAAAAAAUUACACGAUUCGUUUUGUUGAAAAGGGAAAAAGGAAGCAUUAGUGACGUGGCAGAUUUUCUUACGUGGAUGGAUGCAUGUUGAUUGCUGAUGUGGGUAGGCUACAUGUCAAGAGAAAUACGGUACUGGGGAUGAACUAUUUAGGUAUUAUAGAUGCGCAACAUCACAUCUAAACUCUUUAUGAAAUUACAAAACACGAUGGUUUUUAAAAUGGAUAUAUUUUGGAACCCAAUUUUUUUAAAUUUAUGAAUAAAUUUUUGAAAACUAGAACAAUUUCUUGAGUCUAUGAACAAUUUUUUGAACACGAACUUUUUUUCAAAAUUUCAAAAACGCAAUUAUUUUUUUAAUGCAACCUUUUUCAAAAUUUAAAAACAUGAUUGUUUGUAAAGUGAAUAUGUUUUUAAAAUUCUAGACUAAAUUUGGAAGUUGAAUAUGUUUUGAGAAACACUCGAAAUUGUGGAUGUUUUCUAAAACGUCAAAGAACUUUGAAAAAUAUCAAACAUUUUUCAAAGCACGGAUAGUGCAAAAUAAAAAAAACAAACCGAAAAUCUUUUAGAAAUUUUGAAUUUAUGAAAAAACAAAAAGAAACAGAAAAUGAAAAAAGAAAGAAAGCAAGGAAAAGCAGUGAAGAAAGAAAACAGAAAAAGGGAAAAAACCUGAAAAUAGAGGUAAAGACUGAUCCUAGCUACUUGGGCUGGUCCAUCUAUGGUUUACUCACUGCUCCUUUCGGAGAUUUCUUUUAGGUGUAAAACCAAGUUUUAUACAACAAACACCAUAGAGUGUGGGAUAGAGUUUGGGUCAUGGCAUUUUCCAAAGCAAACAUUGCGUCCCAGACCUAAAGAAAGAGAAAACCUGCCUAGAUUAUGUGCUUCGACAUUUACAGGAUGAUCUUUAGAUAAAAAAAUACAAUGAAAUAAAUACGGUUGCAACUUGAUCUCGUUGAUAAUGGCUCGUGUCCACAUAGUUUGCUCACAUUUUUGAGAGAAAAUUUAGCCUUGAUGGGCUGGGAAAUUGGGCUAGCCAUCCUCGAGUGUGACUGGCUUGUCUUUGUCUAAGCAAGUAAUAUGCGAAUAGCCUCAAGUCUAGCAACAGGUGCAAAAGUUUCAUCGAAAUCAAUUCCUUCAACCUGUGUGUAGCCUUGAGCUACAAGUCGUGCCUUAUUCCACACCACAAGGCCAUUUUUAUCUGGCUUGUUGCGGUAGAUCCACUUUGUGCCAAUGAUAUUAUGCUUGCGAGGAUCUGGACGUUUGACUAGUUCCCAGACAUCACUACUAGGGAAAAGACUAUACACAGAAUCUUAUCAGCAGCGUGCUGUAAAAUAAGGCGCUGCUGCUAAUUAGCAGUAGCGUGCUCGGGGGUAACUCACUGCUGAAACCAAUAUGGCAGUAGCGCACCUGCUCAAAGAAGCGCUACUGCUAUAAUCCCCACGAGGCCGCCACGAGGCUAGUUAUAGCAGCAACGCGUUAUAACGACGGGCGCUACUGCUACAUAGCACAGUAGCAGCGCAUUGCUGCAAUAAGCGCUACUGCUAAAUUUACUACAGAAGUUUUGCCCCAUCUCCUCUAUCCGAUCCACACUCACACAGUCACACACUAGCUCACUGGAUCCCCUCUCAAUCCCCCAUGCCGGUCCACCCCCGUCGCCCCUCCUCUACUGCGCUGCCGUCACCUCCUCCUCCUCCUUGCUGGACUCGGUACCCGCCUCCUCCUCUGUCCUCCCUCUCCACUCGCCGCUGGCCGGCCCCUCCUCGCUCCGCCUUCCUCCUCCGUCGUCCCUCCACUGGCCGCGCCAGCCGGCCCCUCCUCGCUCCGCCUUCCUCCUCCAUCCUACUCUCUUCUCCCUCCUCGAGUCGCCCCUCCUUCUCCCUCCUGCCCGCUACAUUUUGAUUUAGUAGCUAGGCUAGUUCAUAUGCAACAUUUUUAUUUAGUUGAUUUAAUUAGUAGGCUAGUUGAUUUAGUUGACUUAGAACAUUUUGAUUUAGUUGAUUUAAUAGGCUAGUUCAUUUAGUUGAUUUAGUUGACUUCGAACAUUUUGAUUUAGUUGAUUUAAUAGGCUAGUUCAUUUAGUUGAUUUAGUUGACUUAGAACAUUUUGAUUUAGUUGAUUUAGUAGGGUAGUUCAUUUAAUUAGUUGAUUUAGAACAUUUUGAUUUAGUUGAUUUAGUAGGCUAGUUUAUUUAGUUGAUUUAGAACAUUUUGAUUUAGUUGAUUUAGUAGGCUAGUUGAUUUACUUGACUUAGAACAUUUUGAUUUAGUUGAUCGUUAAUCCUUUGCUCAUAUUGCUUUAGGAAAAAUGGCGCCACCACCACCACCACUAUGUCGACUAUGCAAGUUAAGAUGCGCCAGCAGCCUUGCAACUGGCAAGCUGUUCGGCAUCUACUUCCAGCCGAGUUUUCGUCAUGCGGCGGUAAGAAAUUAGAUGAAAUGUAAUAACUAUUUUGUUUUUAGUGUUGGCAUUACUGCAUUGUGUCAUUUUGCUUAUUUUACACAGAUCGUCCCAUGCAAUGUGAGGUUGAAAUUCAACAAGCCGACAGGAGACACUGUGACAUUUGAGGCUCCUAGGGGGCCGUACACUAUGGAGGUCGAGAAAGGACGCAAUAUGUCGCAGAUUGGAGGAGAUGGAUGGGCCCGUUUCGUCGCUCGCAUGUGUCUUACUGGUGGUGAGUUGAUCAGCUUCUCCUUCCGAGCAGAAAGACCCAAGCUAGCUGUCAUUUAUCUCAACCUGGUGGAAGAUGAUGAAGAUGACGAAGAUGAUGAUGAUGAUGAAGAUAAUGAGGACCCACUCGAUGAAGAUGAUGAGGACCCACUUCAUGAAUCCAUCGUAGCUCAAAGAACAAGGCUGAGUGAGGAGGAGGUGUCCAACCUGUGGGACAUAAUUCCGCCACGUGCUGACUUUGUCGGGUUGCCAUUCGUGACUCGCUUGACAAAUACCAUGGUUGAUCGACAUGAUAUGGUAUGUUAUACUUACAAAUGCAAAUUAUUUGAUGAAUUACUUAGUGUAUAGUCCAAUGAUAUGGUAUGUUGUGUGGAAUCUAGUCGAUGAUAUGUUUUAGUGUAGAGUUCGAUCACAUGCUUUUUAGUGUAGAAUCUAACGAAACUAUUAAUAGUGUAGAUAAUCCAUAUGUACUUAUUUGCGAGGCUAUUUAUUAAUUGAUAUGUUUUUCUUAUUCAGAAAUUGGCAAAGAGCAUAUUUGUGAGUUAUGGUAUCGAGCCUGAUGAAGAAGGCUCGACUGGACUACGCCUUACUGCAAGGGGCUCCGUCAGAACCUGUACUUACCGCGUGGACACGGACGGUCGCACACACUUAAACUCGGUUGGGUGGAAGAAAUUCCUCGAUGGCAAGAAUCUUCGUGUUGGACAUGCCAUCCUAAUUACUAUCGGGAACACCAACCGCCCAAGCUUAAGGAUGAUGAUUGUCUUCGAUAUCAUCUAGAACUACAUAUGUGUGUGUGGCUAUAUCAUCUAGAACUACAUAUGUGUGUGUGGCUAUAUCAUCUAGAACUACAUAUGAUGAUCGUCGUCAAUAUCAUCUAGAACUACAUAUGAUGAUGGCCGUUGAUAUGACCUUGUACUGCUUGAUGAUGCAUGUUGACUAUGCAUGAAAUUGUUAUCUAGUACUCCCUUCAUUCCAAAUUACUCGUCGUGGUUUGAACUAAAACCACGAUGAGUAAUUUGGAACGAAGGGAGUACUACCUAUUAAUGGUUUAUGAAUUUGAUAUCUACUAGCAGUACCUAGUAUCUAGUAUCUGAAAGGGAAACUGAAAGGGAAAGGGGUAAUGGGAAAAUGAUGAAAGAUAUAGCAGUAGCGAGGGAUGGCGAAAUUGCUACAAGUAGGCAAUAGUAGCGCGUUCUUAAAAAGCGCUGCUGAUAUCGUAAAUAGUAGUAGCGCGGGUAAGGGCCGCGCUACUACUAUGAGUUAGCUGUAACGCCUUAUUAGUAGCGCGUCCACCCGCACUGCUGCUAGCCUCAAAACCCGCGCUGCUACUAGGGUUUUCCCUAGUAGUGCAUUGUUGAGCUCGAACUGAUGUAAUUCUUCUUGCAUGGCCUGAAUCCACUCAGGCUCCAGAAAUGCUUCAUCUACCUUAGUGGGCUCUAUGAUGGAGACAAAAUCAUAGUACCCACAAAAGUUAGAUAAAUGUGAAGCUUUUGAGCAUGUGAGAGGACCUGGCGCUCGAAUGUCAUCGAUGAUCUUUUCAACUUGCACUUCUUUUGCAAUGCGAGGAUGAGCUGGUUGUCAUUGAGGAAUUUGAUCAGCAUUUUCUUCAGCACCAUUUUCUUCAGCAUUGUCAUCAGGUGCACCAGCUCGAUUUUCUUCACAUUCUGGAAUGAAUUAUUCAGUAGAUUCUUCGGUAGGAAUAACAUCCUCAGUAGCCUUGAACUUAAUAGAAUCCUUAGGUGCUAGUUCAUCUAUCACAGACGGUAGGUGCUCUCUUUGUGAGCCAUUAGUUUCAUCGAACCGCACAUCUACAGUUUCAACAACCUUGUGAAGAACGUUGUUGAAGACUCUGUAGGUGUGCGAGUCCUUUCCGUAACCGAUCAUAAAACCUUCAUGUGCUUUCGGUGCAAAUUUAGAAUUGUGAUGAGGAUCUUUAAUCCAACAUUUAGCACCGAAGACUUUGAAAUAACUCACAUUGGGUUUCUUGUCAGUGAGGAGUUCAUAGGCAGUCUUCUAGAAGAAUUUGUGAAGAUAUACCCGAUUGAUGACGUGGCAUGCAGUAUCAAUUGCCUCAAUCGAGAAGCAACGAGGCGUCUUGUAUUUAUCAAGCAUAGUGCGAGCCAUUUCAGCGAGGGUUCUGUUCUUGCACUCCGCAACGCCAUUCUGCUGAGGAGUAUAAGGAGCAGAUAACUCAUGAGUAAUACCAAGUUCAUCAAGAUAGCUAUCAAGACCGGUAUUCUUGAACUCAGUCCCAUUGUCAGUUCUGAUGUGCUUGAUCUUCACACCAAAGUUAGUUGAAUCCCUCGAGGAAAAUCGUUUGAAGAUUUCCUGCACUUCAUGUUUGUAAGUAACAAUGUGUACCCAUGUGUAACGAGAAUAGUCAUCAACAAUAACAAAGCCAUAUAGAGAUGCAUCAUUUGAAACAGCAGAAUAAUGAUUAGGACCAAAGAGAUCCAUGUGAAGCAAUUCAAAUGGACGAAUAGUGGUCAUGAUAGUCUUCGCCGGAUGCUUGGCCUUUGUCAUCUUUCCAGCUUCACAAGCUCCGCAUAAGUGAUCCUUGAGGAAUUUGACAUUCUCAAUUCCAAUGACAUGCUUCUUCUUCACAAGCGUGUGCAAAUUCCUCAUCCCAACAUGACCAAGUUGUUGAUGCCAUAGCCAGCCUUCUGAAGCUUUUGCCAGUAAGCACACGGCUGGUUGUGGUCUUGUAGAGAAAUCAACAAUAUACAGAUCUCCUCUCCUAAAGCCUUCGAAGACUUUGGAAUGGUCAGCUUCCAUGAUCACGACACAACGAUAUCUUCCAAAGACAACAACCAUAUCGAGAUCACAAAACAUUGAGACAGACAUGAGGUUGUAUCCUAAGGACUCGACAAGCAUGACUUUGUCCAUGUGUCGAUCCUUUGAGAUCGCAACCUUACCUAGACCCAAUACCUGACUUUUGCCUUUGUCAGCAAAGAUGAUGUGCUUCAGAUGUGACGGUGAUAAGGGAGCAUCCAUCAAUAGGUUCUUGUCACCAGUCGUGUGAUUUGUACAUCCACUAUCAAGGACCCACUCGUUUGCUUUGGGCUGAUCAUCCUGCAGAUGAAUUAGUGCAUCUUACGAACUCAUAUACUUCAUCAGUGAAGAAUAUGAAGUCAAAUUCAUCAGUUCAAUUUCAUCAAGCAAUAGCACAGAUAAGCAGUGUGAGGACGUGUGAAAUGAAAGUUCAUUUCAUCAUGAUUCACCUGCGUCCUUUCAGGCAUUUUUGUCAGGCCCCCAGCAAAUUCAUCAAACGUUAAAGCACGUCUGGAGACCUGAUCCUGUAGAAGAAAUUAGUUCUUUUUCUUCACCACCCACAUCUGAAUGGGUGGCAAAGAGUUCAUCACUCUGCGAGCACCAUAUGAGAAAGGUGGCAUAGAGGCCAAUCCAUUUCGUUUCACAUAAGAGGGGUUAGGGUAAGCAUAUGAAUAAGCAGACAAAUUCUUCGAGGACUUAUGAACAUAAUGAUUUGAAGAAUAAUGUGCAUAUUCAUAGCCCUUAGCUCUACCCUGCGAAACAGAGUUGUUAGCACGAUGAUGAUCAUAUGAGGACUUUGAUCCAUUUGAGGAAUUUGAUCCAUGUGAGGAAUUUGGUCCGUAUGAGGACUUGGAUCCAUAUGAAGAAUUAGGUACAUAUGAAGAGUUUGAUCUGGGGUUCCUGUUCUUCACUGGUGGUGUCAUGAGGACAUUCACCUAAAGACUUUCAACAUAACUUUUGGGGACCCAGAUUUUCUUCAUAGGGGAACCAUUCCUGCAGUUAGUGCCAACAUAUCUAGCAAAUACUUCACCAUUCUGAUUUUUGAACAGUUUAUAGUUGGAGUCAAAUGACUCAUCAAAAGAAUGAGGAGAUUCACAUGUAAAGCCAGAUAAGUUAGAUGGAUCAACUGGAGGUCCCUUUGCAACAACCCAUGAGGUUUUGAGGUACUGCUCAGGCUUCCAAUAUGUUCCAUCAGCAUUGAGUUUCCUCUCAAAGGCAAUACCCUCUUUCCUAGGGUUUCUGUUGAGGAUCUGCUUUCUGAGCACAUCACAAAGAAUCUGAUGCCCUUUGAGGCUUUUGUACAUGCCUGCCGUGUACAAUUCCUUCAGCCCUGCAUCAUUAGUAGUACUAGCAACGUCCUCAGAUGAGGAAUUAGUGAUAGCAGAGGCAGGUGAAGAAUUUGUAACAUUUGAAGCAUUUGAACAUUCAGGUGAAGAAUUAGCAGAUUCACGUUCAAUGCACUUUAAGCAUGGAGGAACAAAUUCUUCUUGAGUAGCGCUGAUUUGUUGAGCAAGUAAUGAAUCGCGCUCCUUAUGAAGAUCUUCAUAACUCACUCUUAGCUUCUCGAGAUCUUGCUUUCUUUGAAGAAAUUCAUAAGAAAGCUUCUCGUGAUCAGAUAAGAGAGUGUUAUGAUGACUUUGAAGGUUGUCAAACUUAGACUGAAGUCUCUGAAGAUUUUCAGUUAAGUCUUUAGUGCGAUCCAUUUCAUCACCCAACAUAUCAUCACUUUUGUCUAGCAUGUUUUGAAGCUUUUCAAUAGCCUUUUGUUGUUUCACAGCAAUCUUAGCAAGUUUAGAGUAGCUAGGCUUAAGAUUUUCAUCAGAUUCAUCCUCACUUGAUUCAGAGGAGGGGUAUUUAGUUACCUUGGCACCCUUUGCCAUGAAGCAAUAGGUGGGAGCGUAGUCAUCAUUGCCUUCAUCAGCGUUGUUGGUGUUGCCAUUUUCUUCAGAGUUGAAGAUAGACUUGCUGAUAAAUGCGGUAGCAAGAGCUAGACUUGCCACACCUGACUCAGACUCCUCGGAUGCCUUCUCUUCCUCAUGUUCCUCAGAUUCAGCUUCAGAGUCCAUUUCUUUGCCAAUGAAUGCCCGAGCCUUCUUGGAGCUGCUCUUCUUGUGAGAUGAAGACUUUGAGGAUUUUGAUGAUGAAGACAUUGAAGAUUUCUUCUUCUUCUUGGCAUCAUCAGAACUAUGAUCCUUGUAUUUCUUCUUCUUUAAUUCCUUGUCCCACUGAGGACAAUCUUGAAUGUAGUGACUAGGCUUCUUGCAUUUGUGGCAUAGCAUUCUCUUAUAGUCACUUGAUGAGGAAUCACUACUCCUUGAGAAUUUUCCAAAGCGACCACGUCUUGAGAACUUCUGGAAUUUCUUCAUGAGCAGUGCUAGCUCCUGGCUCAAAUCUUCAGGAUCACCAAGGCUACUACCAGAGUCUUCACAUUCAGAUUCAGACACAGCCUUGGCCUUCAGGGCAUGUGUUUUGCCAUAGCUUGAACCAUAGAGAUCUCUCUUUUCAACAAGCUGGAACUCAUGAGUAUUUAGCCUCUCGAGGAUAUCAGCGGGAUCUAGUGACUUGUAAUCAGCAUGCUCUUGAAUCAUCAGUGCUAGAGUGUCAAAUGAAGAAUCGAGUGAUCUCAGCAAUUUCUUCACCACCUCAUGGUCGGAGAUGUCAGUGGCACCGAGCGCUUGAAGCUCAUUUGAGAUAUCAGUCAGGCGAUCGAAGGUUUGCUGAACAUUUUCAUUGUCGAGUCUUUUGAAGCGGUUGAAGAGAUUGCGAAGAACGUCAACACGAGAGUCACGUUGAUUUGAGACUCCUUCGUUUACUUUGCAGAGCCUAUCCCAGAUAAGCUUAGCAGUUUCCAAAGCACUCACUCUACCAUACUGCCCUUUACUCAGAUGACCACAUAUGAUAUUCUUCGCUUGAGAAUCGAGUUGCUUGAAUCUGUUCACAUCAACAGCAUUCAGGGAAGGUGUGACUGAGGGAACACCAUUUUCCACAACGUACCAGAGAUCGUUGUCAAUUGCUUCAAGAUGCAUUCACAUCUUAUUCUUCUAGUAGGGGUAGUCCGUGCCAUCGAAGGUAGGACACCCAGCGGAGACCUUGAUCAUACCUGCGGUCGACAUAACUAGAACUCCAGGUGGUUAAACCAAAAUCACACAGAACAAGGGAGUACCUUGCUCUGAUACCAAUUAAAAGUGCGUUAUAUCGACUAGAGGGGGGGUGAAUAGGCGAUUUUUAUGAAUUCUUCACUGAGGAAUUUGCCGGUGAGGAAAUUCCUUAGCGAAGAACUACUUGCAGCAGAAUAAGUACUCAGAAGUAAGCAUAACAGGAUACGGACAUAUUCAUCAUGAUGAAAUGAAGACAAGCUCAGAGUACAGAAAGCAUAAACACAGGAUAACACAAGAUGAAGACAAACAGACUGAAGAAAUUGAACUGAGGAAAUUGAGAAAGUCUUCAAACACAGAUGUGAACAAUCACUCAACAUAGUAAUGAGGAAAUGAAAGAGUUGAGGAAAUAGAACCAGUUAGGUUGGUGAAGACAAUGAUUUGGUGGACCAGUUCCAACUACUGUCUCAGUUGUACGUCUAGUUGGAGUGUCACAGUAUUUAAACUCGAGGACACACAGUCCCGGACACCCAGUCGCUGAGCACGCAGCUCAGGACACCAAGUCCUCACCGUAUUCUCCUUGAACUAAGGUCACACAGACCUCGUCCAAUCACUCGUGGUAAGUCUUCAGGCGACUUCCAAACCUUCAUAGACUCGGUCACUCGGUGAUCCACAAUUCUUCUUGGAUGCUCUAGACCAAGACGGCUAACCGUCUGGAAGAAGCACAGUCUUCAAAGGUAACAAGCCUCGGAUCCACGCAGGAUCAAUCUCUUCAGUGAUGCUCAAUCACUUUGGGGUUUGUAGGUGUUUGGGUUUCGGUUUUUCCUCACUCGAUGAUUUUCGCUCAAAGUCCUCGGAGGAUGGGUUGCUCUCAAAUGACAAGUGUCAGUUUCUCUCGGAGCAGCCAACCAGCUAGUGGUUGUAGGGGGCGGCUAUUUAUAGCCUAGGGAGCAGCCCGACAUAAUAAGACAUAAAUGCCCUUGUCUGAUAUGACCGUUAGGUGGAUAAGAUAUUUUGGGACAGCUGGCGCGCAGCACAGCAACGGUCGGAAAUUUGACGCUCAAAUUCCUCAGGGCUAUCAUGUUCCUCACUGUGUAGGCAAUCUGCACUGGCGAAUUCCUAACUCCUCAGUCAGAACGAAUUCCUCAGCGACCAAAAGAACUUCGUCUCUGUCACUGAAGAAAGUGACUGAACUGUAUGAGAUUUCCAAAGGCUUCACUCAAAGGGUUUGGUUGGUUUAGGAUUUUGAGUUGAGCAUCACAUGGAAAGUUUUCCUUAGUAUUUCCUCGACCCCCUUUAACAGUACGGUGUUUCCUAUGACUCAAGAAAGAGAAAAACAAAACUAUGAAAAUGAAGUCUUCAAGCUUCAUAUUCCUCGCAUGAAUAUCAAGUCUUCACGGGUACACCAAUUUCUUCACUUUCAAAGUCUUCAUGAAAGUCUUCAGAAAUACCAAAAUCUUCAGUCGAAGAUAUUCAUUUUUAGGGGUCGACUUUCUCUGUAAAAAUCAAACUCCUCAUAGACUUAUAGACCUGUGUACACUCAUAAACACAUUAGUCCCUUAACCUAUAAGUCUUCAAUACACCAAAAUCACUAAGGGGCACUAGAUGCACUUACAGAUGUCAACUACAUGAUCAUGCAAUGGCAAUAUGACAAAAGUAAUGUAUGUCAUGAUGAUGAUGAUGAUGGAAGUUGCAUGGCAAUAUAUCUCGGAAUGGCUAUGGAAAUUCCAUAAUAGGUAGGUAUGGUGGCUUUUUUUAGGAAGAUAUAAGGAGGUUUAUGUGUGAUAGAGCGUAUCGUAUCACGGGGUUUGGAUGCACCGGCGAAGUUUGCGCCAACUCUCCAGGUGAGAAAGGGCAAUGCUUGGUACCGAAGAGGCUAGAAAAUGUGGAAAGGUGAGAGUGCGUAUAAUCCAUGGACUCAACAUUAGUCAAAAGAACUCAUAUACUUAUUGCAAAAAAUUUAGAAGUCAUCGCUCGUCCCUGACCGCCACUCAUAAGGAUGCACAAGCCAGGUACACUUCAUGUUUCAAAUUUGUUACACAACUUUAACCAUACGUGCAUGCUACGGGACUUACUAACUUCAACACAAGCAUUCUUUAAAUUCAUAAUCACCCAACUAGCAUGACUUUGAUAUUAUCACCUCCAUAUUUCAAAACAAUUAUCAAGCAUCAAACUUAUCUUAGUAUUCAAUUCACUCAAAAGAAAGUUCCACAUAUCUUGAACACCAAGUAUAUUAACAUUAAGCAAAUUACCAUGCUAUUAACGACUCUAAAAAUAAUCUAAGUGAAUCAUGAUAGAUCAAAUAGUGUCUUUAAAACAAAUCCACCACCGUGCUCUAAAAGAUCUAAGUGAAGUACUAGAGCAAAAAUUAUCACGCUCAAAAGAUAUAAGCGAAGCACUAUGAGCAAAACUAUCAAGCUCAAAAGAUAUAAGUGAAGCACAUAGAGUAUUAUAACAAAUUCCAAUUCAUGUAUGGCUCUCUCAAAAGGUGUGUACAGCAAGGAUAAUUGUGGUAAACUAACAAGCGAAGACACAAAUAAUACAAGACACUCCAAGCAAAACACAUAUCAUGUUGCUGAAUAAAAAUAUAGCUCCAUGUAAAUUACCGAUGGAAGUGGACGAAAGAGGGGAUGCCUUCCGGGGCAUCCCCAAGCUUUGAAUUUUUGGUGUCCUUGGAUUAUCUUGGGGGUGCCAUGGGCAUCCCCAAGCUUAGUCUCUUUCCACUCCUUGUUCCAUAAUCCAUCAAAAGAAUUCACCCAAAACUUGAAAACUUCACAACACAAAACUCAACAGAAAUCUCGUGAGCUCUGUUAGAGAAAGAAAACAAAAGACUACUUCAAGGUACUGUAAUUAACUCAUUAUUUAUUUAUAUUUGUAUUAAACCUACUGUAUUACAACUUCUCUAUGGUUUAUAAACUAAUUUACUAGCCAUAGAUUCAUCAAAAUAAGCAAACAACACACGAAAAACAGAAUCUGUCAAAAACAGAACAGUCUGUAGCAAUCUGUAACUAACGCAAACUUAUGGAACUAUAAAAAUUCUACCAAAAUAGGAAGUACUGGAAAAUUUGUUUAUUGAUCAUCAGCAAAAAGAAUCAAUGCAAAAGCACGUUCCUGUGAUUUAUUGAGUUUUUUCUCGUGAGCGCAAAGUUUUCUGUUUUUCAGCAGAAUCAAAUCAACUAUCAUCGUAGCUUAUCCUAUAGGUUCUACUUGGCACAAACACUAAUUAAAACAUAAAACCACAUCUAAACAGAACGUAGAUGGAUUAUUUAUUCCUAAACAGAAGCAAAAACAAAAAACACAAAAUAAAAUUGGGUUGCCUCCCAACAAGCGCUAUCGUUUAACGCCCCUAGCUAGGCAUAGAUAUUUCAAUGAUGCUCACAAGAAAGACAAGAAUUGAAGCACAAAGAGACCAUCAUAAAACACGUGAUAAACACAUCUAAGUCUAACAUACUUCCUAUGCAUAGGCAUAUUAUAGGCAAACAAAUUAUCAAGGCAAGCAAAAACUAGCAUAUGCAAGGAGGGAGAAAGAGACGAUAGCAAUCUCAACAUGAAGAGAGGUAAUUUAGUAACAUGAAAAUUUCUACGACCAUAUUUUCCUCUCUCAUAAUAAUUACAUGUAGGAUCAUAAGCAAUUCAACAAAAUAGCUGUCACAUAACAUAUUCUCAACAUGAUCUACAUGCAUGCAAAGUUGACACUCUUCCAAGAUAGUGGGAUUAACAUUAACUAAAGUCAUGACCUUUCCGAACCCACUUUUAUCAAAAACAUCAUAAGAUUGAACAUACUCCAAAUAUGUGUGAUCUAAAGUUGACACUCUUCUAAACCCACUUUAAAUAUUAUUGCAAACAAUAUUAUCAAUCUCAUAUUCAUCAAGGGGCCUAAAUAAAUUUUCAAGGUUAUAAGAAGAAUCACGCCAAUCAUGAUCAUUGAAACAAGUAGUAGACAUAGCAAAACUAGCAUCCCCAAGCUUAGGGUUUUGCAUAUUAUUAGCACAAUUGACAUCAAGAGAAUUUAUAGUAAAAUCAUUUCAAUCAUGCUUUCUAUUCAAAGAUCUAUCAUGAAUUGCUUCAUAAAGUACUUCAUCACAAUUUUCAGAUUCACGAAUUUCAAGCAAAACCUCAUAAAGAUAAUCUAGUGCACUCAACUCACUAGCAAUAGGUUCAACAUAAUUGGAUCUCUUAAAGAGAUUAGCAAGUGGAUGAGGAUCCAUAAACUUUUAGCAAGCGAAGAUGCAAGCAAAAGGAAGGCACAUGGAGACACAAGCAAGCAAGAGACAAGUGAAAAAGAGGAGGAGAUUGGGAAAGAGAGGGCGAAUAAAACAGCAAGGGUGAAGUGGGGGAGAGGAAAACGAGAGGCAAAUGGCAAAUAAUGUAAUGCGAGAGAUAGGGAUUGCGAUGGGUACUUGGUAUGGUUGACUUGCUUGCGUGAGCCUCCCCGACAAUGGCGCCAGAAAUUCUUCUUGCUACUUCUUGAGCUCUGCGUUGGAUUUCCCCGAAGAGGAGAGGAUGAUGCAGUAAAAAGUAGCGUAAGUAUUUCCCUAAGUUUUUGAGAACCAAGGUAUCAAUCCAGUAGGAGACCACGCACAAGUCCCUCGUACCUACACAAAAUGAUAGCAACUCGCAACCAACGCUUAGGGGUUGUCAAUCCCUUCACUGUCACUUAUGAGAGUGAGAUCUGAUAGAGAUAAUAUUUUUGGUGUUUUUGGUAGAUAGAUGCAAAGUAAAAAGUAAAAGGCAAAGUAAAACAAAGCAAGUAAAUAAAGUGAUAUAGAUUCAUAUGAUGAGAAUAGACCCGGGGGCCAUAGGUCUCACUAGUGGCUUCUCUCAAGAGCAUAAGUAUUCUACAGUGGGUGAACAAAUUACUGUUGAGCAAUUGACAUAACUGAGUAUAGUUAUGAGUAUAUCUAGGCGAUGAUCAUGUAUAUAGGCAUCACAUCCAAAACAAGUAGAUCGAAACGAUUUUGCAUCUACUACUAUUACUCCACUCAUCGACCGCUAUCCAGCAUGCAUCUAUAGUAUUAAGUAAAAACAGAGUAAUGCCGUAAGCAAGAUGACAUGAUGUAGAGGGGUAAAUUCAUGCAAUAUGAUAAAAACCCCAUCUUAUUAUCCUCGAUGGGAACAAUACAAUACGUGCCUUGCAACUCUUUCUGUCACUGAGUAACGACACCGCAAGAUUGAAACCAAAGCUAAGCACUUCUCCCAUUGCAAGAACUACCAAUCUAGUUGGCCAAACCAAAAAGAUAAUUCGAAGAGACUUGCAAAGAUAACUCAAUCAUACAUAAAAGAAUUCAGAGAAGAAUCAAAUAUUUUCCAUAGAUAAUACUGGAUCAUAAACCCACAAUUCAUCGGUCUCAACAAACACACCGCAAAAAGAAGAUUACAUCGAAUAGAUCUCCACGAGAGAGGGGGAGAACAUUGUAUUGAGAUCCAAAAAGAGAGAAGAAGCCAUCUAGCUACUAGCUAUGGACCCGAAGGUCUGAAGUAAACUACUCACACUUCAUCGGAGGGGUUAUGGUGAUGAUGUAGAAGCCCUCCGUGGUGGAUGCCCCUCCGGCAGAGCUCCGGCACAGGCCCCAGGAUGGGAUCUCGUGGAUACAGAAGGUUGCGGCGGUGGAAUUAGGUUUUUGGCUCCUGUUCUAAUCGUUCGGGGAUACGUAAGUAUAUAUAGGAGGAAGGAGUAUGUCAGUGGAGCUCCGAGGGGCCCACGAGGUAGGGGGGCGCGCCUAGGGGGGCGCGCCCUCCACCCUCGGGACCUCCUCGAAAACUUCUUGGAGUAGGGUCCAAGUCUCCUAGAUCACGUUCGGUUGGAAAAUCACGAUCCCGAAGGUUUCAUUCCGUUUGAUAUUCUGUUUCUUCGAAAUACUGAAAAAGGCAAAAAACAGCAAUUCUGGGCUGGGCCUCCGGUUAAUAGGUUAGUCCCACAAGUAAUAUAAAAGUGGAAAAUAAAGCCCAAUAUAUUCCAGAACAGUAGAUAAAGUAGCAUGGAGCAAUCAAAAAUUAUAGAUACGUUGGAGACGUAUCAUGUAGCACCCAUUGGCGGCAAUCAUGGGGCUCCAAGAUGGCGUCACCGUGUAGAUCUUUGGUGUUGUGGGCCAUAGACGGUUUCGUCAAAUGCGACGCAUUGUGGAAAGAUGGAGAGAUAAAAGAGGGGAGGAGAAGAACCAGGAAGACAAUAGAGAUUUAUUGGUGAAGGGGAAAUGAAAGGAAUCAUCGGGCGAAGAGGUGAUGGCUCGUGUCCGUGUUAGUAUUUUCCCUGAAGAGGAAGGGAUGAUGCAGCAAAGCUACUGUAGGUAUUUCCCUCAGUGAUGAUUCCAAGGUUAUUGAACCAGUAGGAGAACCACGCAACACUGUGUAAACGGUACCUGCACACAAAGAACAAAUACUUGCAACCCGAUGCGUAAGAGGGUUGUCAAUCCCUCCCGGGUAAAAGAUAGAUUGGUUUCUAGUAGAUUGGAUAAAUAGAUCUCGCAGAAACGCAAAAUAAAAUAAAUAACAAAAAUUUGCAUCAAGGUAUUUUUGGGUUUUUAGAAUAAUAGAUAUCUAUACCUACUAAUAAAAGAAAUAGGUAUUCUUAGUCCGUCAUGCUAUUUCGUAGAAAACCCCCUGAUGUUUCUGACAUUAAACCCGCAGUACAUAUCAAGUGUUUUUUUAAAUACUCAUACUUUUAAACAAUUAAUCCAAAUUUAACAUAUUAUAUAUGGAAUUUAAUUAGAAAAUUAUAUGGAAUCUAAAUAUGAUGUUAUUUUACCUGUUAACAAUUUUUAAAAUAAACUAUCUAGGCUGCAAUGUUAAUCAACAAUGCAUUAUCCGUCCUUUUUUCAUACCGGUAUUGAUUUAGAUUGGGGAUGAAAACCUCAGCAAAAUCAGGAUUGGACAUCAGAUUGAAGAUAAAUUUGUUAGAGACACCGAAUAAAUAAGGACAUGCAUGCCAAGAAAUAAAAAGACCCAAUAAAGAUGGGAUGUCCGCUAUAAAAAUAAAUAAAAGAGAAAAUACAGAGGAGAUCCGAUAAAGAUGAGAUGUUGUGCUAUUCUCCUAUAUAUAAGAAGAGUAAAAGGAGGACAUGCAUGAAAAAAGGUGAAAAGGAGGCAUGCAUGAAAAAAAGACAAGUUUUAUAAAAAAUAAAUACUGAUGAAACAGGGACCAAUACCUAUGACAUGUAUGGCAAGAAAUAGUGAUGAAAUAGGGGCGCAAAUACCUGAGUCAACAGGAGACCAUAAAAAUGUUCUUUUCUAGACCAAAAAAAACCUAUUUUAUGAUUAAAAAAUCUUGUACCUUUUUAACAACCUUUUUAACUCUUCAUGUAUUUAAGAAAUAGCUACAAAUUCUCGGAUUAUAAAACAUUUUUGUAAAUGAAGAGCGUGUGGUACUUUUUCCCGUUGCAACACACGGGCAUUUUUGCUAGUGAAAAUAAAAGAGGCAAAUAAUAGAUCAGAAAGAAAAUAUGAUAAAGAAUAGACCUGGUGGUUGUAGAUUUCACUAGUGGCUUCUCUCCACAAAAAUAGCAUACAGUGGGUAAACAAAUUACUGUUGGGCAAUUGAUAGAACUUCAAAUAGUUAUGACAAUAUCCGGGCAAUGAUCAUUAUAUAGGCAUCACGUCCAAGAUUAGUAGACCGACUCCUUCCUGCAUCUACUACUAUUACUCCACUCAUCGACCGCUAUCCAGCAUUUAUCUAGUGUAUUAAGUUCAUGGAAAAUUUGAGUAAUGCAAUAAGAAUGAUGACACGAUGUAAACAAGAUCUAUUCAUGUAGGAAUAGACCCCAUCUUGUUAUCCUUAAUGCAACGAUCAAUACGUGUCUUGCUGCCCCUUCUGUCACUGGGAAAGAACACCGCACGACCGAUCCCAUCACAAAGCACCUCUUCCCAUGGCAAGAAAAAUCGAUCUAGUCGACCUAACUAAACCAAAGAUUCGAAGAAGAAAUAUGAGGCUAUAAGUAAUCAUGUGUCUAAGAGAUCAAAACUCAAAUAACUUUCAUGUAUAAAAUAGAUCUGAUCAUAAACUCAAAGUUCAUCGGAUCCAACAAACACACCGCAAAAAGAGUUACAUCAAAUAGAUCUCCAAGAGACCAUUGUAUUGAGAAUCAAAAGAGAGAGAGGAAGCCAUCUAGCUGCUGCCUAUGGACCCGUAGUACUACAAUGAACUACUCAUGCAUCAUGUCAAGGGAAAAAGGAAGCAUUGGUGAUGUGGCAGAUUUGCUUUCGUGGAUUGCUGCAUGUUGAUUGCUGAUGUGGAUAGGCUACAUGUCAAGAGACAUAUGGUAGUGGGCAUGAACUAUUUAGGUAUUAUAUAUGUGCAACAUCACAUCUAAACUCCUUAUGAAAUUUCAAAACACGAUGGUUUUUAAAAUGGUAAUUUUUUGGAACCCAAACUUUUUUAAAUUUAUGAAUAAAUUUUUGAAAACUUGAACAAUUUCUUGAGUCUAUGAACAAUUUUUUGAACGCGGACUUUUUAAAAAAAAAUUCAAAACGCAAUUAUUAUUUUAAUGCAACCUUUUUCAAAAUUUCAAAACAUGAUUGUUUGUAAAGUGUAUAUGUUUUGAAAUUCUAGACUGAAUUUGGAAGUUGAAUAUGUUUUGAGAAACACUCGAAAUUGUGGACGUUUUCUAAAAUGUCAAAGAAUUUUGAAAAACAUCAAACAUUUUUUAAAGCAUGGACAUUUUCAUGAAAAUGAAAAAAAACCAAAUUCCGAACAUCUUUUAGAAAUUUUGAAUUUAUGAAAAAGGAAAAAGAAACAGAAAACGAAAAAAGAAAUAAAGCAAGGAAAAGCAGUGAAGAAAGAAAACAUAAAAAUGGAAAAAAAAAACCUGAAAAUAGUGGUAAAGACUGAUCCUACCUACUUGGGCUGGUCCAUCUAUGGUUUACUCGCUGCUAAAACCAAGUUUUAUACAUCAAACACCAUAGAGUGUGGGAUAGAGUUUGGGUCGUGGCAUUUUCCAAACCAAACAUUGCGUCCCAGACCUAACGAAAGAGAAAACCUGCCUAGAUUAUGUGCUUCGACAUUUACAGCAUGAUCUUUAGAUAAAAAAUACAAUGAAAUAAAUACGGUUGCAACUUGAUCUCGUUGAUAAUGGCUCGUUUCCACAUAGUUUACUCACAUUUUUGAGAGAAAAUUUAGCCUUGAUGGGCUGGGAAAUUGGGCCAGCCAUCCUCGAGUGCGGCUGGCUUGUCUUUGUCUAGUAUAAAGCCCAUCAUGUUACCCAGGAGACAACCCUUAUUUAUUUUUCUAUAGGACCCAUAUAUGUUUGGUUCCUUCAGCACGAUGGGCUGCCUCCCAGCCUCCCUCGCCCGCUCGACAGCUCCCCCGCCAACAGAGCUAGGCCCUCGGUGCUCCCCCACCCCAAGGUUGCGAGCAUGUCCCUUCCCGACAUCUCUUCCACACGGCCUCGCCCCACCCCAUGUUCUCCCCCAAGUGCUUUCUUGAGUGUCGUGGAAAAAACUCUUGGCAAGAUAGUGGAACUCACGCAAAAUGUGCUUUAUCGAGUGCUACACUCAGCAAAAGGGGGUAUGCUGGGAAGCAAAACCAUGCUUUUUUUCCUUCUCGGGAAGCUGCGCUUCCCGUGGAAGGCUUCAUCAAAAACCAGAAAAAAAAAUCAUCAAAACCUAGGGAAAAGAAAAGAAAAAAACACGUGUAAAAAAUAAAAUUUUAAGGGUGUACCUGAACACGACAUGUGGCCGCAGCUGGGCACAUCACUUGAUGCGCUCUCAGGGCCUCAAAGUAACCUUUGCAGGAACCCUCGACAAGAAACCCAUCAGAUAAUUGGAAUCCCCCUUGCGUCAAAUAGGAGUGUAGCCACAAGGGGAGCGCGUCCUGGUGGGCUGGCCCAGUAGCCUGUAGCACUCUACCGCAAAUUGGUCAAAAUCUAAAACAUGAGGUUUGAGCAAAGCUCGCAUGGCCAGCCAGUCAAGCUGAUGAAACUUUGCCAACUACUAUGUCGCGUAGAACAGUAAAAUUUAUGUGCAACAUCACAUAUGAAUUUUUUUUUGGAAUUUCAAAACACGAUUGUUUUUAAAAUGAAUGGUUUUUGGAACAUGGACUUUUUCCAAAUUUAAGAAUAAAAUUUGAAAACUAGAGCAAUUUUUGACUAUAUCAAGGCUUUUUUUUAAACACAAACUUUUUUUGAAAUUUUAAAACAAGAUUAUUAUUUCAAUGCAACCUUUCUUAGAUUUCAAAACACGUUUUUUAAUGAAUAUUUUUUUAACCCAACCAAAAUUUGAGAACUUGAACAUUUUCAAAAACGCUCGGAAUUGUGGACAUUUUCUUAAAACAUGAAAGAAUUUAGGAAAACUUCAAACUUUUUAAAAGCACGAAUAAUUUUUGGGAAAAAUUAAACAAAAUCAAAUUUCGAACAUUUUUUGAACAUUUGUUUAGAAAUGUUGAAUUUAUGAUAAAAAGGAAAAAAUUAUGAAAGGAAGGAAAAUCGGUGUAGAAGAAAACAAGAGAAGGAAAAAAACUAAAAAUAGUGUAAGAAAAAAAAUAAUCCUAGCUACUUGGGAUGGUACAUAUGUGGUUUGCUCACUGCACAUUUGCUACAUUUUUUUAGGUGUAAAAGCAAGUUUUAAUCAUCAAACACCAUAGAGUGUGGGAUAGAGUUGGGGUCGUGGCAUUGGUUAAACCCAGCGUGGCAUCCCAGACCUAACGAAAGAGAAAGACUGGCUAGACUAUGUGCUUUGACAUUGAUAGCAUGACCUUUACAAGAAAAAUUACUAUCAAAUAAAGAUGGUUGCAACUUAAUCUCGUUGAUAAUGGCUCAUUUCCUACAUAGUUUGCUCACAGUUUUUGAGAGAAAAUUUAGCCCUGAUGGGCUGGGAAAUUGGGCCAACCAAUCUCAAGUCCGACCGACUCGUCUUUGUCCAGUAGAAAGCCUGCCAUGUCGCCCAAGAGCCAACCCUUAUAUUUUUUUACAGGACUUGUAUAUGUUUUGUUCCUCUAGCAAGACCGGUCGCCGCCAAACAUCUCCCGCCCACUCGACAGCUCCCCCCGCCGCCGGGGCUAAGCCCUGGAUCCCCCACCCCCAGGUUGCGAGCUUGUCCCAUCCCUCCCUCUCUUCUGUGUAGCCUCGCCCCACCCCGUAUUCUCCCCCACCGGUGCUUUGCCUAGUUUCUUGGAAAAAACUCUCGAUAAAAUAUUGGAACUCUGGCAAAAUGUGCUUUCCUGAUUGCUACACUCGGCAAAAGGGGGUAUGCACUGCACUGUUUUGGUUGUCCAGAUUGCAUACGACCUCGGAUGAAGAUGAUCCAGAAAUCAAAGUUUUUCAUUUUGACAAGAUGAUUAAGUUUCAUGUUCAGAACUUUUCCAUUUUAAGCCAUGUUAUUUACACUUUUGGCAACGCCAAAAUAUGGUCUCAAAUGAAUAUGGCGGUGGUCAUAUUUAUUGCAUAGUUUCUGACAAUGGGCCUAAACUUGGCAUUUCGUUGCAUCUCGCCAUUACAAACAAUGAUGCCAAAUAGAGUUUCCAACAUUUUGUACAAAAACUAAUUUUCCCAUUUUCUAAGUGUAAAAAAUGGAUAUUUUGUGAAGCGAGUAAAAACACAUAGUGCAAAAUGGCACCACCCCAAUUUUCACAAAAAGUAGACCACAUGUUCUAGAAAAUUCCCAGGUUUUGUGGAUCUUCUAGAUUUCUAUCUACUUUCGCACAGUUAAAUUCAAAUUUGAACUUUAAGUGUGUGAUAGCUUUGUCCUAAAAAUUAGCAAAAAUGUAAUAUAUAUUUUUACGUAUGCAAGUAGUCAUUUUAUGAAAUGACCACUUAAGUUUGAGAGAUUCAGGCCCUUGCCAUGACUAUCCAUGCCGGGCAUUUUGACCCCAUUUUGGAAAAAUGAAACAAAAAGGAUACAAGUUCAAAAAAAAUGCAAUCCAUUCGGAUGGACUCCUUUUAUGUGUACUACCUAGGAUGAAAAUACCAAACUUCAAUAUGAAAACUUUGAAAGAAAAAUAUCCAUCACAAAACGGGCUAUCAUGUAUGAACCUUCACGGCUUUCAAGUCAAACGACCAAGGUGUCGACGAUAUUCAUUACAUAGUUUAUUAUAUUAUGCCCAAAUUAGACAUAUAGGUGAAUCAUGCCAUUGCAAAUAAUGUUGUAAAAUAGAGCUUCCAACUUUUUGUACAAAAAACCAUUUACUAUUUUCUAAGUAUCAAAAAUGGGUGUUUCUUGUGAAGCGGGUUCAAAAAAUAGAGUGGAAAAUGGCACCACUCCAAUUUUCACAAAAAGUAGACCAUAUUAGAUGGACAAUUCCCAUGUUUUGUAGAUGUCUAGCUAAAAACUAACAAUUGGUGUAUUUUUUAAUAUUUAAUGAAAAUAAAAAAUGGGAAGGGCGGAUACUUAAUGGAUAGCGUGGACAUCUGAGGGUGUACCUUUAAGUGUUGGAGAUGCCUUUAUGUGCUGGUUUAUGUCGUGCUCAACCUGCAAUGUACUAGAGUUAAUCAUGUUGGGAAAUGUUGCAUGGAAAAACAAAAAAAUUCUACGCACAUGCAAUGAUCUAUCAAUGGAGAUGCAUAGCAACGAGGGGGAGAGUGUUUCUACGUACCCUCGUAGACAAAAAGCGGAAGCGUUUGACAACGCGGUUGAUGUAGUCAAACUUCUUCUAGCUCCGACCGAUCAAGCACCGAACAUACGGCACCUCUGAGUUCUGCACAUGUUCAGCUCAGUGACGUCCCUCGUCUUCUUGAUCCAGCCAGACGUCGAGGAAGUAGAUGAGUUCCAUUAGCAUGACGAUGAUGGUGAAGUGAUCCGCGCGGGGCUUCGCCUAAGCACCGCGAGAAUAUGACCGGGGGUGUAAUCUGUGGAGAGGGCCGCCGCACGUGGCAAUUGAUGUUGUGUGUUCUAGGUGCCCCCUUCCCCACAUAUAUAUAGGUGGGAGGGGAAGGGAGGCAGCCAGGGGGCGCCCCAAGUAGGAUUCGAAUCCUACUUGGGGUUUCCCCAAGUGCCCCUCCCCCUUCCUUUUUUCCACCGGCGAAGAAAGGAAGGGAGAAGAAGAGAAGGAAGGGGGGUUGAACCCCCUCUUCUCCUUCUCCUAUUCGGCCACCUGCCAUAGGGGGGCGCGCCACCCUUGUGGGCUGGUGUGAUCCCCUCUCAUGGACCAUAUGGCCCAUAUAUUCCCCCGGGGGGUUCGGACACCCCCCCUAUGUCGAAUUAAUAAAUUUGCGUUGAAUACUCUACCCUCUAAAACUGUUGCGAUUUCCUAUACUUGUGGGUUAUCAAUAAACAAAGUGUUCUUGAAGGUACACGGGAAAUUCAUCUAGUCACUUUCAUCAUGUUGGUUAGAUUUGUGUUUGCUACUUUGAUAAUUUGAUAUGUGGGUGGACCGGUGCUUAGGUGUUGUUCUUACUUGAACAAACCUCCUACUUAUGAUUAACCCCCUCACAAGCAUCCGCAAACUAUGAGAAAAGUAUUAAGAUAAAAUCUAGCCAUAGCAUUAAACAUUUGGAUCCAUAUCGGGCCCUUAUGAAGUGGCGCAUAAACUAGGGUUUAAGAUUCUGUCACUCUAGCAGCCGAUCAUCUAAUAAAUACUCCACAAUGCAUUCCCUUAGCCCCAAAUGUGAUGAGGUGGAAUGUAGUCGACGUUCAAAUGACACCACUAAGGGAAUCACAACAUACAUACCAUCAAAAUAUCAAACACAUAUCAAGUUCACAUGAUUACUUGCAACAAGAUUUCUCCCGUGACCUCAACAACACAAGUAAGUACUCACAAAUGAUAAUCAUGCUCAAGAUCAGAGGGGUAUUAAAUAGCAUAAUGGAUCUGAACAUAUAAUAUUCCACCAAAUAAACCAUAUAGUAAUCAACUACAUAAUGUAGUCAACACUACUAGUCACCCACAAGCACCAAUCAAAGGUUCCGUUGAAAAGAUUGAACACAAGGCAUAAACUAGGGUUGAGAAGAGAUGGUGCUUUUGAAGAUGAAAAUUUCCCUCCCCAAGAUGGGAUAAUUGUUGGAGAUGAUGUUUACGAUGAUUUGCCCCUCUGGGAGGGAAGUUCCCCCGGCUAAAUCGCUCCACCGAAGGGCAAAAGUGCUCCUGCCCAAGUUCCUCCUGGAGACGGUGGCGCUUCGUCCCGAAAGGCCUCUCCUUAUUUAUUUUUCUAGGACAAAAUGACUUAUAUACGAGAAGAGGGUCACCGGAGGUGGGCAGAGGAGGGCACAAGCCACCAGGGUGUGUCUUGGCUCCCUGGCGCUCCCAUGUCGGUUGUGCCCAACUGGUGGGGCCCCUAUGGUGGUUAUUUGCUCCAAUAUUCCUCAUAUAUUCCAAAAUAAUUCUCCGUAAAUUUUCAUCUCAUUUGGAGAUGUGUAGAAUAGGUAAGUCUGACGUAGCUUUUCCAGGUCCAGAAUUCUAGCUGUCGGUAUUCUCCCUCUUUGUGUGAACCUUGCAUAUUAUGAGAGAAAAGGCAUUAGAAUUAGUCCAAAAGGCAUUAUUAUGCAUAAAAACAAAGUAAAUCAGAGUACAUAAACAUGAUGAAAAAUGGAUGUAUCAAUGUAGAGGCCCUCUGUGAUCGAAUCCCCCUCCGGCAUGGUGCCGGAAAAGGCCCCAAGAUAGGAUCUCACGAGAACAAAGGCUUGCCGCGGCGGAAAAGUAUUUUCAUGGAUGCUUCUGGCAUAGGGGGGUAUUCGAGGAUUUAUAGUGUUGAGAUUAGGGUUAGGAGACACCCGAGGGGCCCCAAGCCUAGGGCCCCCCCGGGCCGCGUCCCUAGGGCUUGUGGCCACCUCGCAUGUCUUCUGGCCUCCUCCCGAAACUUCCUAGGUUUCUUGUGGUCAAAGAAAAAUCAUCGUAAAGUUUUAUUCUGUUUGGACUCCCUUUGAUAUUCCUUUUCUGUAAAACUCAAAAAAAUGGAAAAACAGAAACUGGCACUAGGCUCUAGGUUAAUAAGUUAGUCCCAAAAAUAAUAUUAAAUAGCAUCUUAAUGCAUAUAAAACAUCCAAAAUAUAUAAUAUAAUAGCAUGGAACAAUCAAAAAAUAUAGAUAUGUUGUAGACGUAUCAAGCAUCCCCAAGCUUAAUUCCUGCUCAUCCUCAAGUAGGUAAAUGAUAAAAAAUAAAAAAAUUGAUGUGGAAGGCUACCUAACAUAUUUAUUCAUGUAAUUUUCUUUAUUGUGGCAUGAAUGUUCAGAUCCAUAAGAUUCAAACAAAAGUUUAAUAUUGAAAAACAAUAAUACUUCAAGCAUACUAGCCAAACAAUCAUGUCUUCUCAAAAUAACAUGGACAAAGAAAGUUAUCCCUACAAAAUCAUAUAGUCUGGCUAUGAUCCAUCUUCAUCACACAAAGUAUUUCAUCAUGAAAAAUCCCGGUAUUAGUCAAGCAAUUAUUUCAUAGUUUAGUAUUCUCAAACUUUUUCAACUUUCACGUAAUACAUGAGCGUGAGUCAUGGAUAUAGCACUAUAGGUGGAAUAGAAUACGGUGAUUGUGGAGAAAACAAAAUGAAGGGAAAAGUCUCACAUCAACUAGGAAAAUCAAUGGGCUAUGGAGAUACCCAUCAAUUGACAUCGAUGCAAGUGAGUAGGGAUUGAUAGGCAAUGGAUGCACUAGAGCUAUAAGUGUACGAAAGCUCAAAAAGGAACUAAGUGGGUGUGCAUCUAACUUGCUUACUCAUGAAGACCUAAGGAAAUUUGAGGAAUCCCAUCAUUGGAAUAUACAAGCCAAGUUCUAUAAUGAAAAAUUCCCACUAGUAUAUGAAGGUGACAAAAUAGGAGACUCUCUAUCAUGAAGAAUAUGGUGAUACUUUGAAGCACAAGUGUGGAAAAGGAUAGUAACAUUGUCCCUUCUCUAUUUUCUCUCAUUUUUUCUGUUUUUUUGUUUGGGCUUCUUUGGCCUCUCUUUUUAUUUGGGCUUCUUUGGCCUCUUUUGUUUUUAUAAAGUCCAAAGACUCAUCACAACUUGUGAGGGAAUCAUAGCUUCCAUCAUCCUUUCCACACAUGGGACAAUGCUCUAAUAAUGAUGAUCAUCACACUAUUAUUUACUUACAACUCAAGAAUUACAACUCAAUACUUAGAACAAAAUAUGACUCUUUAUGAAUUCCUCCGGUGGUGUACCGGGAUGUGCGAUAAUCAAGAGUGACAUGUGUAAAAAAUAUGAAUGUUGGCCUUGCCACAAAUACUAUGUCAACUACAUGAUCAUGCAAAGCAAUAUGAGAAUCAUGGUAUGCGUCAUAAUAAAUGGAACGUUGGAAGUUGCAUGGCAAUAUAUCUCGGAAUGGCUAUGGAAAUGCCAUAAUAGGUAGGUAUGGUGGCUCUUUUGAGGAAGGGUAUAUGGUGGGUUUAAUGCACCGGCGGAAGUUGCGCGACACUAGAGAGGCUAGCAAUGGUGGAAGGGUGAGAGUGUGUAUAAUCCAUGGACUCAACAUUAAUCAUAAAGAACUCACAUACUUAUUGAAAAAAUUUAUUAGCUAUCGAAACAAAGUACUACACGCAUGCUACUAGGGGAGAGGUUGGUAGGAGUUAACCAUCGUGCGCUCCCGACCUCCACACAAAGGAUGACAAUCAAAAAAUAAAUCAUGCUCCGACUUCAUCACAUAACGGUUCACCAUACGUGCAUGCUACGGGAAUCACAAACUUUAACACAAAUAUUUCUACCAAUCCACAAUUACUCACGAAUAUCACCAUCUUUUAUAUCUCAAAACAAUUGCAAGGAAUCAAACUUCUUAUAUAUUCAAUGCUAUUUAUAUGAAGGUUUUUAUUAUAUCCCUCUUGGAUGCCCAUCAUAUUAGGACUAAAUUCAUAACCUAAGAAAAUUACCAAGUUGUUUAAAGACUCUCAAAAUAAUAUAAGUGAUGCAUGAGAGUUCAUCAAUUUCUAUAAAAUAAAACCACCACCAUGCUCUAAAAAGAUAUAAGUGAAGCACGAGAGCAAACUGCUUACCUCAAAAGAUAUAAGUGAAGCACAUAGAGUAUUCUAAUAAAUUCAUGAUUAAUGUGUGUCCCUCUCAAAAGUUGUGUACAACAAGGAUGAUUGUGGCAAACUAAAAAGCAAAGACUCAUAUCAUACAAGGUAGUUCAAAGUGAAAUACAAAGAUAUCUUAAUCAUGCAUAAAAGAGUUUAGAGAAGACUCAAAUAAUAUUCAUAGAUAAACUGGUCAUAAAUCCACAAUUCAUCGGCUCUCGACAAACACACCGCAAAAGGUAUUACAUCGGAUAGAUCUCCAAGAACAUCGAGGAGGACAUAGUAUUGAAGAUCAAAGAGAGAGAAUAAGCCAUCUAGCUACUAGCUAUGAACCUGUAGGUCUGUGGUAAACUACUCACGCUUUAUUGGAAGGGCAACAAGGUUGAUGUAGAGGCCCUACGUGAUCGCAUCCCCCUCCGGCAGGGUGCCAAAAGAGGCCCCAAGAUGGGAUCUCACGGGAAUAAAGGCUUGCGGCGGCGGAAAAUUAUUUUCGUGGAUGCUUCUGGCAUAGGGGGGAUAUUUAAGGAUUUAUAGUGCUUAGAUUAGGGUUAGGAGACCCCCGAGGGGCCCUCAAGCCUAGCCCCCCCCCUAGGGUGCGUCCCUAGGGCUUAUGGCCACCUCGUGUGUCUUAUGGCCUCCUCCCGAAGCUUCCUAGGUUUCUUCUGGUCCAAGAAAAAUCAUCGUAAAGUUUUAUUCGUUUGGACUCCGUUUGAUAUUCCUUUUCUGUAAAACUCAAAAACAAGAAAAAACAGAAACUGACACUUGGCUCUGGUUUAAUAAGUUAGUCCCAAAAAUAAUAUAAAAUAGCAUAUUAAUGCAUAUACAUCAUCCAAAAUAGAUAAUAUAAUAGCAUUGAACAACCAAAAAUUAUCGAUACGUUGGAGACGUAUCAGGAUCAUGUUAAGUCGACGUGAAAGGAUGCAUUGUGUGUCCACCCACUGGAUUCUUGCAUUUAUAUGGCUCUAUCACCGUCGCCAAAUAAACUAAAUCUGGGGACCGGUGCUCUUGACCUUCCCAACUACUUCGACUGGAAAUCAGAUCCUCCUUGCCAAAUAAGAAAGACCGUUCAGAUCGUGCUGAUAGAGAGGAAAGAGACCACUCACCUCCGACAAUGGCACGUGUGGCUCUCCUGAAGGUCGUUGGGUUAAUCUAUGGUGUUGGGCUAGUGUAGCACCCAUUGGCGGCAAUCAUGGGGCUCCAGAAUAGCGUCACCAUGUAGAUCUCUCGUGUUGUUGGCCAUAGACGGUUUCGUCAAAGGCGACGCAUUGUGGAAAGAUGGAGAGAUAAAAGAGGGGAGGAGAAGAACCAGGAAGACAAUAGAGAUUUAUUGGUGAAGGGGAGAUGAAAGGAAUCAUCGGGCGAAGAGGUGAUGGCUCGUGUCCGCAUUAGUAUUUUCCCCAAAGAGGAAGGGAUGAUGCAGCACAGCUACGGUAGGUAUUUCCCUCAGUGAUGAGUCCAAGGUUAUCGAACCAGUAGGAGAACCACGCAACACUAUGUAAACGGUACCUGCACACAAAGAACAAAUACUUGCAACCCGACGCGUAAGAGGGUUGUCAAUCCCUUCCGGGUAAAAGAUAGAUUGGUUUCUAGUAGAUUGGAUAAAUAGAUCUCGUAGAAACGCAAAAUAAAAUAAAUAAAUAAAAAUUGCAUCAAGGUAUUUUUGGGUUUUCAGAAUAAUAGAUAUCUAUACCUACUAAUAAAAGAAAUAGGUAUUCUUAGUCCGUCAUGCUAUUUUGUAGAAAACCCCCUGAUGUUUCUGACAUUAAACCCGCAGUACAUAUCAAGUGUUUUUUUAAAUACUCAUACUUUUAAACAAUAACUCCAAAUUUAACAUACUAUAUAUGGAAUUUAAUUAUAAAAUUAUGUAGAAUCUAAAUAUGAUGUUAUUUUACCUGUUAACAAUUUUUAAAAUAAACUAUCUAGGCUGCAAUGUUAACCAACAAUGCAUUAUCCGUCCAUUUUUCAUACUGGUAUAGAUUUAGAUUGGGGAUUAAAACCUCAGCAAAAUCAGGAUUGGACAUCAAAUUGAAGAUAAAUUUGUUAGAGACACCGAAUAAAUAAGGACAUGCAUGACAAGAAAUAAAAAGACCAAAUAAAGAUGGGAUGUCCGCUAUAAAAAUAAAUAAAAGAGAAAAUGCAGAGGAGAUCCAAUAAAGAUGAGAUGUUGCGCUAUUCUCCUAUAUAUAAGAAGAGUAAAAGGAGGACAUGCAUGAAAAAAGGUAAAAAGGAGGCAUGCAUGAAAAAAAGACAAGUUUUAUAAAAAAUAAAUACUGAUGAAACAGGGACCAAUACCUAUGACAUGUAUGGCAAGAAAUAGUGAUGAAAUAGGGGCGCAAGUACCCGAGUCAACAGGAGACCAUAAAAAAUGUUCUUUUCCAGACCAAAAAACCUAUUUUGUGAUUAAAAAAUCUUGUACCUUUUUAACAACCUUUUUAACUCUUCACGUACUCAAGAAAUAGCUACAAAUUCUCGGAUUAUAAAACAUUUUUUGUAAAUUAAGAGCGUGUGGUACUUUUUUCCCGUUGCAACACACGGGCAUUUUUGCUAGUGAAAAUAAAAGAGGCAAAUAAUAGAUCGGAAAGAAAAUAUGAUAAAGAAUAGACCUGGUGGCCGUAGAUUUCACUAGUGGCUUCUAUCCAGAAAAAUAGCAUACAGUGGGUAAACAAAUUACUGUUGGGCAAUUGAUAGAACUUCAAAUAAUUUUGAUGAUAUCCGGGCAAUGAUCAUUAUAUAGGCAUCACGUCCAAGAUUAGUAGACAGACUCCUUCCUGCAUCUACUACUAUUACUCCACUCAUCGACCGCUAUCCAGCAUUUAUCUAGUGUAUUAAGUUCAUGGAAAAAUGGAGUAAUGCAAUAAGAAUGAUGACAUGAUGUAAACAAGAUCUAUUCAUGUAGGAAUAGACCCCAUCUUGUUAUCCUUAAUUCAACGAUCAAUACAUGUCUUGCUGCCCCUUCUGUCACUGGGAAAGAACACCGCACGACCGAUCCCAUCACAAAGCACCUCUUCCCAUGGCAAGAAAAAUCGAUCUAGUCGACCUAACUAAACCAAAGAUUCAAAGAAGAAAUAUGAGGCUAUAAGUAAUCAUGUGUCUAAGAGAUCAAAACUCAAAUAACUUUCAUGUAUAAAAUAGAUCUGAUCAUAAACUCAAAGUUCAUCGGAUCCAACAAACACACCGCAAAAAGAGUUACAUCAAAUAGAUCUCCAAGAGACCAUUGUAUUGAGAAUCAAAAGAGAGAGAGGAAGCCAUCUAGCUACUGCCUACGGACCCGUAGUACUACAAUGAACUACUCACGCAUCAUCGGAGAAGCACCAAUGAGGAUGAUGAACCCCUCUGUGAUGGUGUCUAGAUUGGAUCUCAUGGUUCCGAAACUUGCGGCAGCUCGAAUUGUGUUUCGUCGACUCCCAUAGUGUUUUUGGAUUUUCGGGGUAUUUAUUGAGCAAAAAGGUGGUGCGGGAGGGCACUGAGGUGGGCACAACCCACCAAGGCACGCCUGGGCCACCAGGCACACCCAGGUGGGUUGUGUCCCGUGGGGGCACCCCUCUGGUACUUCUUUGGCCCAAGUUGUUCCUUCUGCUCCAAAAAAAUUCUCCAAAAAGUUUUGCUGCGUUCGGACUCCGUUUGGUAUUGAUUUUCUGUGAAGUAAAUAACAAGCAAAAACUAACAACUGGCACUGGGCACUAUGUCAAUAGGUUAGUCUAAUAAAAUGAUAUAAAUUUGCUACAAAAUGAUUGUAAAAUAUCCAAGAAUGAUAAUAUAAUAGCAUGGAACAAGCAAAAAUUAUAGAUAUGUUGGAGACGUAUCAAGAGGCAAUUAGAGGAAGGCGCAGCAAUCAGUGUGAUGGUAGUAAAAAAUUACACGAUUCGUUUCGUUGGAAAGGGAAAAAGGAAGCAUUGGUGAUGUAGCAGAUUUGCUUACGUGGAUGGCUGCAUGUUGAUUGCUGAUGUGGAUAGGCUACAUGUCAAGAGAAAUAUGGUAGUGGGGAUGAACUAUUUAGGUAUUAUAGAUGCGCAACAUCACAUCUAAACUCCUUAUAAAAUUUCAAAACACAAUGGUUUUUAAAAUGGUAAUUUUUUGGCACCCAAAUUUUUUUACAUUUAUGAAUAAAUUUUUGAAAACUUGAACAAUUUCUUGAGUCUAUGUCCAAUUUUUUGAACGCGAACUUUUUUUAAAAAUUUCAAAACGCAAUUAUUUUCUUAAUGCAACCUUUUUCAAAUUUCAAAACAUGAUUGUUCAUAAAGUGUAUAUGUUUUAAAAUUCUAGACUGAAUUUGGAAGUUGAAUAUGUUUCGAAAAACACUCGAAAUUGUGGACGUUUUCUAAAACGUCAAAGAAUUUUGAAAAACAUCAAACAUUUUUCAAAGCAUGGACAUUCUCUGGAAAAUGAAAAAGAAACAAAUUCCGAACAUCUUUUAGAAAUUUUGAAUUUAUGAAAAAAGAAAAAGAAACAGAAAACGAAAAAAGAAAUAAAGCAAGGAAAAGCAGUGAAGAAAGAAAACAGAAAAAUGGAAAAAAAAACCUGAAAAUAGUGGUAAAGACUGAUCCUAGCUACUUGGGCUGGUCCAUCUAUGGUUUACUCGCUGCUCAUUUUGGAGAUUUCUUUUAGGGGUAAAACCAAGUUUUAUACAUCAAACACCAUAGAGUGUGGGAUAGAGUUUGGGUCGUGGCAUUUCCCAAACCAAACAUUGCGUCCCAGACCUAACAAAAGAGAAAACCUGCCUAGAUUAUGUGCUUCGACAUUUACAGCAUGAUCUUUAGAUAAAAAACAAAAUGAAAUAAAUACGGUCGCAACUUGAUCUCGUUGAUAAUGGCUCAUUUCCACAUAGUUUUCUCACAUUUUUGACAGAAAAUUUAGCCUUGAUGGGCUGGGAAAUUGGGCCAGCCAUCCUCGAGUGUGACUGGCUCGUCUUUGUCUGGUAUAAAGCCCAUCACGUUGCCCAAGAGACAACCCUUAUUUAUUUUUCUAUAGGACCCAUAUAUGUUUGGUUCCUUCAGCACGAUGGGCCGCCUCCCAGCCUCCCUCGCCCGCUCGACAGCUCCCCCGCCAACAGAGGUAGGCCCUCGGCCCUCCCCCACCCCAAGGUUGCGAGCAUGUCCCUUCCCGACAUCUCUUCCACACGGCCUCGCCCCACCCCAUGUUCUCCCCCAAGUGCUUUGUCGAGUGUCGUGGAAAAAACUCUUGGCAAGAUAGUGGAACUCAUGCAAAAUGUGCUUUAUCGAGUGCAACACUCGGCAAAAGGGGGUAUGCAGGGAAGCAAAAUCGUGCUUUUUUUUCCUUCUCGGGAAGCUGCGAUUCCCGUGGAAGGCUUCAUCAAAAACCAGAAAAAAAAUAUUUUUGUCAUCAAAACCUAGGGAAAAGAAAAGAAAAAAACACGUGUAAAAAAUAAAAUUUUAAGGGUGUACCUGCGCAGGACAUGUGGCCGCAGUUGGGCACAUCACUUGAUGCGCUCUCAGGGCCUCAAAGUAACCUCUGCAAAAACCCUCGACAAGAAACCCAUCAGAUAGUUGGAGUCCCCCUCGACACGAUUGUUUUUAAAAUGAAUGGUUUUUGGAACAUGGACUAUUUCCAAAUUUAUGAAUAAAAUUUGAAAACUAGAGCAAUUUUUGACUAUAUCAAGGCUUUUUUUAAAUACAAACUUUUUUUGAAAUUUUAAAACAUGAUUAUUAUUUUAAUGCAACCUUUGUUAGAUUUCAAAAAAUGUUUUUUAAUGAAUAUUUUUUUAACCCAACCAAAACUUGAAAACUUGAACAUUCUCAAAAACGCUCGGAAUUGUGGACAUUUUCUAAAAACGUGAAAGAAUUUCGGAAAACUUCAAACUUUUUCAAAGCACGAAUAAUUUUUGGGAAAAUUAAACAAAAUCAAAAUCCGAACAGUUUUUGAAAAAAAUUAGAAAUGUUGAAUUUAUGAUAAAAAGGAAAAAAUUAUGAAAGGAAGGAAAAUCGGUGAAGAAGAAAACAAGAGAAGGAAAAAAACUAAAAAUAGUUUAAGAAAAAAAACAAUCCUAGCUAAUUGGGAUGGUACAUAUGCGGUUUGCUCACUGCACAUUUCCUAGAUUUUUUUAGGGGUAAAAGCAAGUUUUAAUCAUCAAACACCAUAGAGUGUGGGAUAGAGUUGGGGUCGUGGCAUUGGUUAAACCCAACGUGGCGUCCCGGACCUAACAAAAGAGAAAGACUGGCUAGACUAUGUGCUUCGACAUUGAUAGCAUGACCUUUACAAGAAAAAUUACUAUCAAAUAAAGAUGGUUGCAACUUAAUCUCGUUGAUAAUGGCUCGUUUCCCACAUAGUUUGCUCACAGUUUUUGAGAGAAAAUUUAGCCUUGAUGGGCUGGGAAAUUGGGCCAACCAAUCUCAAGUGCGACCGACUCGUCUUUGUCCAGUAGAAAGCCUGCCAUGUCGCCCAAGAGCCAACACCUAUCUUUUUUUUACAGGACCCGUAUAUGUUUUAUUCCUCUAGCAAGACCGGUCACUGCCAAGCAUCUCUCGCCCGCUCGACAGCUCCCCCCGCCGCCGGGGCUAAGCCCUGGAUCCCCCCACCCCCAGGUUGCAAGCUUGUCCCAUCCCUCCCUCUCUUCUGCGUAGCCUCACCCCACCCCGUAUUCUCCCCCACCGGUGCUUUGCCUAGUUUCUUGGAUAAAACUCUUGGUAAAAUAUUGGAACUCUGGCAAAAUGUGCUUUCCUGAUUGCUACACUCGGCAAAAGGGGGUAUGCACUGCACUGUUUUGGUUGUCCAGAUUGCAUACGACCUCGGAUGAAGAUGAUCCCGAAAUCAAAGUUUUUCAUUUUGACAAGAUGAUUAAUUUUCAUGUUCAGAACUUUUCCAUUUUAAGCCAUGUUAUUUACACUUUUGGCAAUGCCAAAAUAUGGUCUCAAAUGAAUAUGACGGUGGUCAUAUUUAUUGCAUAGUUUCUGACAAUGGGCCUAAACUUGGCAUUUUGUUGCAUCUUGCCAUUACAAACAAUGAUGCCAAAUAGAGUUUCCAACAUUUUGUACAAAAACUAAUUUUCCCAUUUUCUAAGUGUAAAAAAUGGAUAUUUUGUUAAGCGGGUAAAAAACAUAGUGCAAAAUGGCACCACCCCAAUUUUCAUAAAAAGUAGACCACAUGUUCUAGAAAAUUCCCAGGUUUUGUGGAUCUUCUAGAUUUCUAUCUACUUUCGCACAGUUAGGUUCAAAUUUGAACUUUAAGUGUGUGAUAGCUUUGUCCCAAAAAUUAGCAAAAAUGUAAUAUAUAUUUUUACGUAUGCAAGUAGUCAUUUGAUGAAUUGACCAUUUAAGUUUGAGAGGUUCAGGCCCUUGCCAUGACUAUCCAUGCCGGGCAUUUUGACCCCGUUUUGGAAAAAUGAAAAAAAAAGGAUACAAGUUCAAAAAAAUGCAAUCCAUUCAGAUGGACUCCUUUUAUGUGUACUACCUAGGAUGAAAAUACCAAACUUCAAUAUGAAAACUUUGAAAGAAAAAUAUCCAUCACAAAACGGGCUAUCAUGUAUGAACCUUCACGGCUUUCAAGUCAAACGACCAAGGUGUCGACAAUAUUCAUUCCAUAGUUUAUUAUAUUAUGCCCAAAUUAGACAUAUAGGUGAAUCAUGCCAUUGCAAAUAAUGUUGUAAAAUAGAGGUUCCAACUUUUUGUACAAAAAAUCAUUUACUAUUUUCUAAGUAUCAAAAAUGGGUGUUUCUUGUGAAGCGGGUUCAAAAAAUAGAGUGGAAAAUGGCAUCACUCCAAUUUUCACAAAAAGUAGACCAUAUUAGAUGGGCAAUUCCCAAGUUUUGUAGAUGUCUAGCUAAAAACUAACAAUUGGUGUAUUUUAGUAUUUAAUGAAAAUAAAAAAUGGGAAGGGCGGAUACUUAAUGGAUAGCGUGGACAUCUGAGGGUGUACCUUUAAGUGUUGGAGAUGCCUUUAUGUGCUGGUUUAUGUCGUGCUCAACCUGCAAUGUACUAGAGUUAAUCAUGUUGGGAAAUGUUGCAUGGAAAAACAAAAAAAAUUGUACGCACAUGCAAUGAUCUAUCCAUGAAGAUGCAUAGCAACGAGGGGGAGAGUGUUUCUACGUACCCUCGUAGACAAAAAGCGGAAGCGUUUGACAACGCGGUUGAUGUAGUCAAACUUCUUCUAGCUCCGACCGAUCAAGCACCGAACAUACGGCACCUCCGAGUUCUGCACAUGUUUAGCUCAGUGACGUCCCUCGUCUUCUUGAUCCAGCCAGGCGUCGAGGAAGUAGAUGAGUUCCAUUAGCAUGACGGCAUGGUGACGAUGAUGGUGAAGUGAUCCACGCAGGACUUCGCCUAAGCACCGCGAGAAUAUGACCGGGGGUGUAAUCUGUGGAGAGGGGCACCGCACGUGGCUAACAAUUGAUGUUGUGUGUUCUAGGCGCCCCCUUCCCCACAUAUAUAUAGGUGGGAGGGGAAGGGAGGCAGCCAGGGGCUCCCCAAGUAGGAUUCGAAUCCUGCUUGGGGUUUCCCCAAGUGCCCCCCUUCCUUUUUUCCACCGGAGAAGAAAGGAAGGGGGAAGAAGAGAAGGAAGGGGGGUUGAACCCCCUCUUCUCCUUCUCCUAUUCGGCCACCUGCCAUAGGGGGGCGCGCCACCACUUGUGGGCUGGUGUGAUCCCCUCUCAUGGACCAUAUGGCCCAUAUAUUCCCCCCGGGGGUUCGGACACCCCCCCCCCCCGAUACUCCAAUAAAUACCCGAUACAUUCCAGAACACUUCCGGUGUCCGAAUACUAUCAUCCUAUAUAUCAAUCUUUGCCUUUCGACCAUUUCGAGCCUCCUCGGCAUGUCCAUGAUCUCAUCCGGGACUCCGAACAACAUUCGGUCACCAAAUCACAUAACUCAUAUAAUACAAUAUCAUCAUCGAACGUUAAGCGUGCGGACCCUACGGGUUUGAGAACUAUGUAGACAUGACCGAGACACCUCUCCGGUUAAUAACCAAUAGCGGAACCUGGAUGCUCAUAUUGGAUCCUACAUAUUCUACGAAGAUCUUUAUUAGUCGAACUGUUAUGAGAACAUACAUUAUUUCCUUUGUCUAUCGGUAUGUUACUUGCCCGAGAUUCGAUCAACGGUAUCUGCAUACCUAGUUCAAUAUCAUUACUGGCAAGUCACUUUACUCGUUUUGUAAUACAUCACCUCACUAACGGAUGGGUCUUGUACGUCCAUCACAUCAUUCUUCUAAUGAUGUGAUCCCGUUAUCAAAGGACACCUCAUGUCCAUGGUUAGGAAACCUUAACCAUCUUUGAUCAACGAUCUAGUCAAGUAGAGGCUCACUAGGGACAUAGUGUUUGUCUAUGUAUUCACACAUGCAUUAAGGUUUCCGAUCAAUACAAUUCUAGCAUGAAUAAUAAACAUUUAUCAUGAAUAAGUAAAUAUAAAAUAACAACUUUAUUAUUGCCUCUAGGGCAUAUUUCCUUGAAAUCAGUAUAUGUGUGCAUGCUUGGUUGUUAGUGAAGUGUUUUAUGUAUAUGUAUACAUGCUUGGUUGGGCCAACUUUGUGUAUUACAUUUGUGAAAUACAAACUUGAUAUAUGCCACAUUUUUGUUAACGACCAAUAAGUAUAUACAUAACUAUAUUUUGCCUUCUUUUUCCUCCUCCACAAGAAAAGGUCCCACGCUUUUCUCCUCCUCCAAUCGGCACCGUAGCUGGUACGCCCCAUCUCUGAUGGCCUUUGGGCCACGAAGGUGAGUAGGACCUCAGGCCCUCGCUAGCAGGAGGGAACCCAUUCUCAUUCUUUUUUGGUUCUAUGUCUUGCUGGAGUUGUGUUGCGGCUAUGACGUCUCUCGGUAGGAAUAAUGUUUCCUAUGUUCUAUCCUCGUCUCGAUGGUGCCUCUAGCGUCAUCGGAGGGCAUGUGGAGGUGUGUCCCUGUCGGAUUUCGCAUGAUUCGGUCGGCAUUGGUCUUCGGUGGAUCUGUUUGGACACAGUCUAUGUUCAUCCUUGUGGUGUAUAUACUAUUGAUCCUUCCGAUCUAUGAUUUUCUUCAUCGAUGAUGGUUGCUGCUUCGAUGCGCUGGUCCUAUGGGUUCUUAGCACGACAACUUCCUGACUAUUGACUACAGCAAGUUUUGCCCGGNNNNNNNNNNNNNNNNNNNNNNNNNNNNNNNNNNNNNNNNNNNNNNNNNNNNNNNNNNNNNNNNNNNNNNNNNNNNNNNNNNNNNNNNNNNNNNNNNNNNNNNNNNNNNNNNNNNNNNNNNNNNNNNNNNNNNNNNNNNNNNNNNNNNNNNNNNNNNNNNNNNNNNNNNNNNNNNNNNNNNNNNNNNNNNNNNNNNNNNNNNNNNNNNNNNNNNNNNNNNNNNNNNNNNNNNNNNNNNNNNNNNNNNNNNNNNNNNNNNNNNNNNNNNNNNNNNNNNNNNNNNNNNNNNNNNNNNNNNNNNNNNNNNNNNNNNNNNNNNNNNNNNNNNNNNNNNNNNNNNNNNNNNNNNNNCACAGCUUGCUUUAGUGCUUGUAGUCAUCGCUAGGUGGUCCACGGACCUGGUUGUAAUUUUUCGUAUCUCUGGUGUUCUUUGUACUGCCAUGAUUGAAUAUGAAUAUAUUGGAAGUUUCUCACGCAAAAAAUAACUAUAUAAAUAACUAUUUAAGCAAAAUUCACAAAAAAAAUAUUUUAGCUAGUAAUAAAUUUUGACACCAAUUAUAUGGUAGUAAUUAAUAUUUCCCCUAAUAAUAUCCGCAUUGGAUCCAGGUAUACAGACAGGAGUAUGUUUGGAUAAUUGUGUGAACACAAGGAUAUAUCUUAGCAAAACUAUUUUGAGCAACAAGUAAAUGAAUUAAUAUAUGCUAGCUAUACUCUGCUGGUGAAAACAUGGUGUAUUAGUUGUACAAAGCAUGCAACACGGUUUCACUCCCCUUUAUAUUCCUGGGCAGAACACAAUUUCAGAUCUAAGUUUUAUGUUUGUCUACACACUCCCAUCUUCUUCCCAUAUCAGCAGGAAAAUUCACUCCAAUCAUCUCGCCAUUCUACACUUGGGUAAUCAGGUUUGCUUCAAUCUACCACCCUUGAAUAUAUGCCCCACAUCUUGUUUCUGCGUCCUAAUCUUAUUAAGCUUGUAAUUAGUAGUUAGUGCAAGAUCGAAAAGGAGCUAUGGGCAAAGCACCAUCCGCACCUGCUGAUAAAAUCGCCGUGGGACAAGCGGCACCUAAUCAUGAAAUAGCAGCAGAUUCAAGUGACAGUGAGAGAACAAUCAAUGAGGGUUAUGUGGGGAUCAUGUAUGGUGGUAGCCAAACCCACGAUGGCAACCUGGAAGGAGCAUCUGAUAUGGUAUUGCUAGCAACAGAUUCAAGUGACAGCGAGAGAACAAUCAGUGAGGGUUAUGUGGGGAUCAUGUAUGGUGGUAGCCAAAUCCAAGAUGCAGACCUGGAGGGAGAAUCGCCUAUGGUAUUGCCUGCUGUAGGAGAGAAUACCACGGCGAGAUCUAACAGUCAUGGUUAUACGCGUAGCUUGGAAAUUGAUUCUACCUCUCGUACUGAGAGGCAUGCUGCCAGGUCAGAUUCUGUUCUACUGGCACAGCGCCGAGACUGCAUACAAAUUUACCCUGAGUGGCUGGAGAAAAUUGAUUCAGGCAAAAAGAUGUGGACAGCUCUCAAACAAUUUCGAGCAAAUGGGAAGCAUGAAGAGGUUAGUAUAUACACAUGUUCUGGUGUGCUUUCUCAUCAAAUAAUCUAUCUAUCUAUUAUAUAAUUAAGAUAAGAGACAAACAAGCCAUCACGUUCGUCCACACAGAUUAAAUUAUCUCAACCAUUAAUUUCAGAUAUUAAGGGCUAGGAUUUUAAGAUAUAAACGUAACAUACAAAUAUUAGUACAGACAUCGUUUGCACACACGUUCUGACACGUACAUGGAUCUGGGGUGCAAAAGUGCAACAACCAUAACGUGCAUGAGAAGGACAGGUAGAAACCAAGUCCGUUUUCAGGUCAAAAAGAAAAAGAAACGAAGUCCUUUUUUUUUUCUUUUGCAAUAGAAGAGGAAAAAAUAGACACGCUAGACUCCCUAAUAAACGGUUUUUUUGUGGCAUACCAAAUAAACGAUCUGACGGACUAUGGCUAGAGGAAAGUCUUAGAAAAAAACAAACAAGUCAUGUCCUACUAGGACACGUUUUUUCGCUAAAAAAAUACUAGGACACGUUCAACAAGCCCCUACGAUUGGAAUAGAUUAAUAGGCCGACAUGUAAUAUUAUGUAAUGGUUGAGAUUUAGUUAUCAACGCAAGCAAUAUUUGGCAUCAUCUUGGGGCAUCUCCCGUUCGGAUUGCCAGCAGCCGCCGGCCACGUCUAGAUGCAGAUCACGUCAAUGGCCGGUGAAUACAAUCCUUGCAUGUAAAUUGAAGAGGAAGGAAAGACUUGAUGCACGUACACACCCAAAAGACUGGCUGGAGCUAGACAUUCGGAUCACAAGCGCACGGCAGCCAUCGGCCACCUCGAGCAGCAGACGACGUUCAAUCACCGACGGGAUCUAAUCCCUGCAUGCAAAUUUAGGCAGAAGAGAAGAUUUGAUGCACGUACACAUCCAAGAGGCUGGAGCUAGACGUUCGCAAACCCACGGCUGUCGCCGGCAACCUCUAGCGGCAUAUCACGUCAGUGGCUGAUGGGAUCCAAUUCAUUCAUCAAAUUGGGGAAAGAGGGAAGACCUGAUGCAUGUAGGCAUCCAAGAGGCUAGAGCUAGACGUUAUGUAUGUUUCUUUCUCUUGAUUUAUUGGUCUGUUGAUUCUCUUGACAGAUCUAAACAACACAUCAUCUUAUAUCUAGAUAUUUACGUUUCUGCUCAUCUAGAUCUAAACAACACAUCAACUUUUGGUCUAAGGGUGAGAAAAUUUGGCAAAAGACAGAUUUGCCAUGCAUGGAUAGAGCAUAGAAAAUCUCCAAGCAGAGAGACUCACAAGUAAAAACCGCAACUGGAAACUACAUGAUGAUUGAACAGGUUUGAUCAGUAGACUACCUGUUUCGGGUACCUGCUAAAGCACAAGCACACAAGAAAAAGAGAAAUGCUACACUUGCAGGCACUUUACACGGACUAGAGCAUACGGACAGUGCUGUCAUCAUUAGAUUGAAGAGAGGAGGGUUCCACCCCUGAAAUUCAGGGGGAGGGAUGAAUUAGAUGCAGCCACGACUGUCUGGCUGUUUCCGUAACUAUUGUCCGUAAGUAGAGCAAUUUUGCAAGAAAAAAAGGUGAAAAACGGAGUAGCAGUCUGAUCCGUACAUUAGGAAGCGGCAAUAUUAAAAUUAUUCUGGUCAUAGAUGAUGUCAGCAAGAAAAUUGUUUGGUCCAAAAUUAGAUCAUGGGCUUGACCGUCCAACAAAGCAAUUUACGAAUUUACAGUACCACUAAUUUCUCUAUAUUAUUCUGAGAGCUGUUUGUAAAAAAGAAGAAGAUAAUAUGAUGUAUUGAUUCCCAUUAUUUCAUACAAUUUAGACCACGCGGCAGACUUAUAGGCAUAGAUUGGGGACGAUGACAAACGAAUAAACAAAAGUAACAGUGUGAAGUCAUAAAUUAUGUGCACACUAUACUUUUUGGCUUUAAAGAAACUAUAUUGCCAAUAUAAUUGAUGGAACAAGCCAAUGUGUUUCUGAGGAAACCAAUGGGCACGUGCAAGAGGACGAUGCACAUAUCAUUUUAAAACUAGAAAAAAUAGAACACCUCCAACAUGUGUUAUUUAGUUCCUUCUGUGCAAUACACAUCGAUAUGUCAAGAUUUAAAGUGCGAGGUUAUUUAGCAUUUUCUAUGAAUACACAUGAAUAAUUGUAUACCAUUGUAUUACACAGCUAAGCAAUAGAGGUAAUUAGAGCAAUACUAUAUUGGCAUGUGUACAAUAGUAGAAGCAUCUCUGUACAUGAUAUUGCACAAUGGAACUGCAGUAAUCACGAGGCUGUUCUAAUAGACAUUAAUGUUAUAUUAUAACUCUUAUUGGGGAAUCUUUCAAAAAUAGUCAGUAAUUUUUUUUUAUAAAAGGACCAUCAUCGAAAAAAGGCAAAACCAAAUUGAUUAGAAGAACAAGAAAAGGAAAAGAUUGAAAAACUCCAUAUGGGUUAGCAUGGCAUGCAGGCAGCACAAUCCUAUAGUUUUCUAUUGUCACAUACAAAAUAUGUUACUACCAACACAACAACAAAAUAUCCAAUAGAGUCCGAUGAUAUAUGCAUUACUUUGCUUUUGUUGACAAAUGUGCAUUGUAUUUUUGGUAUAUGUCUUUAUUUUGCGAGAUAUUAUUUUUUGUAUAUGUCUACCUCUUACCAAUAUGGAUAUAAAGGCACAUCGGAAAUCUAGCCGCGCAAAUGCGUGGGUCACACUGCUAGUUUUUAUUGUGGGUUAAUCAUCUCAUAACAUAAGGAGUGUUUGCUUGAUGGGCAUUCAGACCAAAUAAUGAACGAAUUAGAUCCUAGGCUCUCCAAAAGAUGACAUUGUGUUUUGCUUCAGUUACCUCAUAGAUUUUCAGCCUUUGCGUCAAAAUGAUUUUAUGCAUUUGUUUUCGCACUAACUUGUAUUUUUUUAAGCACAACCAUCCAUAUAUGUGAAGAAACUCAUGGCCACUUGUGUGGUUGAUAGAAAUCAGUUAACAUCUCAAUUUCCUCAUGUGCUAUUGUAUGACUACGGAGGUUUUUCUAACAUGCUCCUUCUUACCUCCCCUUUUCACAUGAGACGUAAGAGUAUAAAGUAAAUCUGAGUCAUUGACUGCAUUAAGUAGUGGACUUGACUAAAUCUUACCUUCUUAACUCCCAUGUGAAAAGAUGAGGUAAGAGGAAGCAUGUUAAAAUGGCUCAUGAAUGUGGUGCUGCCACAAGUGGCGGAGCUUGAGCAUAAUCCAAGAGGGCCAUUACUUGAAGGGGAGAAAAUUAGAAGGGAAUGAGGGGCAAAUAUCUAGUUUAAACACUAGUUAGGCUUAAAAUAUAGUAUAUUCAUUGAUGGGUGCAAAAAUUAAGGGGGGCCAUGGCCCCUGUUGGUCUACAUGAAGCUCCACCACUUGCUGCUGCACAUUCUACAGUGUUGUUAUAGACACUGACUGACUCUUAUUUUUGCACUAUAUCCAAACGUACUAGCAGUCAUAAGACACCAAUCUGUCAGGAUCUCGGCUUUUGGCCUUCUGCUUGGAUGCACUAAAGAUAUUGAUAUGUGUCGCCAUUCCUGGAUGUCGUGAAGGUUACCUGACUGGAACAAAUUGUUCUGGAGAAGGAUAUGGAGGCGCGACAAACCUAAAGCAGCGAUGAUGCAACAAAUGGAAUGUGAUCAAGAAUGGUAUUCUCUCCAGGUGCACACUAGCAAGCAUACAAAUUAGGGUCUGCAUGGAUGACCAAAACACAUGGCAUUUUUUUAUCAACUAGCCCAUCCUUUUUCCUUUGAUCUAAUAACAUUGGUUGCCAUUUCGGGCUUUUGGGCCGAGCUUCGGGCGAGAAAUUGAAGCCCAGGCCUACCCCAGAUGUCGGGCUUUGGGUCCGGCCUCUAGGUCGGGUAGUCCAUGAACAGGUUUAAUUUUAUCUAUUCACUCGCAUUUUGAUCCUCGUUCAUUAUAGCAUUUAACCAUAAUUCAUAUGAACAUGCACCAUGAGAAUAUAAUAAAGGAAAUGCAUGGGUCAAUUUGUAGUACACAACACCUUAUUGUGCGAUAUCACAAGAACAUUUUUCACCUUGAUUACAGUAGUAACUAUUGUGCAAUCUUAUAUAUCAAAUCAUAUAUUAUAUGACAAAUUAAGUAUAUUGUUUUGCUUAUUUCAGUAUUACCUUCAUAAGGAAUAUAGUCACAAAUUUUGCUCCAAACACAACGUUAUUGAGUUCAUACGAAAUGGAACUGUGAAAGGGAAGCCGGUUCAGAAGGUGCCUAAAUACUUGACUUUCAAACAUAUAGUAAUUAUGUGAAGAUGUAUAUGUUUUUUGUAUUAACUUUAAAGUAUUAAUUUGACACGGUAUCCUAUUUUUGCACAGAGAUCAUCUUAUACUUCUAUGAACAAUCUUCAUGGUAUGUCCAGUUGGCCCCAUGCAUUUGGAUAUUAUUUUGUCUACUAUUAUUACUAUAGAGAGAAAUCUAACUGAAACUGAAAUAUAGUAAAUAUUCAUGGAGAGAAAAAUAGACAUUAAUGUCCACAUACACAAAAAAAUUAACCAGUAUUGUCCUAGUUUACAUGAAUUAAUAUUUGCAAUGACAAUUAGGUUACUCAUGACAUGAUAAAGAAAAAGUUUUUUUGUGAGGUAAGAUAAGGUUUUAUAUAACUGUUCAUGGGGACCUCCUCAUGGUUGCAGAUACAUAGUUUUACAGUGCUUCAUGAAAUAGUUGCAUAUCACUGUGACACCCCAAAAUUUUUAACCUUGUUUUAUUAGUUAAAUUUUUGCCAGGAAACUUAAACUUUUGUUUUCUGGAUUUUCUUUUGAUUUCAGAACCUUUCUUCCCUUUAUUUUUAUGGAGUUUUACCCCAAGUGAAAACAUUUCAAUUAUUGUUGGAAUUAUUUUUCCUCUUUAGUAAAACAAUUCUUUUAUCAGUGGGAUUAUUUGCAUAAUUUUUCCCUGAGGCCUUAUUUCUGUAAAAAUGAUUUUUUUUAAGCUUCAGGGCCUCUUUUGCACUGCAACCCUUUGAUAAAUUCAUUCAAAAAUUCCACCAAAAUUUGGAGAUGUCAUGUGAUGUUUUUAAAACACUUUUAUGCUAAAAUAUAUUUCAUUCCUUGGAUAUUUUGAGUUCUACACCAAGUUCUCAAAUCUGGUCCAGAGGACAGUUUUGCACUACAACCUAUUUAAAUAUUUCUUUAAAACUUCUACCAAAAUUUUGGGAUGUCAGUAGGAGCAUAUUAUUCCAUUAUAUGCAAAAUCCAGGGAUGUUCUUUGAAAUAUUUGAGUGAAUCAUCCUCUUAUUCAUUCUGGUGCAACUUGGUGAUUUGCACUGCAACCAUCUUCUAACUUGCUCCUCUACCCAUGAGCUUUCUCCUACUUGUAGUACACCUUACCAAACCCUUAAGUCCAAGAGCAUGAACCCAUUGGGAGAAUUUUUUUUUGUCCAUGCAUUGAUGCCAUUUACCUUCUGUCCAGAACUGAAGAUUUGCAAAACUUGCACUAGCAAGUUUCUUCUUUUGGCAAACUAACCUCACCACUCUCUCUUUCACCUAAAGAGACCCCACUCUGGAAGAUUUGACCAUUCCAAGAAAUGCCUAGGUGCAUGUGGCAUUCUGUCAAACACCUUAUGGGUUUUAGUUUGCACUAUGAACUUGCUUCCCUUGCCUAACUACCUUGUCCAAUAAACUCCUAGCUACCCCUAACCUAGGUCUGCUAAUUCCUAGCCUCAUCCGAGGCCUCUAGCUUGCCCUGGCAUUUUGUCGAGCACAUCCCGUGCGUGCUCUGGGCGCGAGCAGAGCACGCGUUUUGCACGUACCGCGCCCGAGCCGCCACGUCGCGCCCCUGGUUUUGCCCACACCACAGAGCCGCGCCACGCACUCUCCCUCUCACCAGAACACGCCAAGCAGCCCUGGUGCCCUGCAGCACCGCCGUUAGAGCCCUUGGCGGCACGCUGGCGUCCGCAGCGCGUCUCUGCCCGGUCGGUGCCGCCCAAGCCUCUCCCGCUCGCCACCUGCCCCUGGAACAGCUCAGCCUCAUCCUCUCGCGUGUCCUCUAGCUCUCGUCGCCGCCACGACGCCCUGCUGCUAUAGAGAGGCGGUUCGCCGGUGAACUUAUCCACGGCCGCCGCAAACCGACCUCGUUACACUAUAAGAAGAGGCCCCGAGAACGUCCCGUUCCACAGGCAGCCUCAAAAUGCUCCCCUAGUUCUCCCGUGGCAGCCAAUCGACCCGGGGAGGUCUUCUUCCCCACCUCCGGCAACAGCAGCCGCCGCCACUGUCCCGGCCAUUCCGGCGCCACCAGAGCCUCCCCCUCUCCACUCUCUUCACCAUGAGCUUCCUCUCCCCCUAGUGAAUCCAUCCCCCUGCUCGAUUUUGAUCGAGACUCACUGCGAGAGAAAAAUCACUUUGCCCGACGACCACCGUCCACUGCGAAGCUCGCCGCUGGCAGCUUCGUCCACCCCAGAGACCGUAUCAACCACCGGAGUGACCGUCUCGAUCCCCUGAACCCGCGAAUGGCCUCCGUUUCCUGAACGGUGCCGCCAUUCGCCCGCGAGCAUCGCCGGAGCUCCGCCUAUGUUCGGUUGGAGGAGGCGACGCGCGCGUGGACUGGUCAAACCUGACCAGUGGGCCAGGCGGGUCCACUGUCAGUGACCCAGUGCCGAUCCACACAGGCAUAAGUGGAAACGUAUUUUUAGAAUACGCCUUCGACAUGGUCAGUUCGAAUCGUUUUCUUUUUAUUCUGUUUUAUUUUAAAAAAAACAGAUUUUGACCACAGCUUUGACUGCCUAUAACUUUUUAAUGAUAACACCAAAUGAAUUGAUUCCUUUUCCUACCUCUCUCAAAUUUAAUCUAGUUUAUUUUAAGAUUUAUUUAAAAAAAUUCAAACAACUUUUUGUGCUGUUUUGAAUUUGUGUGUUGAUUCAAAUUUUAUUUAAAAUAGGACUUUGGAGAGUGAGAAGCAAACUUUCAAAAGUUUUGGAGUGCACCCUGCCUUUCCACAUAUUGAAGGCAAGCAUUCUGAACCCUGGCAUAAUAUUUUGCAUGCGUUGUUUGACACGAUUAUGACACCACCUCAGUACGUGGAACUCGUUAGUUUAUGUGGUGAUGUGAUCGUUUGCAUAAAUGCUUAUUGGAAAUUUCCUUGCUGUUGGAAAUGGACAUGCUUGUGAUAGUGAUCAUCCUCGUAUGCCUUUCAUGCCUACCGGAAGGAAAACGGGAAAGUCUCUGUCUUGGGUAGACCCGAGCUUGUCCCUAGUUCCUCGUCGAGACGAGUGUGUCUGGCAUGGCAUGAGGGGUAUGAUGAGUGGUGAUUCUGUCUGUUGGAUGAAAUAUAUUCGUUAUGCUAAUCAUGCAGUGAACACUUAAAAACCUCCUGAGUCGGCCAUAGAUCGAGUCUUGUUCCAGUAACCCCCAUACUUGUUUCGUACUACCACUUGUCUCUACAACAAGUAGAGUACGGUUCACUAAGUCUUCAACCCCUUUCUAGCACACACCAUAUAGAGAGGCCAUGGUGGAAGAUACCGGUUGUAGCUGGUAGGCAGGCCACCUGGUCCGGGGGCAUGGGUGUUUCCGGUUGAGACCGAGAGGGGAGGCCACCCCUUAGAGCGCGCGAUAUAAAUUUGAUCCCAUGCUACGCGAGGUUGUAGCAUCCCCACUUAGAGUUUUGCUUAACAAGUGUUGUGGGUGAUUCCAGACACCGGUAAGUUAAGCUGGUGUGUGCAAGUUAGGUGUGUUUUCAACUAAAAGGCCGUAGACGGAAUUAGUCCCGAUGGACUAAAGGAAUCCGUUACUCGUGGGUAAAGAGUACACCCUCUGCAGAGAUUAAACCUAUUCGAAUAGCCGUGUCCAUGGUUAAGGAUUACAGUCUGGGAUGGGUCAAGUGUCGGUCUUAGUGUCGGUCUUCGGAGGAGAAACUGUUAUACCAGAACUGGGAUCACGACUUGAGACUUGUAAUGAUUAUGAUUAUUAUUUUGUUGUGGACUAACCCGUUAUGUAAUUGGCAUUAUCGAAUAUCCCUGGGAUGGUGCUACCUCCUGGAUAUUCACUGUGAUUAUUUAUAAGCCCUUUAUGUGGUGUCACUGAGACGCCCGACUAUGGCAUGCUUGUUACUUAUUUACUUUAUAAGCCCUUUAUGUGGUGUCGCUGAGACGCCCGACUGUGGCAUGCUUGUUACUUAUUUACUUUAUAAGCCCUUUACGUGGUGUCGCUGAGACGCCCGACUGUGGCAUGCUUAUUAUUUACUUAUUUUGUAAGCCCUUUAUGUGGUGUCGUUGAGACGCCCGACUGUGGCAUGCUUGUUAUUUACUUAUUUUAUAAGCCCUUUAUAUGGUAUCGCUCAGACGCCCGACUGAGGCAUUUCUCUUUGUUUACUAACCUUUCGAGGCGUCGCUUCAGACACCCGAUCGGUGCAUUUUAUUAUUAAUAUGUUAUUGCAUAUUCAUAAAUAACCUGCUUGCAUGCAUCAGAGUUUUAUUAUCUUUUGUGACUAACGUCGUGAACUUAAAAUAUUUCAGAACAUCGUUGUUAUAUUAUACAUGUAUUCAUAAUGUUUGCGAGUACAUUCAAAGUACUCACUGGCUUGUCCCUGGCUAUUGUCUUGGCCAGAUUUCUUGCGCGGAGAAGAGCGACUGUGAUGAUAGCUCUGGAACCUAAGCUAUGGUGAUAGCAGCCUCGCGAAGAUAGGAGUUAACCUGGUCAGCUGUUCCUGUGGGAAAUGGAGUCCCAUAGACGCUGAUGACCCACAAACUGCUUCCGCCAUCAACCACGAGAAACCAUUUGUUGUACUCACAGGCCAUAAUGAUCUUGUGCUACAUAUUUUGUAUUUUGCUUGGAAUUCUGUAACAAGUUGGUGCCUCAUCAGCUAACAGUAAUCCUGGGGCUCGUGAGCACAAAGGCCAUUUUCUGGGAAAUUAUUACCCGGAAAACCGGUCGCCACAAUCACCAUGUCUAAAAGAAGAAUCAUGACGGACACAACUUCAAGAAAUUCUUCUUGUCAAAUAACAUGAUUUGUAUAUAGCUCAUAGAGGAUAUAACUUGUUGGUAGAAUUUAAUAUUGUGACACACUCGCCAUCUUUUGUGCCAGCAUUAUUUGGGUGAUGAUUUAAUAUCCAAAAGCAUACAGGUAGUUAUGUGCAAUGAUAUUCUUGUGAAAAUAACUUCCAUAGUGUAUACUUGCAUAUAUGUAUUGCUCUAUUGUAUUCUCACAGUUAAUCCUUUUUCUUAAUUUUCUGUUUGUUUAUUUAUGUUUAGAGCAAGAUUAUAAAUUAAGCUGAGCAUAAUUUCUGCAGAUUAUAGAUGGCCCAAUAAAGACAAAGGGCGAAGGUACAAACUUCAAGUAAUUCUUCUUGCCACAUAGGUUUUUCUAAUUGUGCGAGCAUACCAGUUGUAACUGCCUUCAGUCAUCUAUGUCAGUAGUAUUUUGAGAAGAAUUUCAUUACAAAAUGCAACGACUCAAAUAAUCAGAUUGUUCAUGAUGAUUCCUAAUUGUAUAACCAAUAAGCUUAACACACCUUCCUAUUUUAGAGUUGUUAUCUUAAUAAGUAUAUACUAUAUGUUAUUAAUGUUGUUGUUGGGUGAAGAACAUUUGUUGCUCAUGGUUAGAAUGCAGAAUUUUCUUAACACAACAACCUAGAGCGAAUGUGGAGGCCAAUAUAGAUUAAAACCAUUAAUUCAUAUUAAAAUGGUCAUGACUUCUUAUUUUUAUUUGACAUAAAUGUUUGUGACUUGUUUGAAUUAAUGUGUUCUGCAAUUAUAUGAUACUUCCAUAUUCAUACUAUUUUUAUGAAAUGUGCAGCUAGUUUGUCAACAGGAGCACGAACAACCACAACUUCUACAAAGCUUCCACAUGGUUUCAUUUAGUAUCAUGCAAAAGACAUUGAGACAAUCAAGAUUACUUGAGCAACCUGAAUUAUGUUAGUUGUUACCUGCUUUCAAACGAAUGUGUCCUCUCAUAGUAUGCAUGUACUUCUGUUGUUGAGGAAUUUAUAUCAUUAGACAGUUCUGUUUUUCAUAAUUAUUGAUUAAUGGGUACAUACCUUCAAUCCUGGAAGAUUAUCAGAUAGCCAGCCAAGGAAGCGAUUUGUUUAUUGAAUUGGGCAUAAUAGGAACAUUUUUACAUUCAAAGGAACAUCAUAGGAAUAAUUUGGUAUUUCAAGAAGAUUUUCCAGUCCCCUGCCCCAACCUACUGGAGACAGUAUGAGUGGUGACAGACACAUUUGUAACAUACGAGCAAGCCAGUGCAGCAGCUUCAGUCACAUGCUCUGGAAGCCCAUUUUGGGUCUUCCUUUAGAAGGCUCAACAAGGCCAUCAUCACACCAUUCUAGUUAGUUACUUCUGCAACGAUAUAUGUCCGUAAGAACAUAAGAAGCUAGGGUUCUAGUAGACUUAUAAUGCUCUAACAGCACCACGUUGGAUAUGCCCGUACAAAUAAAAUAACUUGAAUCGAGUCUAUAUGUAAGAACAUAUCUUGUCAUCAGUCAACUACUAGUACAGUAAGAGCAUCAAAGAGGAAUUCAUUUCAUAUAGAAUAGUCGCAAUCAUAUACUUUUGUUCUGCACAUACUGCUCAUUAUCAUGGACAAUGAUGUAGCUAGCUAAAAGGGGGCAUGUGGCUAUAAUGUAAGCAGGGAGGCUCCAGGGACGAGCUCAACAGACAGAACUAACCUGCUCUUGCAAGGAACCAGUAAGCCUUGCUACAUUGUCACCUGCAUGCUGCAUGGCAUCGCGUCCACCAGCUAUUGUGGUAUGUCGCAACUCUUUCCUCACAUCUUUUCACCGAAGCGAUCGUUGGCGAAUUCUAAUCUUUCUGGAACAACAUUCCUAAUUCCCUGCACUAGAAGGUCAUCAUGAUGCAUCGGUACAUCGGAAUUCCGGACACAUUAACAAAAUCUUUGCCCAAACCAAAUUAAGGGGGAAAUGAGAAAUGAAGGAGAGAACCAAAUAGUAAGUUAGGUUAUAUAUAUGUAUGUAUGUAUCUAUAUAUAUAUAUAUAUAUAUAUAUAUAUAUAUAUAUAUAUAUCGUUCAUAGUAAAAACAACCGGAAGUGUAUCCAUGUUGUUUGCUUAGGUGGCUGAAAUCAAGGUCCUAUUCACUGGGAUGAUAAACCUACUAAAUAAAAGGGUUCUCAAAGUCCCCUCAGAACUAGAGUCGAGUAACACAGUCAUGGUCCCAUGGGGUUUCAGGAUAACGACAUGAAAAUGUGGUUAACACAAUCAGCUCUCUCAUUAAGAUUUGUCUUAUUUUUAUCACUACGGGAAAAUUCAUGUUUGCAGAGUGUUAGUGUCUUUGUUGAGUGCAUUAUGUUGGGCACUCGGCAAACAUAUCUUUGCCGAGUGUAAUCCUGAAACAUGGUAAACAUGUGCUUUGCCCACUGUCGUGGAAAAAAACUCUGGCAAAAAAGUUAUAGUUACUAAAAGGUGCUUUGUUGAGUGUCUUGGAAAUAACUCUCGGCAAAAUAGUGGAACUCGGGCAAAGAUGUGCUUUCCCGAGUGCUACACUCGGCAAAAGGGGGUAUGCACUGUGCUCACUGUUUUGGCUGUCGAGAUUGCAUACAACCUUGGAUGAAGAUGAUCCAAAAAUCGAAGUUUUUUAUUUCGACAAGAUGAAUAGUUUUCAUGUUGAGGACCUUUUCAUUUUAGGCCAUAUUAUUUACACUUUUUGCCAUGCCAAAAUAUGGUCCCAAAUGAAUAAGGCAGUGGUCAUAUUUAUUGCAUAGUUUAUGACUAUGGUCCUAACCUUGGCAUUUAUGUGCAUCUUGCCAUUACAAACAAUUUUGCCAAAUAGAGAUUCCAACAUUUUGUACAAAAAUAAUUUUUUUAUUUUUGAAGCAUAAAAAAUUGAUACUUUUGUGAAGCUGGUAAAAAAAAUAGAGUGCAAAAUGGCAUCACUCCAAUUUUCACAAAAAUAGACCAUGCUUUUUUAGAAAAUUCCCAUUUCUUGUGGAUUUUCUAGAUUUCUAGCUACUUUCACACAUUUAUAUGACUUUAUUAUGAUUCCGCAAAAUUAAUUCAAUUUGAACUGUAAUUGUGUGAUAGCUCUGUCCUAGAAAUUUGCAAAAAAUACUUUUAAGUACACAAGUAGUCAUUACCUGGAAAACCCACUUAGAGUUUGAGAGAUUCAACCCCUUACAUGAGUAGCCAUGCCGGCCACUUUCACCCCGUUUGGGAAAAAAUGAAACCAAAAGGAUACAAGUUCAAAAAAUGCAAUCCUUUCAUAUGAACUCCUUUUAUCUGUACUAGUGUGGAUGAAAAUACCAAACUUUCAAUAUGACAGUUUUCAAAGAAAAAUAUCCUUCACAAAUGGGCUAUCCUCUAUGAACAUUCAUGGCUUUCAAGUCAAUGACCAAGGUGAUGACCAUAUUCAUUGCAUAGUUUAUUAUAAUGUGCCUAAAUUAGACAUAUAGGUGAACCUUGCCAUUACCAAUAAUGUUGCAAAAUAGAAUUUCCAACUUUUUUGUUCAAAAAAAUCAUUUUCUAUUUCAGUAUAAAAAAUGGGUGUUUUUUGUGAAGCAGGUACCAAAAACAGGGUACAAAAUGGCACCACUCCAAUUUUCACAAAAAGUAGACCGUAUUUUAUGGACAAUUCCCAAAGUGUGUAGAUUUAUCUCUUAAAAUUUAACAAUUGGUGUAUUUUUUAAUAUUUAAUGAAAAUAAUAUAUGUAUUUUUAAUAGGAAGGGCGGAUAUUUAAAGGAUAGCAUAGACAUCUGAGGGUGUACGUUAAAGCGUUGGAGGUACCUUUAUGUGUCAGUUUACGCCAUGCUCAACCGGCAAUGUGGUAGUAUUAAUCAGUAUAUACUUUUGAUUGUAAAAGAAAUCAAUAUAUAAUUUGUUUGGAUUAUUUUAGUUUGCAGGGCAAACUUAAAAUGGAUUUAUUUAGCCUAUUUUUGUGAAAUCACUAAUUAGGAGGUACCUUUUGCAAAGGUCACACCCCACUUUCAUUAGUGCUGACAGGUGGCACAUGGCAUGUGUGUCCCUUGUCGCAACAUGGGAGUUUCCCCUUUUUGUAGAUUCAUUUUUUAAAAUCUUUUAUCUCUUGAACCGCGCAUUCAAAUCACGACCCAUUUUUAUCGUUGGAUUUCUCCCGCCGAGAUCUUUGAAACUAGUCACAUGUUAAUAAGUUCCGAUGAACUUUUUCUUCACGAAAAUCAAACAAAAAAAUAUGAAAACAAAAAAUACAGAAAGCAAAAAAAGAAAAAAAAACUAAAAUCAAGGUUGUGCUUUUUUACAUUUUUGGGAAGAAAAAGUGUGCUUUCCCCUUUUUGGGAAACACGGUUUUGCUUCUUGUGCAAGCAUAGGUCGUGCUUUUCCCUUUUCAAGAAGCAUAGGCCAUGCUUCUCUUGUUCUCCGGGAAGCACAUAUGUGCCUUUCCUUUCGGGGAGCACAGUUUUCUCUUUCGGAAAAGCAUAGAUGUGUUUUUCCCUUUUCAGAGAAGCACUACCUAUGCAUCUCACCGAAGAACAUGCUAUGCUUUUCCUUUUUUGAGGAAGUAUAGUUGUGCUUUCCCUUUUUUACAGGGUAGCAAAAAUUGUGCUUUCUUCCUUCUCGGGAAGCUAUGCUUCCCGCGGAAAAGCACCGCCUCAUGAAAAAACAUAAAAAUGUUUUUUUUUCAUCAAAACCUAGGGAAAACCAAGAAAAAAAAGAAAACAUGUGUAAAAAAAUCUAAGGGUGAACCCAGUGCACGACACGUGGCGGCAAUUGGAUGCAUCACUUGAUGCGCUCUCAGGUCCUAAAAGUAGCCUAUGUGGAAUCCCCCGAUGAGAUACCCGUUAGAUAGUUGGAGACCUCCUUGCAUCAAAUAGGAGGGUGGCCACAAAGGGGGCGCAUCCUGGUGGGCCGGCCCAGCAGCGUGCUACACUCUAGCGCAAAUUGGUCAAAAUCUAAAAAGUGAUGUGUGAUCAAAGCGCGCAUGGCUAGCCACUCAAGCUAAUGAAACUCUGCUAACUACUAGGCCGUGUUGAACUUUAAAAAGUACUAUAUGAUACCCCGCGCGUUGUUGCGGGAACUCUUAGUACUUUACAUGAAGAAGCUUGUGGAGUGAAAAUAAUUAAAUGAUGAAAAUAUACACUUUUUAAAACCUUUGGUGGUACUUGUAGGAACAUUAUGGAGUGAAAAUAAGUUAACAAUUAAUAUAUUUUUAAACCUUUGAUGGUAUUUUGAGAAUCAUGAGAGAAAUGGUAUAUUAGGGUAUCUCUGUAUUUAUGUAGUUAGAACGCGCCACCCUUCAGCGGGGAAUUAAAUGCAUCGCUAACAUUAAAAAAUAGAGCAUAUAGUUUGAUGGGAAUUUCACUGAAAACAUGGCCAGCCAAGUCUAAAGCUGAAUAUUACACUGAACAGAGAGCCCAAUCAUUGCCUAACACAAAAGCACUAAUGCUUGUUGAGUUAUUUGUAAUAUAGGAGCAGAAUCCCUUCGAAAGAGAAAUUCCAAAAUAUUAAAAAGAUCCAACAGUAAGACAUCCAUACACCUUACAGUUUAUACAUGGAGACAAGCUACAUACCAAUCGCUAAAAAGGUGAAUAUAGAGUCAUGCACAUCAGGCCCUCAUGGCAUAGAUGCAUUUCUUCCACUAAAAGGACAUGCCUUAAGGGGAUUAGUGUAGGUGUGAAGAUCUGGACAUAUAAAUGGCAGGAAUGACUUCAUCUUCCUACCCCUUCUAUGGAAACAGAGGCCCGACUUCAAUUGGGAUCCGUUUGACAUGUUGCUCCCUCUUCAUAAAAUGGAGCUGAUCGUUAUCUAAAAGCAAGCUAGGUAGAUUUGGCAUGGCCAGCAGUAGUACUUGCUACUUUGCCAGUUGUGAUGCAUCAUAUGAGAAGGCAAGGAAGGUUGUGUGCUGCCAUGGCCGGACCCUUUGGGGUGCCAAAUGGUGUUCAAAUUUAUAGUAGGUUCCAUUUUUGGUGGGAAUCCAAGGAAAAGAAGGCAAUGGAGUAAGAUGACAACCCAUUCCCAGACUGCCACUCAAAAUCAAAAUGAAGAGGGUAAAUAAAUGUACUUACUAAGAACACACGGAUAACAUAUAGCUGGCUACAGAAACAGCCAAACUUUGUAAGUCCACGGAAAUUGAGGAAAUUGUGAAAACUAUUUCUGUGAGUAGAAGGAAACGUAGUCCAGUUACCUUUCAUGGUAAUGCUUCUCUUGAGACGAUUCUUAGGAUCCCUGAAGAAUGUCUUCUGUUUUCCUGAAGCGGGAUUCCUUGCUAGAGCAGUACCUUUUGUUCUCUUGAGUUAAGGCAGAGUGGGAAAUACAUCACUAUCAGCUCUAGUUCAAUUGCUUGUAUUUUACAAAAACAUACAAUUGAAACAAUUAUCAGGAAAAGUUAUUACCUUAAUCGCAGCAACUCUUUGAGCAUGCAAUUUGGCGUCUUGGUGUAUAAUCUUCAUGUGUAAACAAUUUGUUUUAGCAUCUAGACUCUAUAAUUAAAAUUAAUAAGUUCUUUAAAAGCCAAAGGCAACUAUAUAGACCAAUACAAUUAAACAAAGGCAGCGGGUAGGUUUCAAAUUUGAAGUAGCAGGGCUCCAUAGUUAACUCUCCAUCAUGCAGGCAUUUAGUGUAGUAGAUACAAGACAUACGUGUGACAGAUUGCAUAUGAACAACAUUUAUUAGUAGGAAAAUUGUACUACCGUAUAUUGCACUAACACUAACUAUAUGAAGAAGCCAAUAGCAUGUAAUUUCAGCUUGCAAGAAAGCGCCACUUACUCUUAUAGAUCGGCUAAUCUACAUGGCAACUUCCGGGGAUGGUGAUGGAUAAGUACAGUUGGAUCGUGUUUAGGUGUUAAUCUAUUUUUAUAAAAAUCAUCUUCCUUUACUUUCAAGGGAGAACUGUAGAGGGGAAAGAACAACAUUUUUUAAUCUAAUGAUCCAUCACUUAUUCACAACUAUUGCAAUAACCAAGUAUGUUGGAUGCAAGGAGGAGGUGAGAGUGCAGGCAACAUGUAUGUCACAUCAUGCGAACAGGUGGGGAUCAUGUUAAGUCAAUGCAGAAGGAUGCGUUGUGUGUCCGCGCACCGUCAACACCGCCGAGUAAACAGUAAACUAAACCUGGGGACCAGCGCUCUUGACCUUCCCAGCUACUUCUGGCAUAGGGGGAAUAUUUGAGGAUUUAUAGUGCUGAGAUUAGGGUUNNNNNNNNNNNNNNNNNNNNNNNNNNNNNNNNNNNNNNNNNNNNNNNNNNNNNNNNNNNNNNNNNNNNNNNNNNNNNNNNNNNNNNNNNNNNNNNNNNNNNNNNNNNNNNNNNNNNNNNNNNNNNNNNNNNNNNNNNNNNNNNNNNNNNNNNNNNNNNNNNNNNNNNNNNNNNNNNNNNNNNNNNNNNNNNNNNNNNNNNNNNNNNNNNNNNNNNNNNNNNNNNNNNNNNNNNNNNNNNUCCUCCCGAAGCUUCCUAGGUUUCUUCUGGUCCAAGAAAAAUCAUCGUAAAGUUUUAUUCGUUUGGACUCCGUUUGAUAUUCCUUUUCUGUAAAACUCAAAAACAAGAGAAAAAAACAGAAACUGACACUGGGCUCUGGGUUAAUAAGUUGGUCCCAAAAAUAAUAUAAAAUAACAUAUUAAUGCAUAUAAAUCAUCCAAAAUAGAUAAUAUAAUAGCAUUGAACAACCAAAAAAUAUAGAUACGUUGGAGACGUAUCAGGAUCAUGUUAAGUCGAUGCGAAAGGAUGCAUUGUGUGUUCGCACACUGGAUGCUUGUAUUUAUAUGGCUCUAUCAGCGUCGCCGAAUAAACUAAAUCUGGGGACCGGUGCUCUUGACCUUCCCAACUACUUCGACUGGAAAUCAGAUCCUCCAUGCCAAAUAAGAAAGACCAUUCAGGUCGUGCUGAUUGAGAGGAAAGAGACCACUCACCUCCGACAAUGGCACGUGUGGCUCGCCUGAAGGUCCUUGGGUUGAAUCCACGGUGUUGGGCUAGCGUAGCACCCAUUGGCGGCAAUCAUGGGGCUCCAAGAUGGCGUCACCAUGUAGAUGUCUGGUGUUGUUGGCCAUAGACGGUUUUGUCAAAGGCGACGCAUUAUGGAAAGAUGGAUAGAUGAAAGAGGGGAGGAGAAGAACCUGGAAGACAAUAGAUAUUUAUUGGUGAAGGGGAGAUGAACGGAAUCAUCGGGCGAAGAGGUGAUGGCUCGUGUCCGCAUUAGUAUUUUCCCCGAAGAGGAAGGGAUGAUGCAACACAGCUACGGUAGGUAUUUCCCUCAGUGAUGAGACCAAGGUUAUCGAACCAGUAGGAGAACCAUGCAACACUAUGUAAACGGUACCUGCACACAAAGAACAAAUACUUGCAACCCGACGCGUAAGAGGGUUGUCAAUCCCUCCCGGGUAAAAGAUAGAUUGGUUUCUAGUAGAUUGGAUAAAUAGAUCUCGCGGAAACCCAAAAUAAAAUAAAUAACAAAAAAUUGCAUCAAGGUAUUUUUGGGUUUUUAGAAUAAUAGAUAUCUAUACCUACUAAUAAAAGAAAUAGGUAUUCUUCGUCCGUCAUGCUAUUUUGUAGAAAACCCCCUGAUGUUUCUGACAUUAAACCCGCAGUACAUAUCAAGUGCUUUUUAAAAUACUCAUAAUUUUAAACCAUAACUCCAAAUUUAACAUAUUAUAUAUGGAAUUUAAUUAGAAAAUUAUUUAGAAUCUAAAUAUGAUGUUAUUUUACCUAUUAACAAUUUUUAAAAUAAACUAUCUAGGCUGCAAUGUUAAUCAACAAUGCAUUAUCCGUCUUUUUUUCAUACCGGUAUUGAUUUAGAUUGGGGAUGAAAACCUCAGCAAAAUCAGGAUUGGACAUCAGAUUGAAGAUAAAUUUGUUAGAGACACCGAAUAAAUAAGGACAUGCAUGACAAGAAAUAAAAAGAUCCAAUAAAGAUGGGAUGUCCGCUAUAAAAAUAAAUAAAAGAGAAAAUGCAGAGGAGAUCCGAUAAAGAUGAGAUGUUGCGCUAUUCUCCUAUAUAUAAGAAGAGUAAAAGGAGGACAUGCAUGAAAAAAGGUAAAAAGGAGGCAUGCAUGAAAAAAAUACAAGUUUUAUAAGAAAUAAAUAGUGAUGAAACAGGGACCAAUACCUAUGACAUGUAUGGCAAGAAAUAGUGAUGAAAUAGGGGCACAAGUACCUGAGUCAACAGGAGACCAUAAAAAAUGUUGUUUUCCAGACCAAAAAAACCUAUUUUAUGAUUAAAAAAUCUUGUACCUUUUUAACUCUUCAUGUAUUUAAGAAAUAGCUACAAAUUCUCGGAUUACAAAACAUUUUUUGUAAAUUAAGAGUGUGUGGUACUUUUUUCCCGUUGCAACGCACGGGCCUUUUUGCUAGUGAAAAUAAAAGAGGCAAAUAAUAGAUCGGAAAGCAAAUAUGAUAAAGAAUAGACCCGGUGGCCGUAGAUUUCACUAGUGGCUUCUCUCCAGAAAAAUAGCAUACAGUGGGUAAACAAAUUACUGUUGGGCAAUUGAUAGAACUUCAAAUAAUUAUGACGAUAUCCGGGCAAUGAUCAUUAUAUAGGCAUCAUGUCCUAGAUUAGUAGACCUACUCCUUCCUGCAUCUACUACUAUUACUCCACACAUCGACUGCUAUCCAGCAUGCAUCUAGUGUAUUAAGUUCAUGGAAAAAUGGAGUAAUGCAAUAAGAAUGAUGACAUGAUGUAAACAAGAUCUAUUCAUGUAGGAAUAGACCCCAUCUUGUUAUCCUUAAUGCAACGAUCAAUAUGUGUCUUGCUGCCCCUUCUGUCACUGGGAAAGAACACCGCACGACCGAUCCCAUCACAAAGCACCUCUUCCAUGGCAAGAAAAAUCGAUCUAGUCAACCUAACUAAACAAAAGAUUUGAAGAAGAAUACGAGGCUAUAAGUAAUCAUGUGUCUAAGAGAUCAAAACUCAAAUAACUUUCAUGUAUAAAAUAGAUCUGAUCAUAAACUCAAAGUUCAUCGGAUCCCAACAAACACACCGCAAAAAGAGUUACAUCAAAUAGAUCUCCAAGAGACCAUUGUAUUGAGAAUCAAAAGAGAGAGAGGAAGCCAUCUAGCUACUGCCUACGGACCCAUAGUUCUACAAUGAACUACUCACGCAUCAUCGAAGAGGCACCAAUGAGGAUGAUGAACCCCUCUGUGAUGGUGUCUAGAUUGGAUCUCAUGGUUCCGGAACUUGCGGCAGCUCGAAUUGUGUUUCGUCGACUCCCCUAGGGUUUUUGGAUUUUCGGGGUAUUUAUAGAGCAAAAAGGUUGUGCGGGAGGGCACCGAGGUGGGCACAACCCACCAGGGCACACCUGGGCCCCCAGGCGUGCCCAGGUGGGUUGUGUCCCCUGGGGGCACCCAUCUGGUACUUCUUUGGCCCAAGUUGUUCCGUCUGGUAUAGAAAAAUUCUCCAAAAAGUUUCAUUGCGUUUGGACUCCGUUUGGUAUUGAUUUUCUGCGAAGUAAAUAACAAGCAAAAAAUAACAACUGGCACUGGGCACUAUGUCAAUAGGUUAAUAAAAUGAUAUAAAGUUGCUAUAAAAUGAUUGUAAAAUAUCCAAGAAUGAUAAUAUAACAGCAUGGAACAAGCAAAAAUUAUAGCUAUGUUGGAGACGUAUCAAGAGGCAAUAAGAGGAAGGCGCAGCAAUCAGUUCGACAGUAGUAAAAAAUUACACGAUUCGUUUCGUUGAAAAGGGAAAAAGGAAGCAUUGGUGACGUGGCAGAUUUUCUUACGUGGAUGGCUGCAUGUUGAUUGCUGAUGUGGAUAGGCUACAUGUCAAGAGAAAUAUGGUACUGGGAUGAACUAUUUAGGUAUUAUAGAUGCGCAACAUCACAUCUAAACUCUUUAUGAAAUUACAAAACACGAUGGUUUUUAAAAUGGAUAUAUUUUGGAACCCAAUUUUUUUAAAUUUAUGAAUAAAUUUUUGAAAACUUGAACAAUUUCUUGAGUCUAUGAACAAUUUUUUGAACACGAACUUUUUUUCAAAAUUUCAAAACGCAAUUACUUUUUUAAUGCAACCUUUUUCAAAAUUCAAAAACAUGAUUGUUUGUAAAGUGAAUAUGUUUUUAAAAUUCUAGACUAAAUUUGCAAGUUGAAUAUGUUUUGAGAAACACUCGAAAUUGUGGACGUUUUCUAAAACGUCAAAGAACUUUGAAAAACAUCAAACAUUUUUCAAAGCACGGAUUCUGGGGAAAAAACAAAUUCCGAACAUCUUUUAGAAAUUUUGAAUUUAUGAAAAAAGAAAAAGAAACAGAAAAUGAAAAAGAAAGAAAGCAAGGAAAAGCAGUGAAGAAAUAAAACAGAAAAAGGGAAAAAACCUGAAAAUAGUGGUAAAGACUGAUCCUAGCUACUUGGGCUAGUCCAUCUAUGGUUUACUCGCUGCUCAUUUCGGAGAUUUCUUUUAGGGGUAAAACCAAGUUUUAUACAUCAAACACCAUAGAGUGUGGGAUAGAGUUUGGGUCAUGGCAUUUUCCAAAGCAAACAUUGCGUCCCAGACCUAACGAAAGAGAAAACCUGCCUAGAUUAUGUGCUUCGACAUUUACAGGAUGAUCUUUAGAUAAAAAAAUACAAUGAAAUAAAUACGGUUGCAACUUGAUCUCGUUGAUAAUGGCUCGUUUCCACAUAGUUUGCUCACAUUUUUGAGAGAAAAUUUAGCCUUGAUGGGCUGGGAAAUUGGGCCAGCCAUCCUCGAGUGUGACUGGCUUGACUUUGUCUAGUAUAAAGCCCAUCACGUUGCCCAAGAGCCCACCCUUAUCUAUUUUUCUACAGGACCCACAUAUGUUUGGUUCCUUCAGCACGAUGGGCCACCUCCCAGCCUCCCUCGCCCGCUCGACAGCUCCCCCACCAAUAGAGUUAGGCCCUCGACCCUCCCCCACCCCAAGGUUGCGCGCAUGUCCCUUCCCGACAUCUCUUCCACACGGCCUCGUCCCACCCCAUGUUCUCCCCCAAGUGCUUUGUCGAGUGUCAUGGAAAAAUAUUCUUGGCAAGAUAGUGGAACUCACGCAAAAUGUGCUUUAUCAAGUGCUACACUCGGCAAAAGGGGGUAUGCAGGGAAGCAAAAUCGUGCUUUUUUCCUUCUCGGGAAGCUGCGCUUCCCGUGGAAGGCUUCAUCAAAAACCAGAAAAAAAGAUUUUUUUUUUCAUCAAAACCUAGGGAAAAUAAAAGAAAAAAAACACGUGUAAAAAAUAAAAUCUUAAGGGUGUACCUGCACACGACAUGUGGCCGCAGUUGGGCACAUCACUUGAUGCGCUCUCAGGGCCUCAAAGUAACCUCUGCAGGAACCCUCGACAAGAAACCCAUCAGACAGUUGGAGUCCCCCUUGCGUCAAAUAGGAGUGUGGCCACAAGGGGAGCGCGUCCUGGUCGGCCGGCCCAGUAGCCUGUAGCACUCUACCGCAAAUUUGUCAAAAUCUAAAACAUGACGUUUGAGCAAAGCUCGCAUGGCUAGCCAGUCAAGCUGAUGAAACUUUGCCAACUACUAUGUCGCGUUGAUCAGUAAAAAUUAUGUGCAACAUCACAUAUGAAAAAAAAUUGGAAUUUCAAAACACGAUUGUUUUUAAAAUGAACUAGUAAAGUGGCCCGCUCGAUGUGCGGGCUAGAUUUUUAAGUUUUUUUUAAUAAUAUCAUAUUGUUUGAUUUGGCUAAAGAAAAAUUGGAACCCAAUAUGACGACUUUAUUGUGCGGGCUCAAUCUUUGAAUUGUCUAUUAUGUUUUAUGAUUGAAUUUCUUAUCUGUAGUAAGUCAAUACAUAAUUAUGACGACUUUAUUGUGCGGGCUCAAUCAAUAUUAUUAUUUACUGUUAUUCUUCUUAUUUUUAUUGUUAAAAAAACAAUGUUAAAGUCAACCCAUUUGAAAAAAACUAAUUUAAUGUAAGUAUAGUAUCUAAAGUCCUAGUAUAGUAAUUUCAUUUUAAUUUAAUUUUAUUGUAUUCUUCCAUUUUGAAAAUGUAUUUUUAUUAUGAAUCUAGCACUUUAGUUAAAAUACAAAUAAAACUACUACAUUACUGAUCCCAAAAUUAAACAAAAAUGUGUACAUAAACUUGUCUUUAUCAUCGAUGAAUUACAACCAGAUCAUAUGUUUAAAUAAUGGAUAUUUAUAUUAUUAAUCAACCAAGCAUAGUUCUUUUGAUCUCGUAGAUUGUGAUUUCCCAAUAGUGUCUUGUCUUUUUGUUUAUGUGCAAAUAAUAGUUCACCUAUCAUAUUUUACGAGAAUGGGAAACAAAUAUAAGAAAUAGAACUGAAAGAAUUAUAUGGACGUCUAUUCUUGGAAAAUUGUUUAUGGUGUCACCAUCUCGUUCACGUGUGAGUAUGCAAUCUAAUUUCUAACAUGGCAUUCUUUCAUCCGUGAAGAAAUUUCAAGUUAUCACAACGCGACAUGAGUUCGAUAGAAUAUUAACUCAUUCGAAAAAAAAGAUAUGUACAUACAAAACUAAUGAAGUAACUUCAGUAAAAAUUAAUAUGUUACCCAAGAUUUUGAGGGACUGUGAUUUUGAAGGGGUAUUACAUUUUUGUAAUGUUAACUUGACACAUUGGUGAGAAACACAAUUCGAAUAGAAUACACUAAAGCUGAGAAAACAGAACUUUGUUGAACAAUAAUUAACCGGCUAAGAACUUACAAUGUAUCAUGCCUUUGCUGUUAACAACUAUAUGCAGCAGUAUUUUUUUUAUAUUUAUAAUUAUCACUCAAACUAACUUUUUAGAAAGCAUACUAAUUAGUUAGAUAUUCAGGGAUGCAUUGAUAACAGUAAUCGCUAUCGUCUAGCCUUGCCUCCUGUCUGAUGCACUACAAGCAAAGGAUUCAAAACUACGUUUUCCUGUAAUGUAAAACAAUAAUACUUCAUGGAGAUCAUGUUUGCAUGUGCAUAUGGAAUUCAUCAAUAGUAGGUAGAAAAGUCCUAGCUAGCUUAGCCUAGCUUAGGAUAACGCCCUGGCAUCUAAACUGCUUCAUAUAUGCAAUCCAAUUGUAUGGGUCAAAUAUACAAAACCUGAAGCUCAUGGUCUAGAUGUUUCAUUGAUAAUAUCAUUUCCACCAGACUGGCGACCGAUUAUACAGUAGUCUACCUGUAUUGUUUAACACUGAGAUACCGCAUCAGCCAAAUCAUAGCACCUGAGGUGCCUCUUCUUGUGGACGGUGAGAGCAUAUCUGUAAUAAUCAUCCUUUGUAUAACAUUAUUUAUACCUCCAAAUGUUGCACCACACAUGUUCAUCUUUAGAGUCAAGCCCUAUUGCAGCGCAGGUUGUGCUUGGCCAGCACCUUCGUGAUGAACUUGCCAGUGACCACAGUGCAAGCAACUACCAGUACCCAGGAAGCCUCGACGAAGCCAAUGACGUACUGCUCUAUUUCGCGCCGGUGCCAUGUGGCCCACUUGUUUCCCUGAGCAUGUCGGUAUCGACAAAGGAACGAUAGUCGCUAGAUUAAAGGGAAGUGAGAUGGAAAGACACACUCGAGGAGGAAGAUGUUUAGGACUAUGUAUUUGCAUACUCUUUUGGAUCAAGGACGUGGGAUGUAAGUACGGUGUUUGCCUUUUUUUCUUUCUCUUUUUAGCUUUGAAGGGAUGUGUACAUGUUUUUUUUAUGUCUACAUGCUUGAUUUUUUUCCUCUAGAGGGAUAUGUACUUGUUUGUAUUUUUAAAAGGUUGGGGGAUCAUUCAUUUUGUACGCACUUGUUUUUUUUUCAAAUGUAUGUACGUGCCUGAUGGAUAUGUGUGGGGACGUUCUUUUUUAUAUAUGUGGGAUAUGUACGUGCUUGUAUUUUUAAAAGGCUGGGGAUCAUUCAUUUUGUACGCACUUGUUUUUUUUUCAAAUGUAUAUACGUGCCUGAUGGAUAUGUGUGGGGACGUUCUUUUUUUUCCAUGAUGGAUGAACGAUGUGGGAUGUGUAUUUUUUUAUAUCUGGGGGUACACUCUUUUUUAGUGUCCACCGGGUUAUGAAGAUCUAAGGCCUAUGAUUAUAAAAAGAAGAAAAGAAAAAAAUCACCGAUGAACUAUCGGGUUUCUGGUGGGGAGAUGGACAGGAAAAGAGGAAAAUGCAUUGGUUUGCGUGGUGGAAAAUGUGUGUCACAAAGAAGAAAGGUGGAUUGGGCUUUAGAGACCUUCACAACUUUAAUCUUGCUAUGUUAGCAAAGCAGUGUUGGCGACUUCUUCAAAAUCCGGACUCUUUGUGUGCACGAGUUUUGAGUGCAAAAUACUACCCUAACGGGGACAUCCUAAAAGCGGGACCGAAGAAAGGGUCUUCAUUUACAUGGCAAAGCAUUUUAGCUGGGGUUCAGACUUUCAAAAGGGGCUGCAUAUGGCGAAUUGGUUCUGGCUCACACAUCAAUAUUUGGGAAGAUCCAUGGAUUCCAUCUAGUGAGUCGAGAAAAGUUAUUACCCCUAGAGGAGGAAUUAUGUUAACAAAGGUGGCAGAGAUUAUUGAUCCCCAUACUGGACAGUGGGAUGAGGCAUUGUUGCGUAGUGUGUUUUCACCGGUUGAUCUAGAUAGAAUAUUACAGAUUCCCCUACAUGUUGAGGCAGUUGAAGAUUUUUUAGCCUGGCACUUUACGAGGUCCGGAACCUUCUCUGUCCGCUCGGCAUAUCAGGUGGAGUUUGAUCAUCAGUUUGGACGUCAUUACUCAAACUCGAAUAACCCAGGUACUGCUAACCUUAAUAUGGUUUGGAAAGAUCUGUGGCAACUGCGGCUCCCGGGGAAAAUAAAACAUUUUGGUUGGAAAGUCCUAAAGGGGGUCUUGCCGUGCCUCGGUGUUCUGGCAGGUAGGCAUAUACCCUUGGUUCCGCAAUGUCCGCUUUGCAAGAUCGGAUUAGAGGACGUACAACACUGCCUUUUUACAUGCGCACGGGCAUCUGAUGUUUGGUCUGAGUUAGGAUUGCAGAAUGAUAUUAUAAAAGCCAUGCGGCAAGAUCGAUCUGGUUCUAUAACUUUGGAAAUUCUGGUCCGCAUGCGUACCAUGAUUCAUGAGCUGCCAAUGGCUGAACUCAUCUUGGUUGCGAUGUGGUUUAUCUGGUGGCAGAGGCGCCAAGUAACUAAUGGGGAAUCAGUCCAGACACGGGAACAAACAUCAAUAUCUAUCCGAGUUUUAGCCACCAACUUCGUACGAGCCUACACACCAAAUCAGCCGGUACGUACGAUCAGUCAUCAGUGGAAGAAGCCAUUGGAGGGAGCGGUAAAAGUUAAUGUCAAUGCGUCAUUCCAUGCGGACAAUUUUUCAGGAGCCUGCGGCGCUAUUGCUCGUGAUGAUCGAGGCAAUUUCUUGGCUGCAACUACUUGUGCAAUACCGCAUGUGUCUAGUGCAACCUCUGCGGAAUUGUUAGCUAUCAGGUGUGGUCUGAUCCUUGCAGUGAAUCUUGGAUGCACUAAGCUUAUUUUGGAGUCUGACUGUACGAUUGCUUUGGAGGCUAUAUCUGACCCAAACGCAUACAUGGGAACUGAUGUUCCAAUAGUAGUAGAAUGCUCUCUUAUGGCAGUGAAAUUUAAAAGCAUCAGUUUUACUCAUUGUAGCAGAGAAGCGAAUAUGGUAGCGGAUGGCUUAGCAAAGCAUAGCUUUAGUCAUAGCAAGUCUGAAACUUGGGACGUUGUCCCGGACUUUAUUCUGCAUUCUUAUGUAAAUGAUCUUGCUCUUAUUUGAUGAAUAAAGUUUUAAUGCUCAAAAAAAAAGAUCUAAGGCCUAUGAUUUAUUAGUACAGAGAAGUUCUAUUAAAUCAACCAUCGGAUACUUCUGAUUUUUAUAGAAUUUUUGAUCAUAUUUCUCUUUGUUGGUUAACCUGCUAUUUACUUUUAAUAUAUAGUAGAUACUAUAUAUGCAGUACGUGACCAUGUAUGAGUUUGUGAGGGAUUCUCUAUAUACACAUAUGUGCGUUUGUUUUUUCCUUAUGGAAUAGAUGUGCAUGCACAUGCUUUCCAAUUAACAUGGUAGGCUUGCCAAAAAAAAUUUAACGUGAUUCCUCACGCAACAUCUUUUUUUAUAGAAGAGCUCUGACAACCGAAUAAUCCAGGCUUUUUUUCUAGAUUGGAAAAUAUCUACGUGGGACAUGUGCCACGUAAAUCCUUAGAGGCCCAUCAUAUUAUAUAUGUUACGUAAAUUGAACGGUCACGUAAUCUUAAUUUUAAGAGAUUUACCGGAUCGAGGGUUGAUAUUUUCUAAUUAAUGUGGAAUUUUCUAACCUAUUUCUCUCCCUUCUGGUUCACCGUAUAUUACUUUUAGUAUAUAAACAAGAUGAUUUUUGGAACAUGGACUUUUUCCAAAUUUAUGAAUAAAAUUUGAAAACUAGAGCAAUUUUUGACUAUAUCAAGGUUUUUUUAAACACAAACUUUUUUUGAAAUUUUAAAACACGAUUAUUAUUUUAAUGCAACCUUUCUUAGAUUUCAAAACACGUUUUUAAUGAAUAUUUUCUUAAACCCAACCAAAAGUUGAAAACUUGAACAUUUUCAAAAACACUCGGAAGUGUGGACAUUUUCUAAAAAACGUGAAAGGAUUUAGGAAAACUUCAAACUUUUUCAAAGCACGAAUAAUUUUUGGGAAAAAUGAAACAAAAUAAAAUUCCGAACAGUUUUUGAACAUUUUUUUAGAAAUGUUGAAUUUAUGAAAAAAAGGAUAAAUUAUGAAAGAAAGGAAAAUCGGUGAAGAAGAAAACAACAGAAGGAAAAAAACUAAAAAAUAGUGUAAGAAAAAAAAACUAAUCCUAGCUACUUGGGAUGGUACAUAUGCGGUUUGCUCACUGCACAUUUCCUAAAAUUUUUUAGGGGUAAAAGCAAGUUUUAAUCAUCAAACACCAUAGAGUGUGGGAUAGAUUUGGGGUCGUGGCAUUGGUUAAACCCAAUGCGGCGUCCCAAACCUAACGAAAGAGAAAGACUGGCUAGACUAUGUGCUUCGACAUUGAUAGCAUGACCUUUACAAGAAAAAUUACUAUCAAAUAAAGAUGGUUGCAACUUAAUCUGGUUGAUAAUGGCUCGUUUCCCACAUAGUUUGCUCACAGUUUUUGAGAGAAAAUUUAGCCUUGAUGGGCUGGGAAAUCGGGCCAACCAAUCUCAAGUGCGACCGAUUCAUCUUUGUCCACUAGAAAGCCUGCCACGUUGCCCAAGAGCCAACCCUUAUCUUUUUUUUACAGGACCCGUAUAUGUUUUAUUGCUCCAGCAAGACCGGUCGCCGCCAAGCCUCUCUCGCCCGCUCAACAGCUCCCCCCGCCGCCGGGGCUAAGCCCUGGAUCCCCCCACCCCCAGGUUGCGAGCUUGUCCCAUCCCUCCCUCUCUUCUGCGUACCCUCGCCCCACCUCGUCUUCUCCCCCACCGGUGCUUUGCCUAGUUUCUUGGAAAAAACUCUCGAUAAAAUAUUGGAACUCUGGCAAAAUGUGCUUUCCUGAUUGCUACACUCGGCAAAAGGGGGUAUGCAUUGCACUGUUUUGGUUGUCCAUAUUGCAUACGACCUCGGAUGAAGAUGAUCCCAAAAUCAAAGUUUAUCAUUUUGACAAGAUGAUUAAUUUUCAUGUUCAGAACUUUUCCAUUUUAAGCCAUGUUAUUUACACUUUUGACAAUGCCAAAAUAUGGUCUCAAAUGAAUAUGGCGGUGGUCAUAUUUAUUGCAUAGUUUCUGACAAUGGGCCUAAAGUUGGCAUUUUGUUGCAUCUCGCCAUUACAAACAAUGAUGCCAAAUAGAGUUUCCAACAUUUUGUACAAAACUAAUUUUCCCAUUUUCUAAGUGUAAAAAAAUGGAUAUUUUGUGAAGCGGGUAAAAAAACAUAGUGCAAAAUGGCACCACCCCAAUUUACAUAAAAAGUAGACCACAUGUUUUAGAAAAUUCCCAGGUUUUGUGGAUCUUCUUAAUUUCUAGCUACUUUCGCACAGUUAAAUUCAAAUUUGAACUUUAAGUCUGUGAUAGCUUUGUCCUAAAAAUUAGCAAAAAUGUAAUCUAUUUUUUUAGGUGUGCAAGUAGUCAUUUUAUGAAAUCACCACUUAAGUUUGAGAGAUUCAGGCCCUUGCCAUGACUAUCCAUGCCGGGCAUUUUGACCCCGUUUUGGAAAAAUGAAACAAAAAGGAUACAAGUUCAAAAAAAUGCAAUCCAUUCGUAUGGACUCCUUUUAUGUGUACUAGCUAGGACGAAAAUACCAAACUUCAAUAUGAAAACUUUGAAAGAAAAAUAUCCAUCACAAAACGGGCUAUCAUGUAUGAACCUUCACGGCUUUCAAGUCAAACGACCAAGGUGACGACAAUAUCCAUUCCAUAGUUUAUUAUAUUAUGCCGAAAUUAGACAUAUAGGUGAAUCAUGCCAUUGCAAAUAAUGUUGUAAAAUAGAGUUUCCAACUUUUUGUACAAAAAAUCAUUUACUAUUUUCUAAGUAUCAAAAAUGGGUGUUUCUUGUGAAGUGGGUUCAAAAAAUAGAGUGGAAAAUGGCACCACUCCAAUUUUCACAAAAAGUAGACCAUAUUAGAUGGACAAUUCCCAAGUUUUGUAGAUGUCUAGCUAAAAACUAACAAUUGGUGUAUUUUUUUAAUAUUUAAUGAAAAUAAAAAAAUGGGAAGGGCGGAUACUUAAUGGAUAACAUGGACAUCUGAGGGUGUACCUUUAAGUGUUGGAGAUGCCUUUAUGUGCUGGUUUAUGUCGUGCUCAACCUGCAAUGUACUAGAGUUAAUCAUGUUGGGUAACGGUGCAUGGAAAAACAAAAAAAUAUCUACGCACACGUAAUGAUCUAUCCAUGGAGAUGCAUAGCAACGAGGGGGAGAGUGUGUCUACGUACCCCCAUAGACCAAAAGCGGAAGCGUUUGACAAUGCGGUUGAUGUAGUCAAACUUCUUCUAGCUCCGACCGAUCAAGCACCGAACGUACGGCACCUCCGAGUUCUGCACAUGUUUAGCUCGGUGAUGUCUCUCGUCUUCUUGAUGAGUUCCGUCAGCACGACAGCGUGGUGACGAUGAUGGUGAAGUGAUCCAUGUAGGGCUUCGCUUAAGCACCGCGAGAAUAUGACCGGGGGUGUAAACUGUGGAGGGGGGCGCCGCACACGGCUAACAAUUGAUGUUGUGUGUUCUAGGCGCCCCCUUCCCCACAUAUAUAUAGGUGGGAGGGGAGGGGAGGCAGCAAGGGGGCACCCCAAGUAGGAUCUGAAUCCUACUUGGGGUUUCCCCAAGUGACGCCCCCCCCCUUCCUUUUUUCCACCGGAGAAGAAAGGAAGGGGGAAGAAGAGAAGCAAGGGGGGCUGAACCCCCUCUUCUCCUUCUCCUAUUUGGCCACUUGCCAUAGGGGAGGCGCGCCACCCCUUGUGNNNNNNNNNNNNNNNNNNNNNNNNNNNNNNNNNNNNNNNNNNNNNNNNNNNNNNNNNNNNNNNNNNNNNNNNNNNNNNNNNNNNNNNNNNNNNNNNNNNNNNNNNNNNNNNNNNNNNNNNNNNNNNNNNNNNNNNNNNNNNNNNNNNNNNNNNNNNNNNNNNNNNNNNNNNNNNNNNNNNNNNNNNNNNNNNNNNNNNNNNNNNNNNNNNNNNNNNNNNNNNNNNNNNNNNNNNNNNNNNNNNNNNNNNNNNNNNNNNNNNNNNNNNNNNNNNNNNNNNNNNNNNNNNNNNNNNNNNNNNAUUCGAGAACACUUCCGGUGUCCGAAUACUAUCAUCCUAUAUAUCAAUCUUUACCUCUCGACCAUUUCGAGAUUCCUCGGCAUGUCCAUGAUCUUAUCCGGGACUCGAAACAACAUUCGGUCACCAUAUCACAUAACUCAUAUAAUACAAUAUCAUUAUCGAACGUUAAGCGUGCGGACCCUACGGGUUCGAGAACUAUGUAGACAUGACCGAGACACCUCUCCGGUCAAUAACCAAUAGCGGAACCUGGAUGCUCAUAUUGGAUCCUACAUAUUCUACGAAUAUCUUUAUCGGUCGAACCGUUAUGACAACAUACAUUAUUCCCUUUGUCUAUCGGUAUGUUACUUACCCGAGAUUCGAUCAUCGGUAUCUGCAUACCUAGUUCAAUAUCAUUAUUUGUAAGUCUCUUUACUCGUUUGUAAUACAUCACCUUACUAACGGAUGGGUCUUGUCCAUCACAUCAUUCUUCUAAUGAUGUGAUCCCGUUAUCAAAUGACACCUCAUGUCCAUGGUUAGGAAACCUUAACUAUCUUUGAUCAACGAGCUAGUCAAGUAGAGGCUCACUAGGGACAUAGUGUUUGUCUAUGUAUUCACACACGUAUUAAGGUUUCCGAUCAAUACAAUUCUAGCAUGAAUAAUAAACAUUUAUCAUGAAUAAGGAAAUAUAAAAUAAGAACUUUAUUAUAUCCUCUAGGGCAUAUUUCCUUCAAAUCAGUAUAUGUGUGCAUGCUUGGUUGUUAGUGAAAUGUUUUAUGUAUAUGUGUACAUGCUUGGUUGGGCCAACUUUGUGUAUUACAUUUUGUGAAAUACAAACUUGAUAUACGCCACAUUUGUGUUAACGACCAAUAAGUAUAUACAUAACUAUAUUUUGCCUUCUUUUUCCUCCUCCACAAGAAAAGGUCCCGCGCUUUUCUCCUCCUCCAAUUGGCGCCAUAGCUGGUCCGCCCCAUCUUUGAUGGCCUUUGGGCCCUUUAGUACCGUACCGAACCAGCAGCCUUCGCGCCAAGCGACGACCGCCCUUGUCCCUUUCCUUUUUCCAUUCAGCCUACUUCUUAGCUUUGUUCCGUUAGUCUAAGGCAAAGCUUAAGUGGUUUACCUACCUUACCCACUUGAUGAAAGGGAACGGACUUCAUUUCCUUGGCGGCUUUAUGGAUGGAUUCAGUAAGAAAAAUUCCUUCCUUUUGAAAAAAGUGACACCACGAAGGUGAGUAGGACCUCAGGCCCUCGCUGGCGGGAGGGAACCCGUUCUCAUUCUUUUUUGGUUCAAUGUCUUGCUGGAGCUGUGUUGCGGCUAUGAUGUCUCUCAGUAGGAAUAAUGUUUCACAUGUUCUAUCCCUGUCUCGAUGGUGCCUCUAGCAUUAUCAUAGGGCAUGUGGAGGUGUGUCUCUAUCGGAUUUCGCAGGAUUCGGUCGGCAUUGGUCUUCGGUGGAUCUGUUUGGACACGGUCUAUGUUCAUCUUUGUGGUGUUUAUACUAUUGAUCCUUCCGAUCUAUGACUUUCUUCAUCGACGAUGGUUGCUGCUUCGGUGCGCUGGUCCUAUGGGUCCUUAGCACGACAACUUCCUGACUAUUGACUACAACAAGGUUUGCCCGGCUCCAGCGAUCGGGGGGGGGGGGUGAUGGCGAUGCACAGCUUUCUUUAGUGCUUGUAGUCAUCGCUAGGUGGUCCAUGGACCUGGUUGUAAUUUUUUGUAUCUCUGGUGUUCUUUGUACUGCCAUGAUUGAAGAUGAAUAGAUUGGAAGUUUCUCACGCAAAAAUAACUAUAUAAAUAACUAUUUUAGCAAAAUUCGCAAAAAAACUAUUUUAGCAAGUAAUAAAUUUUGACACCAAUUAUAUGGUAGUAAUUAAUAUUUCCCCUAAUAAUAUCCGCAUUGGGUCCAGGUUUUAUACUAUGUAUACAGACGGGAGUAUGUUUGGAUAAUUGUGUGAACACAAGGAUAUAUCUUAGCAAAACUAUUUUUAGCAACAAGUAAAUGAAUUAAUAUAUGCUAGCUAUACUCUGCUGGUGAAAACAUGGUUUAUUAGUUGUACAAAGCAUGCAACACGGUUUCACUCCCCUUUAUAUUCAUGGGCGGAACACAAUUUCAGAUCCAAGUUUUAUGUUUGUCUACACACUCCCAUCUUCUUCCCAUAUCAGCAGGAAAAUUCACUCCAAUCAUCUCGCCAUUCUACACUUGGGAAAUCAGGUUUGCUUCAAUCUACCAUCCUUGAAUAUAUGCCCCACAUCUUGUUUCUGCGUCCUAAUCUUAUUAAGCUUGUAAUUAGUAGUUAGUGCAAGAUCAAAAAGGAGCUAUGGGCAAAACACCAUCCGCACCUGCUGAUUUAAUCACCAUAGGACAAGCGGCGCCUAAUCAUGAAAUAGCAGGAGAUUCAAGUGACAGUGAGAGAACAAUCAGUGAGGGUUAUGUGGGGAUCAUGUAUGGUGGUAGCCAAACCCACGAUAGCAACCUGGAAGGAGAAUCUGACAUGGUAUUGCUAGCAACAGAUUCAAGUGACAGCGAGAGAACAAUCAGUGAGGGUUAUGUCGGGAUCCUGUAUGGUGGUAGCCAAAUCCAGGAUGGAGACCUGGAGGGAGAAUCGGCUAUGGUAUUGCCUGCUGUAGGAGAGAAUACCACGGCGAGAUCUAACAGUCAUGGUCAUACGCGUAGCUUGGAAAUUGAUUCUACCUCUUGUACUGGGAGGCAUGCUGCCAGGUCAGAUUUUGUUCUAGUGGCACAACGCCGAGACUGCAUACAAAUUUACCCUGAGUGGCUGGAGAAAAUUGAUUCAGGCAAAAAGAUGUGGAUAGCUCUCAAAAAAUUUCGAGCAAAUGGGAAGCAUGAAGAGGUUAGUAUAUACACAUGUUCUGGUGUGCUCUCUCAUCAAAUAAUUUUCAUUGUGGGUUAAUCAUCUCAUAACAUAAGGAGUGUUUGCUUGAUGGGCAUUCAGACCAAAUGAUGAACGAAUUAGAUCCUAGGUUCUCCAAAAGAUGACAUUGUGUUUUGCUUCCGUUACCUCAUAGAUUUUCAGCCUUUGCGUCAAAAUGAUUUUAUGCAUUUGUUUUCGCACUAACUUGUAUUUUUUUAAGCACAACCAUCCAUAUAUGUAAAAAAAACUCAUGGCCACUUGUGCGAUUGAUAGAAAUCAGUUAACAUCUCAAUUUCCUCAUGUGCUAUUGUAUGACUAUGGAGGUUUUUCUAACAUGAUCCUUCUUACCUCCCCUUUUCACAUGAGACGUAAGAGUAUAAAGUAAAUCUGAGUCAUUGACUGCAUUAAGUAGUGGGCUUGACUAAAUCUUACCUUCUUAACUCCCAUGUGAAAAGAUGGGGUAAGAGGAAGCAUGUUAAAAUGGCUCAUGAACGGUGCUGCCGCCAGUGGCAGAGCUUGAGCAUAAUCCAAGAGGGCCAUUACUUGAAGGGGGGGAAAUUAGAAGGGAAGGAGGGGAAAAUAUCUAGUUUAAACACUAGUUAGGCUUAAAAUAUAGUAUAUUCAUUGAUGGGUGCAAAAAUUAAGGGGGGCCAUGGCCCCUGUUGGUCUACAUGAAGCUCCGCCACUUGCUGCCGCACAUUCUACAGUAUUGUUAUAGACACUGACUGACUCUUAUUUUUGCACUAUAUCCAAAUGUACUAGCAGUCAUAAGACACCAAUCUGUCAGGAUCUCGGCUUUUGGCCUUCUGCUAGGAUGCACUAAAGAUAUUGAUAAGUCUCGCCAUUCCUGGAUGUUGUGAAGGUUACCUGACUGGAACAGAUUGUUCUGGAGAAGGAUAUGGAGGCGCGGCAAACCUAAAGCAACGAUGAUGCAACAAAUGGAAUGUGAUCGAGAAUGGUAUUAUCUACAUGUGCACACCAGAGAGCAUACAAAUUAGGGUCUGCAUGGACGACCAAAACACAUGGCAUUUUUUAUCAACUAGACCAUCCUUUUUUCUUUGAUCUACUAACAUUGGUUGCCAUUUCGGGCUUUUGGGCCGACCUUCGGGCGAGAAAUUGAAGCCCAAGCCUACCCCAGAUGUCGGGCUUUGGGCUCAGGCCUCUGGGCCGGGUAGUCCAUGAACAGGUUUAGUUUGAUCUAUUCACUCACAUUUUGAUCCUCAUUCAUUAUAGCAUUUAACCAUAAUUCAUAUGAACAUGCACCACGAGAAUAUAAUAAAGGAAAUGCAUGGGCUAAUUUGUAGUACACAACGCCUUAUUGUGCGGUAUCACAAGAACAUUUUUCUCCUUGAUUACAAUAGUAACUACUAUGCAAUCUUAUAUAUCAAAUCAUAUAUUAUAUGACAAAUUAAGUAUAUUGUUUUGCUUAUUUCAGUAUUACCUUCAUAAGGAAUAUAGUCACAAGUUUUGCUCCAAACGCAACGUUAUUGAGUUCAUACGAAAUGGAACUGUGAAAGGGAAGUCGGUUCAGAAGGUGCCUAAAUACUUGACUUUCAAACAUAUAGUAAUUAUGCGAAGAUGUAUAUGUUUUUUGUAUUAACUUUAAAGUAUUAAUUUGACACGGUAUCCUAUUUUUGCACAGAGAUCAUCUGAUACUUCUAUGAACAAUCUUCAGGGUAUGUCCAGUUGGCCCCAUGCAUUUGGAUAUUAUUUUGUAUACUAUUAUUACUAUACAGAGAUAUCUAACUGAAACUGAAAUAUAAUAAAUAUUCAUGGAGAGAAAAAUAGACAUUAAUGUCCACAUACACAACAAAAUUAACCAGUACUGUCCUAGUUUACAUGAAUUAAUAUUUUCAAUGACAAUUAGGUUACUCAUGACAUGAUAAAGAAAAAAAAUGUGAGGUAAGAUAAGGUUUUCUAUAAUUUUUCAUGGGGACCUCCUCAUGGUUGCAGAUACAUAGUUUUACAGUGCUUCAUGAAAUAGUUGCAUAUCAUCAUGUCUAAAAGAAUCAUGACGGACACAACUUCAAGAAAUUCUUCUUGUAAAAUAACAUGAUUUGUAUAUACCUCAUAAAGGAUGUAACUUGUUGGUAGCAUUUAAUAUUGUGACACACUCGCCAUCUUUUGUGCCAGCAUUAUUUGGGUGAUGAUUUAAUAUCCAAAAGCAUACAUCAAGGUAGUUAUGUGCAAUGAUAUUCUUGUGAAAAUAACUUCCAUAGUGUAUACUUGCAUAUAUGUAUUGCUCUAUUGUAUUCUCACAGUUAAUCCUUUUUCUUAAUUUUUUGUUUGUUUAUUUAUGUUUAGAGCAAGAUUAUAAAUUAAGCUGAGCAUAAUUUCUGCAGAUUAUAGAUGGCCCACUGAAAGACAAAGGGCGAAGGCGCAAACUUCAAAUAAUUCUUCUUGCCACAUAGGUUUUUCUAAUUGUGCGAGCAUACCACUUGUAACUGCCUUCAGUCAUCUAUGUCAGUAGUAUUUUGAGAAGAAUUUCAUUACAAAAUGCAAUGACUCAAACAAUCAGAUUGUUCAUGAUGAUUCCUAAUUGUAUAACCAAUAAGCUUAACGCACCUUCCUAUUUUAGAGUUGUUAUGUUAAUAAGUAUAUACUAUCUGUUAUUAAUGUUGUUAAUGGGUGAAGAACAUUUGUUGCUCAUGGUUAGAAUGUAGAAUUUUCUUAAUACAACAACCUAGAGCGAAUGUGGAGGCCAAUAUAGAUUGAAACCAUUAAUUCAUAUUAAAAUGGUCAUGACUUCUUAUUUUUAUUUGACAUAAAUGUUUGUGACUUGUUUGAAUUAAUGUGUUCUGCAAUUAUAUGAUACUUGCGUAUUCAUACUAUUUUUAUGAAUUGUGCAGCUAGUUUGUCGACAGGAGCACGAACAACCACAACUUCUACAAAGCUUCCACAUGGUUUCAUCUAGUAUCAUGCAAAAGACAUUGAGACAAUCAAGAUUACUUGAGCAACCUGAAUUAUGUUAGUUGUUACCUGCUUUCAAACGAAUGUGUCCUCUCAUAGUAUGCAUGUACUUCUGUUGUUGAGGAAUUUAUAUCAUUAGACAGUUCUGUUUUUCAUAAUUAUUGAUUAAUGGGUACAUACCUUCAAUCCUGGAAGAUUAUCAGAUAGCCAGUCAAGGAAGCAAUUUAUUUAUUGAAUUGUGCAUAAUAGGAACAUUUUUACAUUCAAAGGAACAUCAUAGGAAU
rnacentral:lncRNA from 1 species